rnacentral:lncRNA from 1 species
UGUUCGCAAACAAUAUACUCAGAUGUUCAGAUGGUGUAUAUAUCUGAGUUAUUUUUAUUUCUAUUUUUAAAGGGAUGGCAUGGGACAACAUUGAGCUAACUUCAUUGAAAUGCAAGUCUGCAAUAUGAAGACCUGUAAUCUGGUGACUGAAGGUGAACACUUUGCGGAUGCUCAAAUCAAAGAUGUUGUUUGUCAAUGACGCGGUGCAGGCAGAACAGUUUGAUGAUGUACUGAUGAAUAUCUAUUGGAGUAACGCUACAUGUUCUGGAUCAUUUAAUCAUAUGUUUUAGCGUUAAAAGUAUGAGAUUGAAUAUCUUUUCUUUCAUGAAAAUUGAAUUGAGGGCAAGCACAAGGAAAAAAAAUAGUGCUAGACAUUAUUUUUGUUUUUCUUAUCGAGGCCAAAAUGUCUUAAUUACAGAGAUCUUCCAAUAUUUUUCUAGUGGGGGUUCUUCCAUUCCUUUUUUUUGAGGAAUUAUGACAGUGAGGGAAGCUCCCCACUGACCUUUAUAUUUCUCAUUCCUUUUAUUGAGCACAAUGAUGUGAAUCAGGCUUUAAUAAGUUCUAAUACGCAGCGGCACAAUUCAUGCUCACUUGUACUCCCUCCGUUCCUAAAUAUAAGUUUUUCUACAUAUGGAGCAAAAUGAGUGAAUUUACACUCUAAAAUAUGUCUAUAUACAUCCGUAUGUUUCGUUCCUAAAUAUAAGUAGUCAAUUGUUGGAAUAUCAGCUCUUCCUCAAUCUCGCUACAAUAAAAUAUGGGUCUCACUUAAUCCUAAUAGCGUUCUUAUUUUCUCUAAAAUUAUUCGCUUGCUUACUCCUAACAAAUGGGGUCCACACUUAUCAUUGUGAGAUAGAUAGAGUUGACAUGUGGGUAUAGGGGUAUUUUGUCAUAUAACAUGGUCAAUGAGUUUGACCUGACAAUAACAAUGUCUAAUGGCAUUUCUGAGCAAACAUCUAAUGGAAUGAUGGCAAUUUUCAGAUAUCUAAUGGCAUUUUUGAGAAAACAUCUCAUGGAACGAUGGCAUUUUUGAGCGUUUGUAAUUUUUAGUGGCAAAACUGAGCAGUGAGACACAAUUAGUGGCAUAAAUGAUAAAAACCCUUUAAUCUAUCCUCACUUAGCUCAAAAAAAAAAACAUUCACCACACCUAAUACCAAAAUAACAGUUCCACUAGAGAUGCAGUGUCAUGUGCCGUUGAAAUGAAAUGCACCGAGCACAUUCAUAUUUAUCCUAGAUCAGUUUUCAGCAUGAACUUUUUCCAUCCAUCGCUGAAUUAAUUAUGAUUAUCAGGAUUUCCUGUACCACAAAAAACUCAAUUAGAAAAACACAACUUUGUUUCUGCUAUAAGGAAAUUCAUCAUAAUGGCAAAGGGUGCAAAAUAUGAGACCAAAAAUGCGCAUGAAAACCUGGCAAUGAUCUGUUCAAAUAAACAAUACAAGUUCUCAAAGAAACUAUGUCGAACUUUCAAGAAACACUUGAUGAAGAAACAACAUGACAGCAGUAUUAACAAAAUCUUGAAUAGGAAAGGAUGUUCUAAACAACAGCAGGUUCCCAUGAAUUAUGAUUUUGAAUGCAAAGAAGAUAGCUACAAGAAUUUCUUGUUCUCAAUACAAGUCUAUUGUGGAUAAUAACACACAUGUCCAGGAUAUUUUGUUACAACAAAGGAUAUAUGGUAGGCUGACCUGAUAUAUGUAUGGCAAGAAGAAAUCAAGGAUUUCUCAGAAUUCAACCAGAAAUGAUCAUCAAUAUUUUUCCCUGAAGAACGAUGUCAACCGCGUCAAUUCCUAAAAGAUGUAUAAAGAAGUUUGUUUGUUUACUUGGUUUAGAGGAAGAACCCAAUAAACAGGGCAAGCUGUCAUAGCCCUAGAAUUUGGUUGCAGAUAGUGGCAUUGCAUCCAUGCAUCAUGUCUAAAGUUAUGUGAAAUUGAAAUGGGGAUUGAUCCAAACCCUAGCACCAAAAUUAAAUCAACUAGGUUCAACUAAAAAUUGCAUUCAAUGAACCCAAAAUGCCUUCAUUAAUGUUUGAUAUUUUUGGCAAGGCUUCGAGUCCAAACAAAAAAUGGUGAACAUUUUUGUGGAAUAUUCUGGGCACUGAAUUUAAAUCAUUACUGUAUUUUGCAUUUGGAAUUAUAUUCAUAAUAUAUAAAAAUAUAUUUUCAAAAGCCCUGAAAUAUUUUAUGUGCAUCUGGAAAUGACCAAUGUGCAACAUAAAAAUAUUUAGAGGAAUCUUUGGCACUAAUUGAAGUCAUUUUGAUUUCAAACAGUGGCAAAUAAAUAAAAAGAAAACAGAACAAAAUAAAACAGAGCAGAAACCUCACCUGGCUUACCUGGUCUGCUCCUGUAGCAGAGGCCCAGCCCACCAGGUGCCGUCGUCCUCCUGGCGCCAGUCGGCCAGGCGCGUGGGCGACGCGCGCACGCACGCACGCCACGCCACGCCACCAGGGUGCCUGCCUGCCUCCUCCUGCCAGCGAGACGUCGCGAGCACCGCCCGGAGCCGUCUGGCUCUUCCUCUCUCUUCCUGGAGCUCUUCCCCCUCCUCUGGUUCUCUCACCCUUGUUGUUCCCCACCUCAACGAACCGCGCCGCCGUGAUCGGCGAGCUCCACCAUGGCCGCAGCCACUCCCUCGCUCCCUCUCCGCGUCCUCGAGCUCCGCCCCGACCCCGUGGAGCAACACACCUGACACAUGCGACCAGAAGAGGCCCAGUCGGCCGGAGCGUCUUCGUCUUCACCUCUGGUGCCCGGAGAUCGAAUCCGUCGAUUCGCCUCGUCCAGAGCGUUCCCGAGGCCGCUGACCUACCCUGUCGCAUCCCUGUGAGCUCCUGCUCCUUCCCCUUGCUCAUCCCCUCCGUUUCCGUGCCCUAGCUGCCUCUCCCACCAUGGCCGCAAGCUUCUCGCCGCCGGCCAUGAGGUCGACGUGGCCAGAGCCCGAACCAGCCGCUCCCGCAUGCGUCAUCGUUCCCCUUGCCUCUCCAGGAGCCCGUAGCCACCACCAGAUCUUCCCCACGUGCCCUAUAGCCGCCACCCGAGCUCACCCGAGCUUCGGCCACCGCCACGAGCUCGUCUCCGGCGAGUACGACGCACCACAACCGCUGCUGCUUGCUCCGUUGGAUGCGGAUGAGCACCAGCUUCACGCAGAGCCCCUCUGCCACUCGUUUGGUCGCCGGAGGAGCAAACCCGACGCGCUCCGCCGUCUCUGGCUUCACCGGCGACGAGCCGCCGGCCUAAUUCCGGUUUAGUUAGUACUAAUGACUCCACUGAACACCCCAGAGCCACUGCUAUGUGGGCCCUUGUGCCUGUUUAGGUUAGUUUAAUUCCUGUUUAGAUUAGUGCUAAUCUUGCGGACCCUGUUGGAACCGCAACCCUCUAGCUACCUCUUCUCUCACUCGAACGAAGGUGGAAGAAAAAGAACAGUGAACAAAAGAUUUUCCGGCCGGCGCACGAACGCCCCAAUCCUUUUCUUCCUUACAGUAGCUACAUGGCUACACAUGGCUCAUACCGACGCUCGGUGGCACAUACCACACCGCAAUCAGCAAUACAGGGGGUCUUUUAUGCCCCGGCACACACACACACACACUCUGGCACGGUGUGAUCCGCUCGGCCCGGCCACCCCUCACAACGAUAUCACACGAAGGACUCGGUUGCUCUCAACAGCCCAUGCAUGCAUGACUCAGCACGCAGCCACACCUCUAGCUAGCUUAUCCAUGCAAACUAACUAAUUUCCUAGCCUGCAGCAUGCGCCAUACACACACACACGCUGGUCAUCACACCUAGACAUGGUUUAAUCCUAACACUCCCCCUAAACCAUGACUUGGCUUGCCAUCGCCAGAGUUAUCGCAGCUCUCGUCGUUGUGGUCACCACAGCCGUGACCCAGCCGGCGGACCCGACCCGGCGCACCGACGCCGGUCGCACCGCCACGGACCCGACCUGGCGCACUGACUUCGGUCGCACCGUGCUCCGUCAUGACCCAGCGACAUACACCGAGCUCCUUCUCCGCCGGCGACACACGCUUGGUGUCCCUCUGCGUCCCGCACGUCCCGCGCGCACUUGACGCGCCCGACGAGCCCGACCGCACCAAUGCGUCCCGCACAUCCCCAACCCGCCCGACGAGCCCGACCGCACCAGACGCUCAUCGCGCGCCGCCUCCGCGUCCGCCAUGGCAGCCACCAGCGACAAACGCCGGAAGGAUGUAGCCGAACUCGAGCACGGACUCGAGCACAACAGCGACAUACGCCUCCUCCCAACGUCAACCGCACGCUCGUAGGCGCGCCAGCGGUCCUGACGCGCCCGACGCGUCCAGUGCGCACCCAUAACACACACCAGUCGCGCCCGGCUCGCCGCCACGGCCUAUUGCCCUGCACCGCUACGGCCUCAACCGCAGCGCAACACCUCCAUGCCUCCAUGCCGCUGUGUGUCGUUGAAGCCGCCACCACGCAGGUCCUCCGCGGCCACCCCACUGUGCCGCUGCAGCCCCCCGCGGCCUCCUCGCCACGCCGCGCACCUCCAUAGACCGACACAUGGCCCGGAGCAUCGCGCAGCCGCCGGCGAACUCCGCCACCGCCGGCACGCCUCCGACAAGGAGAACGCCACCCAAGAUGAACCAGUUCAUGAUACCAAUUGCCGGAACCGCAACCCUCUAGCUAUCUCUUCUCUCACUCGAACGGAGGUGGAAGAAAAAGAACAGUGGACAAAAGAUUUUCCGGCCAGUGCACGAACGCCGCCACGGGCGCACGAACGCCCCAAUCCUUUUCUUCCUUACAGUGGCUACAUGGCUGCUCAUACCGACGCUUGGUGGCACAUACCACACUGCAAUCAGCAAUACAGGGGGUCUUUUAUGCCCCGGCACGCACACACACUCUGGCACGGUGUGAUCCGCUUGGCCCGGCCACCCCUCACAACGAUAUCACGCGAAGGACUCGGCUGCUCUCAACAGCCCAUGCAUGCAUGACUCAGCACGCAGCCACACCUCUAGCUAGCUUAUCCAUGCAAACUAACUAAUUUCCUAGCCUGCAGCAUGCACCAUACACACACACGCUGGUCAUCACACCUAGACGUGGUUUAAUCCUAACAGACCCCACAUGUCAGCUUUGAUUUUGACCAAGUCAACGUUGACCGGUCCCACCCGUCAUCCACCCAAACCAGCCCUGAGUCACUUACCAGUGUGCCCCACUGGUCAGGUUUGACCCAGACCAGCCCAGUUGACCUGCUGACGCCAGGCUUACAUCAUGCUGACCUCAUAAUCAUUUUCUGGCGAUUUUAUAUUUCAGAAAUAAAUUAUAAAAUCCAAAAAAUUGUUUAAACUUCUAAAAAUCAUAGAAAAUAAACCGUAACUCCAAAUGAUAUAGUUUAUAUAUGAAAAAUUAUUAGAAAAAUUCAAAGAAUCUGAAUACGGAAUUUUCAUGCAUGUUUGAACAAGUUAACCUCACUAAAUAGGACAAUUCAUGAUUAUGGAAUAAAUGGUAAUUAGUUUUGGAGUUGGAAUUUGCUAUAGGUUUUGCUAUAGGUUUGAUUAUGGAAUAAAUGAUUAUGACUAACUGUUGCACUAGGUCAAUUCAGUACCUUAAUAUGACAUAUCAUUCAUAUGAAUGUGCAUUGCAUUGAUUGUGGUUCCUUUCGUGUUUGCCUGUGGUUGUUCCCUCUUAGUCGACGAUGUUUCUGACGACGUGAUCGAUGACACCGAUGAAGAGCUAUACUAUCUUCAGAAGUGCCAGGCAAGCAACCCCACCCCCCUUGUUCAUCUCGAUACAAUCCCACUCUCUCGCUCCUGCUCUCUUUUACUGCAUUAGGACAACAACGAUUCAACUGUUACAUGCUGCGGUAGUUGAACCCCUCUCCUCUGCAUGACCUGUCAUUGCCACAACAAAUAGAUGAAACCCACUAGCAUGAGUAGGAGUUGUUUGAGCCCUGAUGUGCCUACUCAUACAUGCUUGUUUGUCAUGCCUGCUACUGCUUAGAGUUGAGUAAGGGCUGAUUCAUCGGGGAUGAACUGGAAUGUGUGAACAUGUCCUACUAUUGAGAGCUAAGUGUGUGAACAUGAUUUGGUAGAGGUAUCGGUGAGAGGCCAUGUAGGAGUACAUGGUGGGUUGUCUCAUUGAAGCCGUCCUCAGGAACUGAGUUCUGUGUUUGUGAUCCAUGAAUAGCUACUACCACGUGUUGGGCCCGAAACCAAUGGACCCUCUCGACUUAUUAACUGCCCCUGUCAUCUGUCCAGGAGUUGCAAGUAGUUUCUGGUGUUCGUAGUAUGCUGGAGGCCGUGCGCAGCACUCACCCGAGGGGUGGGCUGUGAGGCGGUAGGCACGUGGCACGGUGUACCAGGUCGCCCGUUUGGUGUCUUGGGAACCCUGCACACAACUUUCGGGGCCGUAAGUGGAAACCUCGGCCGGACUCCCUUCAGAUGGAACCUGAAUAGGCGAUAAGCCCAGACUAGGGAUUUGUGUGGUUAGUCAGGCCAUGGCCGACACCCUCGUCGGGCUUCCGCUUGAAGGUUGCCGAGUACAUGUCGUGUAAACGGCGAUAAGUGGUGAGAGCAUGUGUGAAGAAGUACACCCCUGCAGGGUUAACAUCAUCUAUUCGAAUAGCCGUGUCCGCGGUAAAGGACUUCUGGGUUGCCUGUACAGUUCAUAGAUAACUUGAAGUGGAUACUCUAAAACUCGCAAGAUAAGCGUGAUUGCUAUGGAUGGCGUUCUCGUAGGUAGACGGGAGCGGAUCCAUAGUGGUGUAUUGGUAUGGUGAAUAUGUGGACUCGUGUGCACCACCUCAAAGAGUUAAUUGCAGUCGUAGUUCAGGAUAGCCACCGAGUCAAAGCUGGCUUGCUGCUGUCAAACUCCACCACCCCUUUGUUGAUACCGAUGCAUAUGUAGUUAGUUCUGAUGUAAGUCUUGCUGGGUACAUUUGUACUCACGUUUUCUUAUUUUAUGUUUUGUAGAGAGACUCCAGUCUCACUAGUAGUUCCGCAUGGACUUCGAUGUUUAGCUUGUUACCUCAGCUACGAUCUUGUACCCUUGGGAGGGUCUUGUAGAUAGUCAGGCUUCUCAGCCUUUUUCAUUUGUAGUUGUCUGCACUCAGACAUGUUUAUGCUUCUGGUUGAUACUUGUAUGCUCUGUAUGUUGGGUCAUGAGACCCAUGUUUGUCAUACUUGGCUCCUCGGAGCCUAAUCACUAGUGCAGAACCGGGAAAUAGCACCGGUUCGUAAGGCCCUUUAGUGCCGGUUUAGUAACCGGCACUAAAGUGUGGGCACUAAAGCCCCCCCCCUUUAGUACCGGUUCAACACGAACCGGUGCUAAAGGGAAACCACGUGGCAUGAGCCAGCUCCGGGGGCCGGGAGCCCUUUAGUACCAGUUGGUAACACCAACCGGUACUAAAUGUUUGUGGGUUUUUGUUUUAUUUUGUAUUUUUCAAUUAAAUUUGUGUUAUCAAUUUAAUUUAGGAUUGUUUUACAUUAUAAUGAGUUGUAGUCGUCAUCAUCAUCAUCAUCAUCGCAUAUUAAUAAAUAAAUAAACUCUAGCUAGCUAAAAAUCAUCGUAGUCGUCUAAUUACCACUAUUUAAUCAUCAUAGUCAUUACCGCUAGCUAUCUAAUCAUCACCAACACUGGCUAGCUUAAAGAGGAAACAUUCACUUUGUAGCAGAAGCAAAGAUAUCAUGGAGUUCAACAUAAUGAUCACCAACAUCGAAGUUCAGGACACGGACAUGAGACAAGUACUAAUUAAUUAAGAGCAUGAACUAGUAGCUACUCCUGAUGCUCCCUCUCAGGUAGAAUAGCAUAGAGCAUGUAUAGCUCUCCUGAUUCAUCAUACUGGAGCAUGCAGAUGAAUCUGUCUCCUAAUCUUGGGUUGCGCUUCUCCUUGCUGCCCCCUAGUACUUCUCUGCGAUCGUUAACAAUUUUGCUCCAAUCUUUCACUAUUAAGCAUUCUUCGCUUUCAGAAAUCCUGAAUGCACUCAUGUGCAAUGUAGGAUAUCUUGGCCGUAAGCUAACUAUUGACAUGUCACCUUUAGUCUCGAUCCACUGAGGCACAACUGUCAUCGGAAGUCCCUGUUGAAGAACAUCGUAUAGUAAUUAAUAUACUAAGCAAUGAAAGUUUAGCUUCAAAAAUAAUGUAUGCAAAAGAUGCACUAAUUAAGGACAAAUAGUUAAAAUCUUAUCAUCUUUCGAUUAUAGAUGUGACCGUAGUUCAAUACGAUCACCAUUGGUCGCACGUUUUGAGUACUAACAUUUCUAAGUUCAGGAAAAAAAUUUGUCUUGACAGUAUUAAGAUCCUCAAGCCAUGAAACAUAAUGACUUAUCUCCUCGCAGUUUAGUUGAGCCCCGGGGCAAUAGUAGGUCCUGUCUACCAAGCGCCGGACAUGUUUGCUUGAACCGAAAUAAGCUGACAAUACAAAUUAGUUGUCAACUAUUUUUGAAUAAACUGUAUCAAAGACAUAAACAUAUGCAUGCAUGGUUGAGAAAAACUCACAUAAUGGUAGAACUGGAGGCGUUUGCACAUUGACCCAGAUGUCUAUAUUACCUUCAAUAUCAUCUUCCGGACGAAUAUCAAAGGUGAUAACCAUAUCAGGCUCAAAUGCAUAAGCUUUGCAUAGUGCUUGCCAAGUUUUGCAUUCAAAAUGGGCGUAUGUGUCUCCAUUAUAUAAUUUGACGUUGAAAGUAUACCCAUGCUCCGUCUUCAAGUAAACUCUCUUUACCUCCAUAUCAUCUAUAGCACUAAAACCUAUCUUAUCCAAGACAAAAAUUCUUGCAUGACAGGGGAUGCGCUAGUAGAAUAGUGAAAACUUAAAAUUAUAAGUUGAAGCAAAUGAAGCAUACGUUUUGCAUUCAAAUAAUAAUUGACAAAGUGACUUACUGUAUCAACUUCGAAUGUCUCAUCCAGCUUGAUGCUGAAGCGCCUACCAUCAACAAGGAAAUUUCUGUCGCACAGGCCGCGCUGGUCUUCACAGUGUUCGCACAUAAUGAAAUCUUUUUCGUCGUCAGAUGACAUUUCCUAUGUUCAUAUAGGUGAAACAUUAAACACCUAUUACUAUCUAACAUUAAUUAAUAUCUAGCUAAAUAUAUAUUCAUCUAACAUUUGACAUUAAUAUAUCUAACUAUAUUCAUCUCUAACAAUUGGCAUUACUAUACAUUUAAUUUUUCUAUCUAAUUCAUCUAACAUUCGACAUUAAUCUAACAUUUAUAUAAACUCAAAAUAUAUAAAAAAUUAAAUAAACAGAAAAACUCAUUAACAAAUAAUAUUUUAAUUAGAUCAUCAAAUCUCAGAUACCUAAAUUUUCUUACUAAAAAUAAACUAGUUAUAUUAAUUAUUGAACUAGUUCAAAUCUCAUAUACCUAAAUAAACUAGUUAUAUUAAUUAUUGAACUAGUUCAAAUCUCAUAUACCUAAAUAAACUAGUUCAACAAUUUUCUUACUAAAAAAUAUGACCUCAAGCUCAACCCGGAAAAAUGCGUUUUCGGCAUUCCAGCUGGAAAGCUCUUGGGCUUCAUUGUAUCCGGUAGAGGAAUUGAAGCAAAUCCAGCCAAGAUUCGAGCUCUGUCACAAUUGGAUAUCCUGAAGGACCUCAAACAAAUACACAAAUUAACCGGAUGCGUGGCAGCUCUAAGCCGCUUUAUCUCCCGCUUAGGAGAAAAGGCCCUACCCCUUUACCGCCUCCUUCGGUGCACCGAACACUUCGAGUGGACGGAUGCAGCCACGGCCGGACUCGACGAAAUAAAAGCCAUCCUGGCAACAAACCCAGUCCUGGCCGCGCCAAACAUUGGCGAACCAAUGCUGUUAUACAUUGCAGCAACCCAUCAGGUCGUAAGCGCAGUGCUCGUCGUCGAACGAGAGAAACGGACAGACACAAAUUCCCCCUUCAAAAGCCGGUCUACUAUGUGUCCACUGUCCUUACUCCGUGCAAGUCACGGUACCCGCAUUAUCAAAAGAUUGCGUACGCGGUAUUUAUGGCAUCCCGGAAGCUGCGACACUACUUUCAAGAGUGUUCAAUAACAGUAGCCUCGGAAGUGCCACUUAACGAUAUUAUAAACAACCGUGACGCGACGGGCCGGAUUGCAAAAUGGGCCAUUGAGUUCCUCCCAUUCGACAUAACUUACAAGCCACGGCGAGCUAUCAAGUCGCAAGUUUUGGCCGACUUCGUCGCAGAAUGGACGGAGGCCGAACUCCCUAAAGAGUACGACACAUAUUCAAAUUGGGUCAUGCACUUCGACGGCUCCAAAAUGUUGGCCGGUCUAGGGGCUGGCGUCGUUUUGAUGUCCCCCACAGGAGACACAGUUCAAUACAUACUCCAAAUAAUGUACACAGACUCCAACAAUGCAGCCGAAUACGAGGCCGUUUUACAUGGUCUCCAGAUGGCAGUAUCCAUGGGCAUUCAACGCCUAGAGGUGCGCGGGGACUCGAACCUCGCAAUAUCCCAAAUAAAUGGAGACUUUGAUGCCAAGGAUCCAAAAAUGUCAGCUUAUCGCAACGCCGUCCUAAAAAUGUCAGCUCGGUUCGAAGGGCUUGAAUUUCACCAUAUAGCCCGGGAAAAUAAUCAGGUGGCAGAUGUCCUGGCACGCAUCGGCGCAAAACGCGAUGUAGUCCCCCCCAACAUCUUCCUGGAAAGGCUGUUCAAGCCAUUCGUAGUAUGGGAAGGGGAACCCGGCAAUAACAGCCCGGACCCAACCGCACUGCCCGACACCGAACACUCUGACAUAAUUGGAGGCUCUGCCAAUGAAAUAACACUUUCAGCCCAGGUAAUAAUGGCCGUCAUUGCUCUGUGGACAGAACCAUUCCUCGCCUACCUUACUAGGCAGGAACUCCCCGAGGACCAAAAUGAGGCACGCUGCAUAGUGCGGCGAUCUAAAGCCUAUAAAGUCCAUGAGGGAGAGCUUUAUAAGAAAAGCACUACCGGAGUCCUUCAAAGGUGCAUCUCCGAAGAGGAAGGGAGGAACCUCCUGGCUGAAAUUCAUGCCGGACUCGGCGGUCAUCAUGCUGCAGCUUGGUCCCUUGUAAGCAAGGACUUCCGCACAGGCUUUUAUUGGCCGACGGCCCGAGCAGACGCCCAGGACUUAGUCCAACGAUGCGUCGGUUGCCAGCUUUUUGCAAACCAAAGCCAUAUGCCACCCACCGCCCUCCAAACUAUCCCCAUCACUUGGCCCUUCGCGGUCUUGGGGCUUGACAUGGUUGGACCCCUUAAAGGCGGAACCCACAAGAAAAAAAUACUUACUGGUCAUGGUGGAUAAGUUCACCAAAUGGAUAGAAGCCAAGCCUGUUAAGACGGCCGAAUCCGGACCGGUGAUAGACUUUAUAUCCGGGGUUGUACACCGUUACGGCGUCCCCCACAGCAUCAUCACUGAUAACGUCACGAACUUUACGGUCGACAAGGUAAAACUCUGGUGCAAAAGCAUGGGCAUCAAGCUCGAUUAUGAUUCCGUCUAUCACCCACAAACUAACGGCCAGGUCGAACGUGAAAAUGGUCUUAUCAUGAGCGGCAUCAAACCCAGAUUAGUGCGGUCCCUUAAGGAAUCUAAUACGCACUGGGUAGAGGAGCCCGACUCCGUACUCUAGGGGCUGCGGACCACGCCGAAUCGCACCACCGGAUACACACCAUUCUUCAUGGUGUACGGCGCAAAGGCAGUUCUGCCCUGCGACAUAAUUCAUGACUCACCUCAAGUGCGCAUGUACGAAGAAAGAGAAGCCGAGCUCGAUCGGCAGGACAGUUUGGACGCCUUGGAGGAAGAGCGUGACGUGGCAAAAGCCCGUUCCGCAUUCUAUCAACAGCAGGCUCGAAGAUACCAAAGCGGAGAAGUACGGGCCAAAAAUUACAACAUUGGCAAACUAGUUCUACGUCUGCCGGACAAGAAAAAGGACAAACUCAAGCCCAAGUGGGAAGGUCCCUUCAUAAUUGACCAAGUCCUGACUGGUGGAGCGUACCGCCUGCGAGAUGCAUCGGAUAACCGACUCGAGCCGAACCCAUGGAACGCAGCCCGCCUCCGAAGAUUCUAUGCCUAGCGCCGGACUCUGUGUUCGUUUCCUUACUCUGUCCAUUUUUAUAUACUUUCUGUCUUACAUUUCUCUCCUUCUCCUCUUUCUCUCUCCUAUAGCCUUUAAAGGCUCAUACAGUGACGCGCUAUCCGCGCUCAUUAAACCUGUGGGCUUCUUUACACAGAAGCUUAUACGGGCUUUCAUGCCCAACACAUGCGUCACACUUCCGCAUGUACCUUUUAUUCGCCAGUAUAUGCAUCAAUAUGACUUAAGUUUUGGCCAAGCUGGGUUGCCUGGCUCCUGUGCUUACCCCUACGUUCUCGAUUGUUCGGCUAGGUGGUAAAGGGAGCACCUCUGCGAUUGUUACUGCCGGGUCAGCCGGAUGUGUACCUCAGACUGGGUGAAGCCGAAAGCUAGCGUUCUUAAGGGAAUAUUCGGUCGGUGAACUAAAGAUGAUCUUUUUUUAUUUAUCUAUACGCCCCCAGAUGUUUUUCCUGCGUCUCUUUUCGCAGAAUGGACAUGCACUUUAGGGCAUGCCUCCCAGGGAAAGGAACCCCUAACGGAACUAUUCUCCCUGGAAGAUGUUUCUUACUAACCAUGUAAUAUAACAUAACUAGUUGGGCACUUGUCUGUUCAAGCACUAAUGACCCCUACGCCUGGUCUCCAUGCAUACCCCGGUUCUUAUAUAACCGCGAGGGUAUUUGGACACACUCCGGACCAUCAGGUCCCGAGGUUGAAGCGAAAAGGUCGGCCAUGAAAAACGAUCUACAAUCCGGCUAGAAGGCAUUACACAUGUCAAUUAUAAUUACAUAGUCAAUCUGACUGAUUGUAUUCCUCUUCAAUACCAUCUAACAGGCUAUCUAGUUUACAUUUCUGUUGGGAAUACUUUGCGGCCAAUUCUACUUGGCCGUAUACUAAGCUCACAGGCAUCUCCUUCCCAUCGGGCCCCACGGGUCCGACCUCGGCCAUGUGGUUUGGGUCAGCCUUCGUGUACCGCGUCUUCACCAUGGCCCAGGCCUCCCUGGCGCCUUGACGGCAGGCCGACAUCUUCCACAAUCGGAAGCGCCGCUGCGCUCCCUUCAGCUUCUCUACAAGCUCUCCAAGGCCUUCGGGCAUGGAGACGGAUGGCCAUAGGGCCUGGGCGACGCUUUGCAUCACCUGCCGAACUCGCUCGUGCAGUUGUGAGAGCUCGGGAAGAAGGUCACCCGUAGAACCGGGCAUUUCCUCUGCAGGAUGACCUGUUAGCAUACCUACAGACAUUACUCUUUUAGUCGACUUCCUUGCCGAACUCUUUUUUCAAAAGUUCGUUUAAGCACUUACUAUAUUGUUGGGUUUCGUAGUAAUUUCAAAAAUUUUCCUACGCGCACACAGGAUCAUGUGAUGCAUAGCAACGAGAGGAGAGUGUUGUCUACGUACCCAACGCAGACCGACUGCGGAAGCAAUGACACGACGUAGAGGAAGUAGCCGUACGUCUUCACGAUCCAACCGAUCAAGCACCGAAACUACGGCACCUCCGAGUUCGAGCACACGUUCAGCUCAAUGACGAUCCCCGGACUCCGAUCCAGCAAAGUGUCGGGGAAGAGUUUCGUCAGCACGACGGCGUGGUGACGAUCUUGAUGAACUACAGCAGCAGGGCUUCGCCUAAACUCCGCUACAGUAUUAUCGAGGAAUAUGGUGGCAGGGGGCACCGCACACGGCUAAGGAAUCGAUCACGUGGAUCAACUUGUGUCAACUUGUGUGUCUAUGGGGUGCCCCCUGCCCCUGUAUAUAAAGGAUGGAGGAGGAGGAGGCCGGCCAAGGCAAAGGUGCGGCCAGGAUAGGGAGUCCUACUAGGACUCCAAGUCCUAGUAGGAGUCCACCAAGAGGGGAGGAAGGGAGAAGGAAUAGGAGGAGAAGGAGAGGUGGCCGGCCCCCUUUUCCCUAGUCCAAUUCGGACCAAAGGGGAGGGGGGGCGCAGCAGCCUUUUUCCUCUUCCCACUAAAGCCCAUUAAGGCCCAUUACUUCUCCCGUAACUACCCGGUACUCCGAAAAAUANNNNNNNNNNNNNNNNNNNNNNNNNNNNNNNNNNNNNNNNNNNNNNNNNNNNNNNNNNNNNNNNNNNNNNNNNNNNNNNNNNNNNNNNNNNNNNNNNNNNNNNNNNNNNNNNNNNNNNNNNNNNNNNNNNNNNNNNNNNNNNNNNNNNNNNNNNNNNNNNNNNNNNNNNNNNNNNNNNNNNNNNNNNNNNNNNNNNNNNNNNNNNNNNNNNNNNNNNNNNNNNNNNNNNNNNNNNNNNNNNNNNNNNNNNNNNNNNNNNNNNNNNNNNNNNNNNNNNNNNNNNNNNNNNNNNNNNNNNNNNNNNNNNNNNNNNNNNNNNNNNNNNNNNNNNNNNNNNNNNNNNNNNNNNNNNNNNNNNNNNNNNNNNNNNNNNNNNNNNNNNNNNNNNNNNNNNNNNNNNNNNNNNNNNNNNNNNNNNNNNNNNNNNNNNNNNNNNNNNNNNNNNNNNNNNNNNNNNNNNNNNNNNNNNNNNNNNNNNNNNNNNNNNNNNNNNNNNNNNNNNNNNNNNNNNNNNNNNNNNNNNNNNNNNNNNNNNNNNNNNNNNNNNNNNNNNNNNNNNNNNNNNNNNNNNNNNNNNNNAAUAUAGUCGUCCAAUAUAUCGAUCUUUACGUCUCGACCAUUUCGAGACUCCUCGUCAUGUCCCCGAUCUCAUCCGGGACUCCGAACUCCUUCGGUACAUCAAAACUCAUAAACUCAUAAUAUAACUGUCAUCAAAACCUUAAGCGUGCGGACCCUACGGGUUCGAGAACAAUGUAGACAUGACCGAGACAUGUCUCCGGUCAAUAACCAAUAGCGGGACCUGGAUGCCCAUAUUGGCUCCUACAUAUUCUACGAAGAUCUUUAUCGGUCAGACCGCAUAACAACAUACGUUGUUCCCUUUGUCAUCGGUAUGUUACUUGCCCGAGAUUCGAUCGUCGGUAUCCAAUACCUAGUUCAAUCUCGUUAACGGCAAGUCUCUUUACUCGUUCCGUAAUACAUCAUCUCACAACUAACAUAUUAGUUGUAAUGCUUGCAAGGCUUAUGUGAUGUGUAUUACCGAGAGGGCCCAGAGAUACCUCUCCGACAAUCGGAGUGACAAAUCCUAAUCUCGAAAUACGCCAACCCAACAUCAACCAUUGGAGACACCUGUAGUACUCCUUUAUAAUCACCCAUUUACGUUGUGACGUUUGGUAGUACCCAAAGUGUUCCUCCGGUAAACGGGAGUUGCAUAAUCUCAUAGUCGUAGGAACAUGUAUAAGUCAUGAAGAAAGCAAUAGCAACAUACUAAACGAUCAGGUGCUAAGCUAAUGGAAUGGGUCAUGUCAAUCAGAUCAUUCUACUAAUGAUGUGACCUCGUUAAUCAAAUAACAACUCAUUGUUCAUGGUUAGGAAACAUAACCAUCUUUGAUUAACGAGCUAGUCAAGUAGAGGCAUACUAGUGACACUCUGUUUGUCUAUGUAUUCACACAUGUAUUAUGUUUCCGGAAAAUACAAUUCUAGCAUGAAUAAUAAACAUUUAUCAUGAUUAUAAGGAAAUAAAUAAUAACUUUAUUAUUGCCUCUAGGGCAUAUUUCCUUCAUAUAUAUGCCGCGUCGAAGCCGCUGAUUCUCCUUCACGGAGUCCAACAGCUGGGCACGAACAUCCUUCAGUUCAACGCCUAGCUUGGUGUUGGCAUCUUGGAGAUUGUUCUUCUCCCGCCUCACCUUUGUCGGCACGCUCUCACCAGCCUUCAGCUGGCGUCGGAGUUGUUGCUCUUCUGGAUUUAAUCCGGCGCCAUCUACAAUUUCAUUUGUCAGAUUUGCACCCACGCCGCACUUCGCAAAAUACUUAUCUUUCGAAGCGUAUAUUACCAGAGGGGGUCUCCUUGGGCUCCCCUGCCGCGACUAGUGCGGCCUCAAGUUGGGCUUUGCACUCUUCCAGCUCCUGGGACAGUAGGGUAUUCUUUUCUGUAAGAACCUGCAUAACAAAUGAUCCUUAAAUCAGUUAUUCUAACUAUUUCAAGUCUCGGGGGCUACUGGUAUAUAUAUAAUUACCAAAAUUUUCUUACCCGUAUGUCUUUUACAUACUGCUCCGUGGCUUUGGCUAGACCAUUUUGAGCGGCACGGAGGUACGCAUCUCCCGAAUUGAAGGCAUCCAAUGCCUCUUGGGAGAAACAAGCGUCGCGAAGAACUGUCCGGCGACGCCUGUGGUUCAUGGCGCUCUCCACCUUGGAAUUGGUGGCAGACAACCUGUCCACAUCCUCUGUCGGAGGAGCAUCCGGUGCGCGCCUUGUGUUCGCCUCCACUUCCGGACCAGGCUUUGGAGCCUAGCUGGUGGAGGCGCGAUUGGCAGCCCCUCCGGAUAUAGUCCGGCGAGGUCUCUUCGUCCUGAAGAGAGCACAAGCGUUAAUAUGCCUUGAAGGAAUAACACCUGGGAAUAAGAUGGCGCGCUAUACCUUUGCGCCGGCGUCUCAGUCUGGAACGCACUUCUUUUCAGCCUGCGGGGCCUUGCCGCCCCUCAUUGGCUAGUCGCCACAGGCUCGGCCUCCCGUCUCAAGGACCUCCCCUGCAAAACACGGUUGUCAUACGGCAAUCGGAAACACGUGAGGAUAGAUCCCUUUUCAAAGUGCUGGGACUUCGGUCUCAAUUACCUGUGAGGCUGGGAGUAGCCCUGGGUAGUCGGCCGUAAUGGCCACCAAGGCGUUGUCCUUGCUCAAUUGAUGAAACACCCCAUCAAUCAGCUCCAUAGAUAAGUCCGGAUCCUCUUGAGAGGCCGGGUCGAGGGACCAUCCCGGAUCCUCGGGUUGUGGAGGAGGGUUGUUUAUUUCUUUAACAGCAUGGCGCAGUUCCUGCGUUGAAGUCGUUAGACUGAAUAUUUAACGAUGGGAAUAUAAAAUGGAUGGGCAAGUAAAAGUGUCCACUUACCCAACUUGGGGGAUUGUACAUAGAAAAUCCACCCUGUGGGUUGACGUGGAGAAAUUCCUCGUCUUCUCCCUUGUACAAAGCGGACAAGGUCUUUAUUAGAGCGGCAGCCGAAUCCGGCCCCUUACAGCCGUAGCGGGUGGCAUCGUCCUCCCCGUUGAAGUCCCACAUGGGGCGGCCUCUAUACUGAAGCGGCUGCACCCCUCGCAGGAUGCAUGCGGCCAUGACCCCGAUCAUGGUCAGUCCGGAAUGAGCUAACAAUCUUAUCCGGCCCAUCAGGUAAAGAACGUCCCUGUCACUUUCCCUCUGAGGGCUCCAUGGACGCCAGCUUAGGCGCUUCUUUAGGGGAGCACUGUCGAACUCAGGGAGGCCGAUCCGGACAGGAUCCGGCAGCGGGACGUCCUCUAUAUAAAACCAUUCCGAGGGCUAGUCCUCGGACGCCUUCUUUGGGGUUCCGGAUAGAUAUCCGGUCCCGGCGAUGCGCCACACUUCGGCUCCGCCCACUUGAUACAUUGACCCCUUCUUAGAGCGGGGCACGAGGCAGAAUAGCCUUUUCCAUAGCACGAAAUGAGCCUCACAGCCCAAAAAUAGCUCGCAAAGGGCCACGAAGCCCGUGAUAUGCAAUAUGGAGGCAGGCGUGAGGUUGUGCAGCUGGAGGCCGUAGAACUCCAGGAGCCCCCGGAGAAACAAAUGAAUUGGAAAUCCGAGCCCUCUUAUUAAGUAAGGGACAAGGCAUACCCGCUCUCCUUUGGAGGGAUUGGGGGCGCUCUCCGCUUGCUCUCCGCCAUUAUAGGUGGCAAGUCCGGCUCGAACCAGGACCAUAUAGGCCGGGGGGAGAAAUCCCUUGGUCUGGAGCGUCACUAGCUCGCUGUGCGGGAUGGAGCACCUCUUCCAAUCUCUAGGCUGAGGACUGGAAGGGCGAGAGGAGGAACUGCGGCGGUCGGCCAUGAUAGAAUGGACCUCUGUCGGAUACGCUCUGAUGAAUACUCGCGGAGGGGAGAAGGUGUGGUUUGGAUCUAAAUCCUCGUCCCCUUAAAUAGGUGGCUCAUUCACGCGGCUAGGGGUGUAAAUAUAAAAAACACCCUGACUUUUCGUAUUCGUUUGACACAUGGAAGACGGCCAUUAUUGGGCGUAGAAGCCAAGGAGCGCUACAAGAAACCGGACAUUAUUUAACAGGUACACGGAAUUUGGAGAACCCGCCUUGCAAUGCCGAAGACAAUUUGCACGCCGGACUCAUCGUCAUUGAAGCCUGGUUCGGGGGCUACUGAGGGAGUCCUGGAUUAGGGGGUGUCCGGAUAGCCGGACUAUACCUUCGGCCGGACUCCUGGACUAUGAAGAUACAAGAUUGAAGACUUCGUCCCGUGUCCGGAAGGGACUUUCCUUGGCGUGGAAGGCAAGCUUGGCGAUACGUAUAUGUAGAUCUCCUACCAUUGUAACCGACUCUGUGUAACCCUAGCCCUCUCCGGUGUCUAUAUAAACCGGAGGGUUUUAGUCCGUAGGACGAACAACAAUCAUACCAUAGGCUAGCUUCUAGGGUUUAGCCUCCUUAAUCUCGUGGUAGAUCUACUCUUGUACUACCCAUAUCAUCAAUAUUAAUCAAGCAGGACGUAGGGUUUUACCUCCAUCAAGAGGGCCCAAACCUGGGUAAAACAUUGUGUCCCUUGUCUCCUGUUACCAUCCGCCUAGACGCACAGUUCGGGACCCCCUACCUGAGAUUNNNNNNNNNNNNNNNNNNNNNNNNNNNNNNNNNNNNNNNNNNNNNNNNNNNNNNNNNNNNNNNNNNNNNNNNNNNNNNNNNNNNNNNNNNNNNNNNNNNNNNNNNNNNNNNNNNNNNNNNNNNNNNNNNNNNNNNNNNNNNNNNNNNNNNNNNNNNNNNNNNNNNNNNNNNNNNNNNNNNNNNNNNNNNNNNNNNNNNNNNNNNNNNNNNNNNNNNNNNNNNNNNNNNNNNNNNNNNNNNNNNNNNNNNNNNNNNNCCCUCCACCCUCAUGGGACCCCUGUUGCUCCACCGACGUACUUCUUCCUCCUAUAUAUACCCACGUACCCCCAAAAGAUCAGACACGGAGCCAAAACCCUAAUUCCACCACCGCAACUUUUUGUAUCCAUGAGAUCCCAUCUUGAGGCUUGUUUCGGAGCUCCGUCGAAGGGGGCACCGAUCACGGAGGGCUUCUACAUCAACACCAUAGCCUCUCCGAUGAAGUGUGAGUAGUUUACUUCAGACCUACGGGUCCAUAGUUAGUAGCUAGAUGGCUUCUUCUCUCUUUUUGGAUCUCAAUACAAUGUUCUCCCCCUCUCUUGUGGAGAUCUAUUCGAUGUAAUCUUAUUUUUGUGGUGUGUUUGUUGAGACUGAUGAAUUGUGGGUUUAUGAUCAAGUCUAUCUAUGAAUAAUAUUUGAAUCUUCUCUGAAUUCUUUUAUGUAUGAUUGGUUAUCUUUGCAAGUCUCUUUGAAUUAUCAGUUUGGUUUGGCCUACUAGAUUGAUCUUUCUUGCAAUGGGAGAAGUGCUUAGCUUUGGGUUCAAUCUUGUGGUGUCCUUUCCCGGUGACAGUAAGGGCAGCAAGGCACGUAUUGUAUUGUUGCCAUCGAGGAUAACAAGAUGGGGUUUUCUUCAUAUUGCAUGAGUCUAUCCCUCUACAUCAUGUCAUCUUGCUUAAGGCGUUACUCCGUUUUUAACUUAAUACUCUAGAUGCAUGCUGGAUAGCAGUCGAUAAGUGGAGUAAUAGUAGUAGAUGCAGGCAGGAGUCGGUCUACUUGUCUCGGACGUGAUGCCUAUAUACAUGAUCAUACCUAGAUAUUCUCAUAAAUAUGCUCAAUUCUGUCAAUUGCUCAACAGUAAUUUGUUCACCCACCAUAGAAUACUUAUGCUCUCGAGAGAAGCCACUAGUGAAACCUAUGGCCCCGGGGUCUAUCUUUAUCAUAUCAAUCUCCUGCUACUUAGUUAUUUACUUUGCUAUUAACUUUGCCUUUAUUUGGCUUUGCAUCUUUAUCAUAAAAAUACCAAAAAUAUUAUCUUUAUCAUAUCUAUCAGAUCUCACUCUCGUAAGUGGACCUAUAGGGAUUGACAACCCCUAUUUGCGUUGGUUGCGAGGAUUUAUUUGUUUGUGCAGGCAUGAGGGACUUGCGUGUAGCCUCCUACUGGAUUGAUACCUUGGUUCUCAAAAACUAAGGGAAAUACUUAUGCUACUUUGCUGUAUCAUCCCUUCCUCUUCGGGGAAAACCAACGCAGUGCUAAAAGAGGUAGCAAGAAGGAUUUCUAGCGCCGUUGCCGGGGAGGUCUAUGCAAAAGUCAACAUACCAAGUACCCAUCACAUACCCUCAUCUCCCGCAUUACAUUAUUUUCCAUUUGCCUCUUGUUUUCCUCUCCCCCCAAUUCACCCUUGCCAUUUUAUUCGCCCUCUCUCUCUAUCCUCCCUCUCUAUUUGCACUUUUUGUCCGCUUGCUUUUUGUUUGCUUGUGUGUUAGUUUGCUUGUUUGUCGCAAUGGCUCAAGAUAAUACUAAAUUGUGUGACUUCACCAAUACCAACAACAAUGAUUUUAUUACCACUCCAAUUGCUCCUCUUACCGAUGCUGAAUCUUGUGAAAUUAAUACUGCUUUACUGAAUCUUGUCAUGAAAGAUCCGUUCUCCGGCCUUCCUAGUGAAGACGCCGCUACCCAUCUAAAUAGCUUCGUUGAUUUGUGUGACAUGCAAAAGAAGAAAAAUGUGGAUAAUGAUAUUGUUAAAUUGAAGCUAUUUCCUUUUUCGCUUAGAGAUCCUGCUAAAGCUUGGUUUUCGUCUUUGCCUAAAAAUAGUAUUGAUUCAUGGAACAAGUGCAAAGAUGCUUUUAUCUCUAAGUAUUUUCCUCUCGCUAAAAUCAUAUCUCUUAGAAACGAUAUUAUGAACUUUAAGCAACUUGAUCAUGAACAUGUUGCACAAGCUUGGGAGAGAAUGAAAUUAAUGAUACGUAAUUGCCCUACUCAUGGUUUAAAUGUGUGGAUGAUUAUACAAAUUUUUUAUGCCUGAUUGAAUUUUUCUUCUAGAGAUCUUUUGGAUUCGGCCACGGGAGGCACUUUUAUGGAAAUCACUUUAGGAGAAGCUACUAAACUCCUAGAUAAUAUUAUGGUUAAUUAUUCUCAAUGGCACACUGAAAGAUCUACUAAUAAAAAGGUGCAUGCGAUAGAAGAAAAUAAUGUUUUGAGUGGAAAGAUGGAUGAACUUAUGAAAUUAUUUGCUAAUAAGAGUGUUUCUUCAGAUCCUAAUGAUAUGCCCUUGUCUACUUUGAUUGAGAAUAAUAAUGAAUCUAUGGAUGUGAAUUUUGUUGGUAGGAACAAUUUUGGUAACACUGCAUAUAGAGGAAAUUUCAAUCCUAGGCCUUAUCCUAGUAAUCCCUCUAAUAAUUAUGGUAAUUCCUACAACAAUUCUUAUGGAAAUUAUAAUAAUAUGCCCUCUGAUUUUGAUUCUAAUAUUAAAGAAUUUAUUACUUCAUAAAAGAAUUUUAAUGCUAUCAUUGAAGAAAAAUUGCUUAAGAUUGAUGAUUUGGCUAGGAACGUUGAUAGAAUUGCUCUUGAUGUUGAUUCUUUGAAACUUAGAUCUAUUCCACCUAAGCAUGAUAUCAAUGAGUCUCUCAAAGCCAUGAGAAUUUCCAUUGACGAGUGCAAAUAAAGAACCGCUAGGAUGCGUGCUAAGAAAGAUGCCUUUAUAAAAGCGUGUUCUUCUAGUUCCUAUGAAAAUAAUGAUGAAGAUCUAAAAGUUAUUGAUGUGUCCCCUGUUAAAUCUGUGUUUUGCAAUAUGAAUCUUGAUAAUGAUGGGACUGAAUAUGAUCCACCUUUACCUAGAAGGCAUUCUAAGAAUUCGGAAUUUGUUGAUCUUGAUGCUAAAUUUGAUUAAAGUGGGAUUGAAGAAAUUAAAACCCUAGAUGGUGCUAAACCCACCAUUAUGGAUUUCAAGGAAUUUAACUAUGAAAAUUGCUCUUUAAUUGAUUGAAUUUCCUUAUUGCAAUUUGUGCUAAAUUCUCCUCAUGCUUAUAGUCAAAAUAAAGCGUUUACUAAACAUAUCGUUGAUGCCUUGAUGCAAUCUUAUGAAGAAAAACUUGAAUUGGAAGUUUCUAUCCCUAGAAAACUUUAUGAUGAGUGGGAACCAAUUAUUAAAAUUAAAAUUAAAGAUCAUGAAUGCUAUGCUUUAUGUGAUCUGGGUGCUAGUGUUUCCAUGAUUCCAAAGACUUUGUGUGAUUUGUUAGGUUUCCGUGAUUUUGAUGAUUGCUCUCUAAACUUGCACCUUGCGGAUUCCCUAUUAAGAAACCUAUGGGAAGAAUUAAUGAUGUUAUUAUUGUUGCAAAUAGGAAUUAUGUGCCCGUAGAUUUUAUUGUUCUUGACAUAGAUUACAAUCCUUCAUGUCCUAUUAUUCUUGGUAGACCUUUCCUUAGAACGAUUGGUGCAAUUAUUGAUAUGAAGGAAGGAAAUAUUAGAUUCCAAUUUCCGUUAAGGAAAGGCAUGUAACACUUUCCUAGGAACAAAAUUAAAUUACCUUAUGAAUCUAUUAUGAGAGCCACUUAUGGAUUGCCUACCAAAGAUGGCAAUACCUAGAUCUAUUCUUGCUUGUUAUGCCUAGCUAGUGGCGUUAAACGAUAGCGCUUGUUGGGAGCAACCCAAUUUUAUUUUUAUUCCUUGAUUUUUGCUCCUUCUUAGUAAUAAAUAAAUUAUUUAGCCUCUUUUUUGGUUGUGUUUUUUGUGUUUAACUAGUGUUUGUUCCAAGUAGAACCGUUGGGAAGACUUGGGGAAAGUCUUGUUGAACUUGCUGUAAAAAACAGAAACUUUAGCGCUCACGAGAACUACUGUCAUUUUUAUUUGGGAAGUGCUAUUUAGUUAAUUCUUUUUGAAGAUGAUUAAUAGAUAAAUUCCUCACGUCCAGAAAUUUAUUUUAGAAUUUUUGGGGUUCCAGAUCUUGCGCUAGCUACAGAUUACUACAGACUGUUCUGUUUUUGACAGAUUCUGUUUUUCGUGUGUUGUUUGCUUAUUUUGAUGAAUCUAUGGCUAGUAAAUUAGUUUAUAAACCAUCGAGAAGUUGGAAUACAGUAGGUAUAACACCCAUACAAAUAAUUAAUGAGUUAAUUACAUUACCUUGAAGUGGUCUUUUGUUUUCUUUCGCUAACGGAGCUCACGAGAUUUUCUACUUUAAGUUUUGUGUUGUGAAGUUUUCAAGUUUUGGGUAAAGAUUUGAUGGAUUAUGGAACAAGGAGUGGCAAGAUACUAAGCUUGGGGAUGCCCAUGGAACCCCCAAGAUAAUCUAAGGACACCUAAAAGCCAAAGCUUGGGGAUGCCCCGGAAGGCAUCCCCUCUUUCGUCUACUUCUAUCGGUAACUUUACUUGGAGCUAUAUUUUUAUUUACCACAUGAUAUGUGUUUUGCUUGGAGCGUCUUGUAUUAUUUGAGUCUUUGCUUAUUAUUUUACCACAAUCAUCCUUGCUGUACACACCUUUUGAGAGAGCCAUAUAUGAUUUGGAAUUUGUUAGAAUACUCUAUGUGCUUCGCUUAUAUCUUUUGAGUUAUAUAAUUUUACUCUGGUGCUUCACUUAUAUCUUUUAGAGCACGGUGGUGGAUUUGUUUUAUAGAAACUAUUGAUCUCUCAUGCUUCACUUAGAUUAUUUUGAGAGUCUUAAAUAGCAUGGUAAUUUGCUUAAAAUCCUAAUAUGCUUGGUAUGCAAGAUUAAUAAUAAAAAUUCUCUUAUGAGUGUGUUGAAUACUAUGAUAAGUUUGAUACUUGAUAAUUGUUUUGAGACAUGGAGAUGGUGAUAUUAAAGUCAUGCUAGUUGAGUAGUUGUGAAUUUGAGAAAUACUUGUGUUGAAGCUUGUGAUUCCCGUAGCAUGCACGUAUGGUGAACCGUUAUGUGAUGAAGUCGGAGCAUUAUGAGUGGCGGUCGGGGACGAGCGAUGGUCUUUUCCUACCAAUCUAUCCCCCUAGGAGCAUGCGCGUAAUACUUUGCUUUGAUAACCUGUAGAUUUUUGCAAUAAGUAUAUGAGUUCUUUAUGACUAAUGUUGAGUCCAUGGAUUAUACGCACUCUCACCCUUCCACCUUUGCUAGCCUCUCUAAUACCGUGCACCUUUCGCCGGUAUCAUACACCUACCAUAUACCUUCCUCAAAACAGCCACCAUACCUACCUAUUAUGGCAUUUCCAUAGCCAUUCCGAGAUAUAUUGCCAUGCAACUUUCCACUGUUCCGUUUAUGACACAUUCCAUCAUUGUCAUAUUGCUUAGCAUGAUCAUGUAGUUGACAUAGUAUUCAUGGCAAAGCCACCGUUCAUAAUUCUUUCUUGUCACUCAUGCAUCAUUGCAUAUCCCGGUACACCGCCGGAGGCAUUCAUAUAGAGUCAUAUCUUGUUCUAAGUAUCGAGUUGUAAUUAUUGAGUUGUAAGAAAAAUAAAAGUGCGAUGAUCCUAAUUAUUAGAGCAUUGUCCCAAGUGAGGAAAGGAUGAUGUAGACUAUGAUUCCCCCACAAGUCGGGAUGAGACUCCGGACGAAAAAAAAGAGAAAGAAAAGAGGCCAUAAAAAAAGAGAAAAGGCCCAAAUCAAAAAAAAUGAGAGAAAAAGAGAGAAGGGACAUUGUUACUAUCCUUUUACCACACUUGUGCUUCAAAGUAGCACCAUGAUCUUCAUAGUAGAGAGUCUCUCAUGUUAUCACUUUCAUAUACUAGUGGGAAUUUUUCAUUAUAGAACUUGGCUUGUAUAUUCCAAUGAUGGGCUUCCUCAAAAUUGCCCUAGGUCUUCAUGAGCAAGCAAGUUGGAUGCACACCCACUUAGUUUCUUUUUGAGCUUUCAUAUACUUAUAGGUCUAGGGCAUCCGUUGCAUGGCAAUCCCUACUCACUCACAUUAAUAUCUAUUGAUCGACAUCUCCAUAGCCCGUUGAUACGCCUAGUUGAUGUGGGACUACCCCUUUUUGUCUUCUCCACAACCACCACUCUAUUCCACCUAUAGUGAUAUAUCCAUGGCUCACGCUCAUGUAUUGCGUGAAGAUUGAAAAAGUUUUGAGAAUGUCAAAAGUAUGAAACAAUUGCUUGGCUUGUCAUCGGAGUUGUGCAUGAUUUAAAUAUUUUGUGUGGUGAAGAUAGAGCAUAGCCAGACUAUAUGAUUUUGUAGAACUUUCUUUAGCCAUGUUAUUUUGAGAAGACAUAAUUGCUUUGUUAGUAUGCUUGAAGUAUUAUUAUUUUCUAUGUCAAUACGAACUUUUGUCUUGAAUCUUUUGGAUCUAAAUAUUCAUACCACAAUUAAGAAGAAUUACAUUAAAAUUAUGCCAAGUAGCAGUCCGCAUCAAAAAUUCUGUUUUUAUCAUUUACCUACUCGAGGACGAGCAGGAAUUAAGCUUGGGGAUGCUUGAUACGUCUCCAACGUAUCUAUAAUUUUUGAUUGCUCCAUGCUAUAUUAUCUACUAUUUUGGACAUUAUUGGGCUUUAUUAUCCACUUUUAUAUUAUUUUUGGGACUAACCUAUUAACCGGAGGCCCAACCCAGAAUUGAUGUUUUUUGCCUAUUUUAGGGUUUCGAAGAAAAGGAAUAUCAAACAGAGUCCAAAUGGAAUGAAACCUUCGGGAACAUGAUUUUCUCGCCGAAUACAACUCAGGAGACUUGGACCCUACAUCAAGCCAACUAACAGGAGGCCACGAGGUAGGGGUGUUGGAAAUAUGCCCUAGAGGCAAUAAUAAAUUGAUUAUUAUUAUAUUUCCUUGUUCAUGAUAAUCGUUUAUUAUCCAUUCUAGAAUUGUAUUGAUAGGAAACUCAGAUACAUGUGUGGAUACAUAGACAACACCAUGUCCCUAGUAAGCCUCUAGUUGACUAGCUCGUUGAUCAAUAGAUGGUUACGGUUUCCUGACCAUGGACAUUGGAUGUCGUUGAUAACGGGAUCACAUCAUUAGGAGAAUUAUGUGAUGGACAAGACCCAAUCCUAAGCCUAGCACAAAGAUCGUGUAGUUCGUAUGCUAAAGCUUUUCUAAAUGUCAAGUAUCAUUUCCUUAGACCAUGAGAUUGUGCAAAUCCCGGAUACCGUAGGAAUACUUUGGGUGUGCCAAACGUCACAACGUAACUGGGUGGCUAUAAAGGUACACUACGGGUAUCUCCGAAAGUGUCUGUUGGGUUGGCACGAAUCGAGACUGGGAUUUGUCACUCCGUGUGACGGAGAGGUAUCUCUGGGCCCACUCGGUAGGACAUCAUCAUAAUGUGCACAAUGUGAUCAAGGAGUUGAUCACGGGAUGAUGUGUUACGGAACGAGUAAAGAGACUUGCCGGUAACGAGAUUGAACAAGGUAUCGGGAUACCGACGAUCGAAUCUCGGGCAAGUAUCGUACCGAUAGACAAAGUAAUUGCAUACGGGAUUGAUUAAAGUCCUUGACAUCGUGGUUCAUUCAAUGAGAUCAUCGUGGAGCAUGUGGGAGCCAACAUGGGUAUCCAGAUCCCGCUGUUGGUUAUUGACCGGAGAACGUCUCGGUCAUGUCUGCAUGGUUCCCGAACCCGUAGGGUCUACACGCUUAAGGUUCGGUGAUGCUAGGGUUAUAGAGAUAUUAGUAUGCGGUAACCCGAAAGUUGUUCGGAGUCCCGGAUGAGAUCCCGGAUGUCACGAGGAGUUCCGGAAUGGUCCGGAGGUAAAGAAUUAUAUAUAGGAAGUGCUAUUUCGGCCAUCGGGACAAGUUUCGGGGUCACCGGUAUUGUACCGGGACCACCGGAAGGGUCCCGGGGGUCCACCGGGUGGGGCCACCUGCCCCGGGGGCCACAUGGGCUGUAGGGGUGUGCGCCUUGGCCUAUAUGGGCCAAGGGCACAAGCCCCAAGAGGCCCAUGCGCCAAGAGAUAAGGAAAGGAAGAGUCCUAAAGGGGGAAGUCACCUCCUAGGUGCUUUGGGGAGGAGGGACUCCUCCCUAGCCGCACCCUUCCUUGGAGGAAGGGACAAGGCUGCGCCCCCCUCUCCCUUGGCCCUAUAUAUAGUGGGGGGAAGGGAGGGUAGCCCCAUCUAAGCCCUGGCGCCUCCCUCUCCCUCCCGUGACACAUCUCCCUCCUCCCGCAGCGCUUGGCGAAGCCCUGUUGGAAUCCUGCUACUUCCACCACCACGCUGUCGUGCUGCUGGAUCUCCAUCAACCUCUCCUUCCCCCUUGCUGGAUCAAGAAGGAGGAGACGUCGCUGCUCCGUAUGUGUGUUGAACGCGGAGGUGCCGUUCGUUCGGCGCUAGGAUCAUCGGUGACUUGGAUCACGACGAGUACGACUCCUUCAACCCCGUUCUCUUGAACGCUUCCGCAUAGCGAUCUACAAGGGUAUGUAGAUGCACUCUCCUUCCCCUCGUUGCUAGUCUCUCCAUAGAUAGAUCUUGGUGACACGUAGGAAAUUUUUUGAAUUUCUGCUACGUUCCCCAACAGUGGCAUCAUGAGCUAGGUCUAUUGCGUAGAUUCUAUGCACGAGUAGAACACAAAGUAGUUGUGGGCGUUGAUUUUGUUUAAUAUGCUUACCGUUACUAGUCCAAUCUUGAUUCGGCGGCAUUGUGGUAUGAAGCGGCCCGGACCAACCUUACACGUACGCUUACGUGAGACCGGUUCCACCAACUAACAUGCACUAGUUGCAUAAGGUGGCUGGCGGGUGUCUGUCUCUCCCACUUUAGUCGGAUCGGAUUCGAUCAAAAGGGUCCUUAUGAUGGGUAAAUAGCAAUUGGCAUAUCACGUUGUGGUCUUUGCGUAGGUAAGAAACGUUCUUGCUAGAAACCCAUAGCAUCCACGUAAAACAUGCAAACAACAAUUAGAGGAUGUCUAACUUGUUUUUUCAGGGUAUGCUAUGUGAUGUGAUAUGGCCAAAGGAUGUGAUGAAUGAUAUAUGUGAUGUAUGAGAUGAUCAUGUUCUUGUAAUAGGAAUCACGACUUGCAUGUCGAUGAGUAUGACAACCGGCAGGAGCCAUAGGAGUUGUCUUUAUUUAUUUAUGACCUGCGUGUCAACAUAAACGUCAUGUAAUUACUUUACUUUAUUGCUAACCGUUAGCCAUAGUAGUAGAAGUAAUAGUUGGCGAGACAACUUCAUGAAGACACGAUGAUGGAGAUCAUGAUGAUGGAGAUCAUGGUGUCAUGCCGGUGACGAUGAUGAUCAUGAAGGAAAUAUGCCCUAGAGGCAAUAAUAAAGUUAUUAUUUAUUUCCUUAUAUCAUGAUAAAUGUUUAUUAUUCAUGCUAGAAUUGUAUUAACCAGAAACAUAAUACAUGUGUGAAUACAUAGACAAACAGAGUGUCACUAGUAUGCCUCUACUAGACUAGCUCGUUAAUCAAAGAUGGUUAUGUUUCCUAACCAUAGACAAAGGAGUUGUUAUUUGAUUAACGAGGUCACAUCAUUAGUUGAAUGAUCUGAUUGACAUGACCCAUUCCAUUAGCUUAGCACCUGAUCGUUUAGUAUGUUGCUAUUGCUUUCUUCAUGACUUAUACAUGUUCCUAUGACUAUGAGAUUAUGCAACUCCCGUUUGCCGGAGGAACACUUUGGGUGCUACCAAACGUCACAACGUAACUGGGUGAUUAUAAAGGAGCAUUACAGGUGUCUCCAAAGAUAGAUGUUGGGUUGGCGUAUUUCGAGAUUAGGAUUUGUCACUCCGAUUGUCGGAGAGGUAUCUCUGGGUCCUCUCGGUAAUACACAUCACAUAAGCCUUGCAAGCAUUACAACUAAUAUGUUAGUUGCGAGAUGAUGUAUUACGGAACGAGUAAAGAGACUUGCCGGUAACGAGAUUGAACUAGGUAUUGGAUACCGACGAUCGAAUCUCGGGCAAGUAACAUACCGAUGACAAAGGGAACAACGUAUGUUGUUAUGCGGUCUGACCGAUAAAGAUCUUCGUAGAAUAUGUAGGAGCCAAUAUGGGCAUCCAGGUCCCGCUACUGGUUAUUGACCGGAGACGUGUCUCGGUCAUGUCUACAUUGUUCUCGAACCCGUAGGGUCCGCACGCUUAAGGUUACGAUGACAGUUACAUUAUGAGUUUAUGCAUUUUGAUGUACCGAAGGUUGUUCGGAGUCCCGGAUGUGAUCACGGACAUGACGAGGAGUCUCGAAAUGGUCUAGACGUAAAUAUUGAUAUAUUGGAAGCCUAUGUUUGGACAUCGGAAGUGUUCCGGGUGAAAUCGGGAUUUUACUGGGUUACCGGGAGGUUACCGGAACCCCCCGGGAGCCAUAUGGGCCUUCAUGGGCCUUAGUGGAAAGGAGAAAGGGGCAGCCCAAGGUGGCUGCGCCACUUCCCCCUCCCGUAGUCCUAUUAGGACUAGGAGAAGGUGGCCGACCCCCCUCUCCCUCUUUCCCCCUUUGGGGAAUCCUAGUUGGAAUAGGAUUGGGGGGGAGUCCUACUCCCGGAAGGAGUAGGACUCCUCCUGCGCCCUCCUCCUUGGUCGGCGCCCCCUCCCCCCUUGGCUCCUUUAUAUACUGAGGUAGAGGCACCCCAAAGUGACACAAGUUGAUCCACGUGAUCUAUUCCUUAGCCGUGUGCGAUUCCCCCUGCCACCAUAUUCCUCGAUAAUACUGUAGCGGAGUUUAGGCGAAGCCCUGCUGCUGUAGUACAUCAAGAUCGUCACCAUGCCGUCAUGCUGACGGAACUCUUCCCCGACACUUUGCUGGAUCGGAGUCCGGGGAUCGUCAUCGAGCUGAACGUGUGCUUGAACUCGGAGGUGCCGUAGUUUCGGUGCUUGAUCGGUUGGAUCGUGAAGACGUACGACUACUUCCUCUACGUCGUGUCAGCGCUUCCGCAGUCGGUCUGCGUUGGGUUCGUAGACAACACUCUCCCAUAUCAUUGCUAUGCAUCACAUGAUCUUGCGUGUGCGUAGGAAUUUUUUUGAAAUUACUACGAAACCCAACAGUGGCAUCCGAGCCUAGGUUAUUUAUGUUGAUGUUAUUUGCACGAGUAGAACACAAGUGAGUUGUGGACGAUACAAGUCAUACUGCCUACCAGCAUGUCAUACUUUGGUUCGGCGGUAUUGUUGGACGAGACGACCCGGACCAACCUUACGCGUACGCUUACGCGAGACCGGUUCCCUCGACGUGCUUUGCACAUAGAUGGCUUGCGGGCGACUAUCUCUCCAACUUUAGUUGAACCGAGUAUGGCUACGCCCGGUCCUUACGAAGGUUAAAACGGAGUCUAUUUGACAAACUAUCGUUGUGGUUUUGAUGCGUAGGUGAGAUUGGUUCUUACUUAAGCCCGUAGCAGCCACGUAAAACAUGCAACAACAAAGUAGAGGACGUCUAACUUGUUUUUGCAGGGCAUGUUGUGAUGUGAUAUGGUCAAGGCAUGAUGCUGAAUUUUAUUGUAUGAGAUGAUCAUGUUUUGUAAUCGAGUUAUCGGCAACUGGCAGGAGCCAUAUGGUUGUCGCUUUAUUGUAUGCAAUGCAAUCGCGAUGUAAUGCUUUACUUUAUUACUAAACGGUAGUGAUAGUCGUGGAAGCAUAAGAUUGGCGAGACGACAACGAUGCUACGAUGGAGAUCAAGGUGUCGCGCCGAUGACGAUGGUGAUCAUGACGGUGCUUCGGAGAUGGAGAUCACAAGCACAAGAUGAUGAUGGCCAUAUCAUAUCACUUAAAUUGAUUGCAUGUGAUGUUUAUCCUUUUAUGCAUCUUAUCUUGCUUUGAUUGACGGUAGCAUUAUAAGAUGAUCUCUCACUAAAUUAUCAAGAAGUGUUCUCCCUGAGUAUGCACCGUUGCCAAAGUUCGUCGUGCCCAGACACCACGUGAUGAUCGGGUGUGAUAAGCUCUACGUCCAUCUACAAUGGGUGCAAGCCAGUUUUUGCACACGCAGAAUACUCAGGUUAAACUUGACGAGCCUAGCAUAUGCAGAUAUGGCCUCGGAACACGGAGACCGAAAGGUCGAGCGUGAAUCAUAUAGUAGAUAUGAUCAACAUAACGAUGUUCACCAUUGAAAACUACUCCAUCUCAUGUGAUGAUCGGUCAUGGUUUAGUUGAUUUGGAUCACGUAAUCACUUAGAAGAUUAGAGGGAUGUCUAUCUAAGUGGGAGUUCUUAAGUAAUAUGAUUAAUUGAACUUAAAUUUAUCAUGAACUUAGUACCUGAUAGUAUCUUGCUUGUUUAUGUUGAUUGUAGAUAGAUGGCUUGUGCUGUUGUUCCGUUGAAUUUUAAUGCGUUCCUUGAGAAAGCAAAGUUGAAAGAUGAUGGUAGCAAUUACACGGACUGGGUCCGUAACUUGAGGAUUAUCCUCAUUGCUGCUCAGAAGAAUUACGUCCUGGAAGCACCGCUGGGUGCCAGGCCUGCUGCUGGAGCAACACCAGAUGUUAUGAACGUCUGGCAGAGCAAAGCUGAUGACUACUCGAUAGUUCAGUGUGCCAUGCUUUACGGCUUAGAAUCGGGACUUCAACGACGUUUUGAACGUCAUGGAGCAUAUGAGAUGUUCCAGGAGUUGAAGUUAAUAUUUCAAGCAAAUGCCCGAAUUGAGAGAUAUGAAGUCUCCAAUAAGUUCUAUAGCUGCAAGAUGGAGGAGAACAGUUCUGUUAGUGAGCAUAUACUCAAAUGUCUGGGUAUAAUAAUCACUUGAUUCAAUUGGGAGUUAAUCUUCCGGAUGAUUGCGUCAUUGACAGAAUUCUCCAAUCACUGCCACCAAGCUACAAAAGCUUCGUGAUGAACUAUAAUAUGCAAGGGAUGAACAAGACUAUUCUCGAGCUCUUCGCAAUGCUGAAAGCUGCGGAGGUAGAAAUCAAGAAGGAGCAUCAAGUGUUGAUGGUUAACAAGACCACUAGUUUCAAGAAAAAGGGCAAAGGGAAGAAGAAGGGGAACUUCAAGAAGAAUGGCAAGCAAGUUGCUGCUCAAGAGAAGAAACCCAAGUCUGGACCUAAGCCUGAAACUGAGUGCUUCUACUGCAAGCAGACUGGUCACUGGAAGCGGAUCUGCCCCAAGUAUUUGGCGGAUAAGAAGGAUGGCAAGGUGAACAAAGGUAUAUGUGAUAUACAUGUUAUUGAUGUGUACCUUACUAGAGCUCGCAGUAGUACCUGGGUAUUUGAUACUGGUUCUGUUGCUAAUAUUUGCAACUCGAAACAGGGACUACGGGUUAAGCGGGCACUGGCAAAGGACGAGGUGACGAUGCGCGUGGGAAACGGUUUCAAAGUCGAUGUGAUCGCAGUCGGCACGCUACCUCUACAUCUACCUUCGGGAUUAAUAUUAGACCUAAAUAAUUGUUAUUUGGUGCCAGCGUUGAGCAUGAACAUUAUAUCUGGAUCUUGUUUAAUGCGAGAAGGUUAUUCAUUUAAAUCAGAGAAUAAUGGUUGUUCUAUUUAUAUGAGUAAUAUCUUUUAUGGUCAUGCACCCUUGAAGAGUGGUCUAUUCUUAUUGAAUCUCGAUAGUAGUAAUACACAUAUUCAUAAUGUUGAAGCCAAAAGAUGCAGAGUUGAUAAUGAAAGUGCAACUUAUUUGUGGCACUGUCGUUUAGGUCAUAUCAGUAUAAAGCGCAUGAAGAAACUCCAUACUGAUGGACUUUUGGAACCACUUGAUUAUGAAUCACUUGGUACUUGCGAACCGUGCCUCAUGGGCAAGAUGACUAAAACACCGUUCUCCGGUACUAUGGAGAGAGCAACAGAUUUGUUGGAAAUCAUACAUACCGAUGUAUGUGGUCCGAUGAAUAUUGAGGCUCGUGGCGGAUAUCGUUAUUUUCUCACCUUCACAGAUGAUUUAAGCAGAUAUGGAUAUAUCUACUUAAUGAAACAUAAGUCUGAAACAUUUGAAAAGUUCAAAGAAUUUCAGAGUGAAGUUGAAAAUCAUCGUAACAAGAAAAUAAAGUUUCUAUGAUCUGAUCGUGGAGGAGAAUAUUUGAGUUACGAGUUUGGUGUACAUUUGAAAAACUGUGGAAUAGUUUAGCAACUCACGCCACCCGGAACACCACAGCGUAAUGGUGUGUCCGAAUGUCGUAAUCGUACUUUACUAGAUAUGGUGCGAUCUAUGAUGUCUCUUACUGAUUUACCGCUAUCGUUUUGGGGUUAUGCUCUAGAGACGGCCGCAUUCACGUUAAACAGGGCACCAUCAAAAUCCGUUGAGACGACGCCUUAUGAACUGUGGUUUGGCAAGAAACCAAAGUUGUCGUUUCUUAAAAUUUGGGGCUGCGAUGCUUAUGUGAAAAAGCUUCAACCUGAUAAGCUCGAACCCAAAUCGGAGAAAUGUGUCUUCAUAGGAUACCCAAAGGAAACUGUUGGGUACACCUUCUAUCACAGAUCCGAAGGCAAGACAUUCGUUGCUAAGAAUGGAUCCUUUCUAGAGAAGGAGUUUCUCUCGAAAGAAGUGAGUGGGAGGAAAGUAGAACUUGACGAGGUAACUGUACCUGCUCCCUUACUGGAAAGUAGUUCAUCACAGAAAACUGUUUCAGUGACACCUACACCAGUUAGUGAGGAAGCCAAUGAUAAUGAUCAUGAAACUUCAGAUCAAGAUACUACUGAACCUCGUAGAUCAACCAGAGUAAGAUCCGCACCAGAGUGGUACGGUAAUCCUGUUCUGGAAGUCAUGCUACUAGAUCAUGAUGAACCUACGAACUAUGAAGAAGCGAUGGUGAGCCCAGAUUCCGCAAAGUGGCUUGAAGCCAUGAAAUCUGAGAUGGGAUCCAUGUAUGAGAACAAAGUAUGGACUUUGGUUGACUUGCCCGAUGAUCGGCAAGCAAUUGAGAAUAAAUGGAUCUUUAAGAAGAAGACUGACGCUGAUGGUAAUGUUACUGUCUACAAAGCUCGACUUGUCGCAAAAGGUUUUCGGCAAGUUCAAGGGAUUGACUACGAUGAGACCUUCUCACCCGUAGCGAUGCUUAAGUCCGUCCGAAUCAUGUUAGCGAUUGCCGCAUUUUAUGAUUAUGAAAUUUGGCAGAUGGAUGUCAAAACUGCAUUCCUGAAUGGAUUUCUGGAAGAGGAGUUGUAUAUGAUGCAACUGGAAGGUUUUGUCGAUCCAAAGGGAGCUAACAAAGUGUGCAAGCUCCAGCGAUCCAUUUAUGGACUGGUGCAAGCCUCUCGGAGUUGGAAUAAACGUUUUGAUAGUGUGAUCAAAGCAUUUGGUUUUAUACAGACUUUCGGAGAAGCCUGUAUUUACAAGAAAGUGAGUGGGAGCUCUGUAGCAUUUCUAAUAUUAUAUGUGGAUGACAUAUUGAUGAUUGGAAAUGAUAUAGAAUUUCUGGAUAGCAUAAAGGGAUACUUGAAUAAUAGUUUUUCAAUGAAAGACCUCGGUGAAGCUGCUUACAUAUUAGGCAUUAAGAUCUAUAGAGAUAGAUCAAGACGCUUAAUUGGACUUUCACAAAGCACAUACCUUGACAAAAUUUUGAAGAAGUUCAAAAUGGAUCAAGCAAAGAAAGGGUUCUUGCCUGUGUUACAAGGUGUGAAGUUGAGUAAGACUCAAUGCCCGACCACUGCAGAAGGUAGAGAGAAUAUGAAAGAUGUUCCCUAUGCAUCAGCCAUAGGAUCUAUCAUGUAUGCAAUGCUGUGUACCAGACCUGAUGUGUGCCUUGCUAUAAGUUUAGCAGGGAGGUACCAAAGUAAUCCAGGAGUGGAUCACUGGACAGCGGUCAAGAACAUUCUGAAAUACCUGAAAAGGACUAAGGAUAUGUUUCUCGUAUAUGGAGGUGACAAAGAGCUCACCGUAAAAGGUUACGUUGAUGCAAGCUUUGACACUAAUCCGGACGAUUCUAAAUCGCAAACCGGAUACGUGUUUACAUUAAACGGUGGAGCUCUCAGUUGGUGCAGUUCUAAACAAAGCGUCGUAGCAGGAUCUACAUGUGAAGCGGAGUACAUAGCUGCUUCGGAAGCAGCGAACGAAGGAGUCUGGAUGAAGGAGUUCAUAUCCGAUCUAGGUGUUAUACCUAAUGCAUCGGGUCCAAUGAAAAUCUUUUGUGACAAUACUGGUGCAAUUGCCUUGGCAAAGGAAUCCAGAUUUCACAAAAGGACCAAACACAUCAAGAGACGCUUCAACUCCAUCCGGGAUCUAGUCCAGGUGGGAGACAUAGAGAUUUGCAAGAUACAUACGGAUCUGAAUGUUGCAGACCCGUUGACUAAGCCUCUUCCACGAGCAAAACAUGAUCAGCACCAAAGCUCCAUGGGUGUUAGAAUCAUUAUAGUGUAAUCUAGAUUAUUGACUCUAGUGCAAGUGGGAGACUGAAGGAAAUAUGCCCUAGAGGCAAUAAUAAAGUUAUUAUUUAUUUCCUUAUAUCAUGAUAAAUGUUUAUUAUUCAUGCUAGAAUUGUAUUAACCAGAAACAUAAUACAUGUGUGAAUACAUAGACAAACAGAGUGUCACUAGUAUGCCUCUACUAGACUAGCUCGUUAAUCAAAGAUGGUUAUGUUUCCUAACCAUAGACAAAGGAGUUGUUAUUUGAUUAACGAGGUCACAUCAUUAGUUGAAUGAUCUGAUUGACAUGACCCAUUCCAUUAGCUUAGCACCUGAUCGUUUAGUAUGUUGCUAUUGCUUUCUUCAUGACUUAUACAUGUUCCUAUGACUAUGAGAUUAUGCAACUCCCGUUUGCCGGAGGAACACUUUGGGUGCUACCAAAUGUCACAACAUAACUGGGUGAUUAUAAAGGAGCAUUACAGGUGUCUCCAAAGAUAGAUGUUGGGUUGGCGUAUUUCGAGAUUAGGAUUUGUCACUCCGAUUGUCGGAGAGGUAUCUCUGGGCCCUCUCGGUAAUACACAUCACAUAAGCCUUGCAAGCAUUACAACUAAUAUGUUAGUUGCGAGAUGAUGUAUUACGGAACGAGUAAAGAGACUUUCCGGUAACGAGAUUGAACUAGGUAUUGGAUACCGACGAUCGAAUCUCGGGCAAGUAACAUACCGAUGACAAAGGGAACAACGUAUGUUGUUAUGCGGUCUGACCGAUAAAGAUCUUCGUAGAAUAUGUAGGAGCCAAUAUGGGCAUCCAGGUCCCGCUAUUGGUUAUUGACCGGAGACGUGUCUCAGUCAUGUCUACAUUGUUCUCGAACCCGUAGGGUCCGCACGCUUAAGGUUACGAUGACAGUUACAUUAUGAGUUUAUGCAUUUUGAUCUACCGAAGGUUUAUCAGAGUCCCGGAUGUGAUCACGGACAUGACGAGGAGUCUCUAAAUGGUCGAGACGUAAAUAUUGAUAUAUUGGAAGCCUAUGUUUGGACAUCGAAAGUGUUCCGGGUGAAAUCGGGAUUUUACCGGGUUACCGGGAGGUUACCGGAACCCCCCGGGAGCCAUAUGGGCCUUCAUGGGCCUUAGUGGCUGCGCCACUUCCCCCUCCCCUAGUCCUAUUAGGACUAGGAGAAGGUGGCCGGCCCCCCUCUCCCUCUUUCCCCCUUUGGGGAAUCCUAGUUGGAAUAGGAUUGGGGGGGAGUCCUACUCCCGGAAGGAGUAGGACUCCUCCUGCGCCCUCCUCCUUGGCCGGCGCCCCCUCCCCCCUUGGCUCCUUUAUAUACUGAGGUAGAGGCACCCCAAAGAGACACAAGUUGAUCCACGUGAUCUAUUCCUUAGCCGUGUGCGGUGCCCCUGCCACCAUAUUCCUCGAUAAUACUGUAGCGGAGUUUAGGCGAAGCCCUGCUGCUGUAGUACAUCAAGAUCGUCACCAUGCCAUCGUGCUGACGGAACUCUUCCCCGACACUUUGCUGGAUCGGAGUCCGGGGAUCGUCAUCGAGCUGAACGUGUGCUCGAACUCGGAGGUGCCGUAGUUUCGGUGCUUGAUCGGUUGGAUCGUGAAGACGUACGACUACUUCCUCUAUGUCGUGUCAGCGCUUCCGCAGUCGGUCUGCGUUGGGUACGUAGACAACACUCUCCCAUCUCGUUGCUAUGCAUCACAUGAUCUUGCGUGUGCGUAGGAAAUUUUUUGAAAUUACUACGAAACCCAACAGAUCAUGGAGCCCCGAAGAUGGAGAUCAAGAGGAGCAAAGUGAUGAUGGCCAUAUCAUGUCACUAUUUGAUUGCAUGUGAUGUUUAUCAUGCUUUUGCAUCUUGUUUACUUAGAAGACGGUAGUAAAUAAGAUGAUCCCUCAUAAUAAUUUCAAGAAAGUGUUCCCCCUAACUGUGCACCGUUGUGACAGUUCGUUGUUUCGAAGCACCACGUGAUGAUCGGGUGUGAUAGAUUCUAACGUUCACAUACAACGGGUGUAAGACAGAUUUACACACGCGAAACACUUAGGUUGACUUGAUGAGCCUAGCAUGUGUAUAGACAUGGCCUCGGAACACAGAAGACCGAAAGGUCGAGCAUGAGUCGUAUGGUAGAUACGAUCAUCAUGAAGAUGUUCACCGAUGUUGACUAGUCCAUCUCACGUGAUGAUCGGACAUGGCCUAGUUGACUCGGAUCAUGUAAUCACUUAGAUGACUGGAUGGAUGUCUAUCUGAGUGGGAGUUCAUAAGAUGAACUUGUUUAUCCUGAACUUAGUCAAAAAGGAUUUUGUAAAUUAUGUCGUAGCUCGCGCUUUAGUUCUACUAUUUAGAUAUGUUCCUAGAGAAAAAAUAGUUAAAAGUUGAUAGUAGCAAUUAUGCGGACUAGGUCCGUAAACUGAGGAUUGUCCUCAUUGCUUCUUAGAAGGCUUAUGUCCUUAAUGCACCGCUCAGUGUGCUGAACCUCGAAAGUUGUCUGUGGAUGUUGCGAACAUCUGACAUACACGUUCUGAUAACUACAUGAUAGUUCAGUUAAACGGUUUAGAGUUGAGGCACCGAAGACGGUUUUUGAAACGUCACGAAACAUAUGAGAUGUUUCGAGGGCUGAAAUUGGAAUUUCAGGCUCGUGCCCACGUCAAGAGGUAUAAGGCCUCCGACGAUUUUCUUAGCCUGCAAACUAAGGGAGAAAAGCUCAAUUGUUGAGCUUGUGCUCAGAUUGUCUGAGUAUAACAAUCAUUUGAAUCGAGUGGGAGUUGAUCUUCCAGAUAAGAUAGUGAUGUUUCUCCGAAGUCAUUACCACCAAGCUGCUAGAGCUUCGUGAUGAACUAUAAUAUAUCAGGGACAUAUAUGAUGAUCCUUGAGAUAUUCGUGAUGUUUGACACCAAAGUAGAAAUCAAGAAGGAGCAUCAAUUGUUGAUGGUUGGUGAAACAUCUAGUUUCAAGAAGGGCAAGGGCAAGAAGGGAUACUUCAUGAAACGGCAAUUCAGCUGCUGCUCUAGUGAAGAGACCCAAGGUUGAACCCAAACCCGAGACUAAGUGCUUCUGUAAUAAGGGGAACAACCACUGGAGCAGAAUUACCCUAGAUACUUGGUAGAUUAGAAGGCUGGCAAGGUCAAUAGAAGUAUAUUGGAUAUACAUUGUGUUGAUGUGUACUUUACUAGUACUCCUAGUAGCACUAGGGCAUUGGAUACCGGUUCGGUUGCUAAGUGUUAGUAACUCGAAAUAAAAGCUAUGGAAUAAACGGAGACUAGCUAAAGGUGAGAUGACGAUAUGUGUUGGAAGUAUUUCCAAGGUUGAUCAAAUAUCGUACGCUCCCUCUACCAUCGAGAUUGGUGUUUGCGUUGAGCAUAGACAUGAUUGGAUUAUGUCUAUCGCAAUACGGUUAUUCAUUUAAGGAGAAUAAUGGUUACUCUGUUUAUUUGAAUAAUACCUUCAAUGGCCUUACACCUAAAAUGAAUGGUUUAUUGAAUCUCGAUCGUAGUGAUACACAUGUUCAUGCCAAAAGAUAGUAAUGAUAGUACCACCUACUUGUGGCACUGCCACGUAAGUCAUAUCGGUAUAAAACGCAUGAAGAAGCUCCAUGUUGAUGGAUCUUUGGGCUCACUCGUUUUUGAAAGGUUUGAGACAUGCGAACCAUGUCUAUUGGUGUAUAUGCAUGAAGAAACUCCAUGCAAAUGGACCGUUUGGACUCACUUGAUUUUGAAUCACUUGAGACAUGCAAAUCAUACCACAUGGGCAAGAUGACUGAAAGCCUCGGUUUCAGUAAAAUGGAACUAGAAAGCAACCUGUUGGAAGUAAUACAUUUUGAUGUGUGCAGUCCAAUGAGUGCUGAGGCGUGUAGUGGAUAUCGUUAUGUUCUUACUUCAUAGAUGAUUUGAGUAGAUGUUGAGUAUAUUUACUUGAUGAAUCACGAGUCUGAAUUAUUGAAAGGUUCAAGUAAUUUCAGGGUGAAGUUGAAAGAUCGUCGUGACAAGAGGAUAAAAUAUCUAUGAUAUGAUCAUAGAGAUGAAUAUCUGAAUUACGAGUUUGGCACAGAAUUAAGACAUUGUGGAAAUUGUUUCACAACUGAUACAGCCUGGAACACCAUAGUGUGAUGGUGUGUCCGAACAUCAUAACUGCACCCUAUUGGAUAUGAUGCAUACCAUGAUGUCUCUUAUCGAAUUACCACGAUAGUUUAUGGGUUAGGCAUUAGAGACAACCGCAUUCACUUUUAAUAGGGCACCACGUAAUUCCGAUGAGAUGACACCGUAUGAACUAUGGUUUAGAGAAACCUAAGCUGUCAUUUCUUAAAAGUUUGGGGCUGUGACGCUUAUGCGAAAAAGUUUCAGGCUGAUAAGCUCGAACCCAAAGCGGAUAAAUGCAUCUUCAUAGGACACCCAAAAUAGUUGGGUAUACCUCCUGUCUCAGAACCGAAAGCAAUAAGGGAUUGUUUCUAGAAUCGGGUCCUUUCUCGAGGAAAAGUUUCUCUCGAAAGAAUUGAGUGGGAGGAUGGUGGAGACUUGAUGAGGUUAUUGAACCGUCACUACAACUAGUGUAUAGCAGGGCACAAAGAGUUGUUCCUGUGGCACCUACACCAAUUGAAGUGGAAGCUUAUGAUAGUGAUCAUGAGACUUCAGAUCAAGCCACUCCCAAACCUCAUAGGAUGACAAGGAUGCGUACUACUUUAGAGUGGUACGUAAUCCUGUCUUGGAAGUCAUGUUGCUAGACAACAAUGAACCUACAAGCUAUGGAGAAUCGAUGGUGGGCCUGGAUUCCAAUAAAUGGCUCAAGGCCAUAAAAUCCGAGAGAGGAUCCAUGUAUGAAAACAAAGUGUAGACUUUGGAAGAACUACUUGAUGGUCGUAAGGCUGUUGGGUACAUAUGGAUUUUAAAAGGAAGACGGACAAUGAUGGUAAGUAUCACCAUUAAGAAAGCUCAACUUGUCGUUAAGAUGGUUUCCGACAAGUUCAAGGAGUUGACUACGAUGAGACUUUUCAACCGUAGCGAUGCUAAGAGUCUGUUGGAAUUAUGUUAGCGAUUACUGCAUUAUUUAUGAAAUCUUGCAGAUAGGAUGUCAAAACAUUGUUUCCUCGACGAUUUUCUUGAGAAAAGGUUGUAUGUGAUACAAUUGGAAGGUUUUGUCAAUCCUGAAAGAUGCUAAUAAGUAUGCAAAGCUCCAGCGAUCCUUCUAAGGACUGGAGUAAGCAUCUCGGAGUUGGAAUGUAUGCUUUGAUGAAAUGAUCAAAGAUUUUGGGUGUAUACAAAGUUUAUGAGAAACUUGUAUUUCCAAAGAAGUGAGUGGGAGCACUAUAGAAUUUCUGACGAAUAUAUGUUGUUGACAUAUUGUUGAUCAGAAAUGAUGUAGAAUUUCUGGAAAGCAUAUAGGGUUAUUUGGAAAGCGUUUUUUCAAUGGAAAGCCUGGAUUAAGCUACUUGAACAUUGAGCAUCAAGAUCUAUAAGGAUAGAUCAAAACGCUUAAUGGUACUUUCAAAUGAGCACAUACCUUGACGUGAUCUUGAAGGUGUUCAAGAUGGAUCAGUCAAAGAAGGAGUUCUUGCCUGAGUUGUAAGGUAUGAAGUUAAGACUUAAAGCUCGACCACGGCAGAAUAGAGAGAAAGGACGAAGGUCGUCCCCUAUGCUUAAGACAUAGGCUCUACAGUAUGCUAUGCUGUGUACCGCACCUGAAGUGUGCCUUGCCAUGAGUCAGUCAAGGGGUACAAGAGUGAUCCAAGAAUGGAUCACAGGACAACGGUCAAAGUUAUCCUUAGUAACUAGUGGACUAAGGGAUUUUCUCGAUUAUGGAGGUGGUAAAAGAGUUCGUCGUAAAGGGUUACGCCGAUGCAAACUUUGACACUAAUCCAGAUUAUUCUGAGUAGUAAACUGGAUUCGUAUAGUAGAACAGUUAUUUGGAAUAGCUCCAAAUAGAGCGUGGUAGAUGCAUCUAGGAGAUGACAUAGAGAUUUCUAAAGCACACACGGAUCUGAAAGGUUCAGACCCGUUGACUAUAGCCUCUCUCACAAGCAUAACAUGAUCAAACCCAGAUCUCAUCGAGUGUUAAUCACAUGGUAAAUGUGAACUAGAUUAUUGACUCUAGUAAACUCUUUGGGUGUUAGUCAGAUGGGGAUGUGACCUUGAGUGUUAAUCACGUAUCGAUGUGAACUAGAUUAUUGACUCUAGUGCAAGUGGGAGACUGUUGGAAAUAUGCCCUAGAGGCAAUAAUAAAUUGAUUAUUAUUAUAUUUCCUUGUUCAUGAUAAUCGUUUAUUAUCCAUGCUAAUUGUAUUGAUAGGAAACUUAGAUACAUGUGUGGAUACAUAGACAACACCAUGUCCCUAGUAAGCCUCUAGUUGACUAGCUCGUUGAUCAAUAGAUGGUUACGGUUUCCUGACCAUGGACAUUGGAUGUCGUUGAUAACGGGAUCACAUCAUUAGGAGAAUGAUGUGAUGAACAAGACCCAAUCCUAAGCCUAGCACAAAGAUCGUGUAGUUCGUAUGCUAAAGCUUUUCUAAAUGUCAAGUAUCAUUUCCUUAGACCAUGAGAUUGUGCAACUCCCGGAUACCAUAGGAAUACUUUGGGUGUGCCAAAUGUCACAACGUAACUGGGUGGCUAUAAAGGUACACUACGGGUAUCUCCGAAAGUGUCUGUUGGGUUGGCAUGAAUCAAGACUGGGAUUUGUCACUCCGUGUGACGGAGAGGUAUCUCUGGGCCCACUCGGUAGGACAUCAUCAUAAUGUGCACAAUGUGAUCAAGGAGUUGAUCACGGGAUGAUGUGUUACGGAACGAGUAAAGAGACUUGCCGGUAAAGAGAUUGAACAAGGUAUAGGGAUACCGACGAUCGAAUCUCGGGCAAGUAUUGUACCGAUAGACAAAGGAAUUGCAUACGGGAUUGAUUAAAGUCCUUGACAUCGUGGUUCAUCCGAUGAGAUCAUCGUGGAGCAUGUGGGAGCCAACAUGGGUGUAACGCCCUCGAUGCGGCUAUAGCUCCCACGUGUCGAGGCACGACUUAGAGACAUAACCGCAUUGAAAGCAAUGUCGCAAGUUAGGCAAUCAUUACAACAUCCCAUGUAAUACAUAAUAAAAGGGGGAGAUACCAUAGUUGGCUUACACUCGCCACGUCACAUCAGAGUGCAUAAAUAACAUCCAUCAAACAAACACUCAUGGCCCGACUACGGCGCCAAAAUAGAAAAGAACCCAACAUGCGACAAGGUCCUGAAUCGAUCCCCAACUAGGCACCACUACUGAUCAUCGGGAAAGGAAACAUAAUAACGCUGAGAGUCCUCGUCGAACUCCCACUUGAGCUCGUACUCGUCACCUGGAGCGGAAUCACCUGGACCUGCAUCUGGAGUUGUAGUAUCUGUGAGCCACAGGGACUCAGCAAUCUCGCACCCUCGCGAUCAAAACUAUUUAAGCUCAUAGGAAUGGAUAAGGCAAAUAUAUGUGGAGCUGCAGCAAGCGACUAGCAUAUGCGGUGGCUAACUUAUACGCAAAAGAGAGCGAGAAGAGAAGGCGAAGCACGAGAGAGAAGCUAAAGGAACAUCCUGCGCACGCAUAACUCCAACACCGUGUCCACUUCCCGGACUCCGCCGAGAAGGGGCCAUCACGGUAACACACACGGUUGAUUCAUUUUAAUUAAGUUUAGUUCAAGUAAUCUACAACCGGACAUUAACAAAUUCCCAUCUGCCCAUAACCGCGGGCACGGCUUUCGAAAGUUCAAUCCCUGCAGGGGAGUCCCAACUUAGCCCAUGACAAGCUCUCACGGUCAACGAAGGAAUAGACCUCCACCCGAGACAUUCCGAUCAGACUCGGUAUCCCGGUACAACAAGACAUUUCGAUAGGGUAAAACUAAACCAGCAACACCGCCCGAAUGUGCCGACAAAUCCCGAUAGGAGCUGCACAUAUCUCUUUCUCAGGGCACACUCAGAUUGUCCUAGGUACGGGUAGGCCAGCCCAGAGUUGCCCCUGGUAGCCACCGGUAGCUGACAGGUGGACCAACACUCAGAGGAGCACUGGCCCGGGGGGGGGGGUAAAAUAACGAUGACCCUUGAGUCUGCAGAACCCAAGGGAAAGAAAAGGCUAGGUGGCAAAUGGUAAAACCAAUGUUGGGCAUUGCUGGAAGAGCUUUACUUAAGACGAACUGUCAAGGGGUUCCCAUAAUAGCCCAACCGUGUAAGGAACGCAAAAUCCGGGAACAUAACACCGAUAUGACGGAAACUAGGGCGGCAAGAGUGGAACAAAACACCAGGCAUAAGGCCGAGCCUUCCACCCUUUACCAAGUAUAUAGAUGCAUUAAUUAAGUAAGGUAUAUUGUGAUAUCCCAACAAGUAAAUAAAAGUUCCAACAAGGAACGGCUCCAAUCUUCCACCUGCAACUAACAACACUAUAAGAAGGGCUGAGCAAAGCGGUAACAUAGCCAAUCAACGGUUUGCUAGGACAAUGGUGGGUUAGGGGAUCACAUGGCAAUUGGGAGGCUGACAAGCAAAAGGUAGGCAUCGUAGCAGUGGCAAAGCAAAAGAGCGAGCAAACUAGCAUAGCAAAGAUAGUAGUGAUUUCGAGGGUAUGAUCAUCUUGCCUGCACAUUUGUCAGAGUUGACUGGAUCCUCGCAAGCAAACUCAACGGGCUCCUCGGUAGCGAACUCGUCUCCCGGCUCUACCCAACAAGACAAACAAGCAACAAGGAUACAAUCAACCACGGCAAGACCAAGCAAUAUGAUGAAAUGACGAUAUGCUAUGCGGGAUGCGAUGCGGGAUGCAAAAUGCAAGAUAUGACAGGAAAUGCAUGAACCUGGCAUCAACUUGGAAAACCAAGUGUGCCACUGGAUAGAGGGGAUGAAAUCGCUUGAAAACGAUAUAAAGAUCAUUGGAAUCGGAGCUACGGUUUGGAAAUGGCGAGCGUUUUAAGAUAUGACACCGGUAUGCGAUUUACAGCAAGUAGGCAUCUAAAUGCAACAAAAUGAACAUGCUACAACCACCAAACAUGAAAACAAAUACAUGGCAGUGAUGUACACAAGAUGGUUGACAAAACACUAGCACUGAGCCAUAGGCAAAUUCAUCCAUUAAGAGGUUCAAACAAGCAUGGCUAAAACGCAAAUGCAAAACAGAUUUCAGACUUAGUGAAAUUAACACUAGUCUGAAAUUUCAGAUCACGAUGCUCUCUUCGGAGCAGCAAAACAACAUGAUAGAAAACCUGAACAUGACAAGUAAUAACAUGGCAUGGAGCUACUCAACAAGCUUAAAAAAACACCCAAAGUGACCUGGGGCCAAAAGGGUUCACAAAAUACUCUACCGAGCUCACGAACAUAGCUCGAACACAAUCAGUUUUCAGACUUAGUGAAAACUGAGACACGCUGAAAUAUAACUCACGAAGGCAUGUAAACGAGCUCGAUGCACUCACUACGGUGCAAGUCAUGGCAAGGAAAGCAUAUAACCAGCAAGAAGGCACAAAGUGCUAGCUACACAUGGCAAGAACGAAGGCAUAGCAUGCAUGGAACACUAACGGUAGCAUCGGCAAAAUCGCAAACAAGUUGACGAUCUGCCCGGAUUAACAACGAAGCAAAAGUUGAGCUUGAUUGAGUCAACCUAGAGCACUCCGCAUAUGCAAACAAAGACAUGGAUGGAUAGAUCAUAACAUAAUUAUAAAAACUCCCUUACUGAUCAUCCUCAAAAGAGGCACGGAUCACUAGGAAACAAGCUGGACAUAUAGCAUCACGAACUAAAAUAUCCCAGACUUAGUGAAAAUCACUAAGUCUCUGAAAUCAGCAAUCUCAGGUACCUCUCUUUGCAAGCUUGCACAAGACAACACACACAUCCUAAAAAUGCAUGGGUGGCACCACUGGAAAGAAGACAAAAUGCUUAACAAUUCAUCCCAAAGGGGCACAGGCAUAUCAUGCACGAAUUAAACAUGGCAAAAAUGACAAAAGUGCAUGAUGAACUAACGGAUCUGCAAUUUAACUCACGAAGCCUCCUUCUAACAGCAUUUUGGGCAUCAAGAUGACCUCAAAUGCAAAUGAUGCAAUGGAAUGAAAUGAUGUACAUGUCGAGACGAAGAUUUUGAUAUAUCAUAUGCCCAAAACGGAGCUACGGUUACGGAGAUACGAGCAGUCAAAGUAGGCACAAAAAUCUAGGGUUAGAGGUAAAAAGUCAACCCGAGAUCCAGAUCUGGAUCCGGGGUACUGUUCACCUGCGCGUCUCCCGAGGAUGACCAGCGCCGGAGCUCAUCGGUGCCGGCCGGAGUGGGGGAAGAGGAGGCCGGGGUGAGGGAGAGGAGGUCGGGCGGCGCCGGAGGAGGAGGCGGCGACCGCGGGCGGCGGCGUCCGNNNNNNNNNNNNNNNNNNNNNNNNNNNNNNNNNNNNNNNNNNNNNNNNNNNNNNNNNNNNNNNNNNNNNNNNNNNNNNNNNNNNNNNNNNNNNNNNNNNNNNNNNNNNNNNNNNNNNNNNNNNNNNNNNNNNNNNNNNNNNNNNNNNNNNNNNNNNNNNNNNNNNNNNNNNNNNNNNNNNNNNNNNNNNNNNNNNNNNNNNNNNNNNNNNNNNNNNNNNNNNNNNNNNNNNNNNNNNNNNNNNNNNNNNNNNNNNNNNNNNNNNNNNNNNNNNNNNNNNNNNNNNNNNNNNNNNNNNNNNNNNNNNNNNNNNNNNNNNNNNNNNNNNNNNNNNNNNNNNNNNNNNNNNNNNNNNNNNNNNNNNNNNNNNNNNNNNNNNNNNNNNNNNNNNNNNNNNNNNNNNNNNNNNNNNNNNNNNNNNNNNNNNNNNNNNNNNNNNNNNNNNNNNNNNNNNNNNNNNNNNNNNNNNNNNNNNNNNNNNNNNNNNNNNNNNNNNNNNNNNNNNNNNNNNNNNNNNNNNNNNNNNNNNNNNNNNNNNNNNNNNNNNNNNNNNNNNNNNNNNNNNNNNNNNNNNNNNNNNNNNNNNNNNNNNNNNNNNNNNNNNNNNNNNNNNNNNNNNNNNNNNNNNNNNNNNNNNNNNNNNNNNNNNNNNNNNNNNNNNNNNNNNNNNNNNNNNNNNNNNNNNNNNNNNNNNNNNNNNNNNNNNNNNNNNNNNNNNNNNNNNNNNNNNNNNNNNNNNNNNNNNNNNNNNNNNNNNNNNNNNNNNNNNNNNNNNNNNNNNNNNNNNNNNNNNNNNNNNNNNNNNNNNNNNNNNNNNNNNNNNNNNNNNNNNNNNNNNNNNNNNNNNNNNNNNNNNNNNNNNNNNNNNNNNNNNNNNNNNNNNNNNNNNNNNNNNNNNNNNNNNNNNNNNNNNNNNNNNNNNNNNNNNNNNNNNNNNNNNNNNNNNNNNNNNNNNNNNNNNNNNNNNNNNNNNNNNNNNNNNNNNNNNNNNNNNNNNNNNNNNNNNNNNNNNNNNNNNNNNNNNNNNNNAGAUCUAGGACUGAAAGAACUCCGGGUACUCAGAACGGAGGUGAUCCUCGCGUUCCCAGGUGGCUUCACGGUCGGAAUGGUGAGACCACUUAACUUUGAGAAAUUUGAUUGACUUGUUGCGAGUCUUGCGUUCAGUCUCUUCAAGAAUAGCAACUGGGUGCUCACGAUAAGAGAGAUCUUCUUGGAGCUCAAUGUCCUCGAAGUUGACGGUGCGGUCAGGAGUCUUGAAGCACUUUCGAAGCUGAGAGACAUGGAACACAUCAUGAACAUUUGCAAAGUUUGAAGGAAGCUCGAGUUGAUAGGCGAGGUCGCCUCUCUUGCUGACAAUCUUGAAAGGUCCCACGUAUCUAGGGGCAAGCUUCCCUUUGAUACCGAAGUGACGAGUACCUUUCAUGGGAGAGACGCGGAGGUAAACAUGAUCUCCGAUCUCGAAAACCAGAUCACGGUGCUUACUAUCAUAGUAGCACUUCUGGCGGGAUUGAGCUGCUUUGAGGUUAUCACGAAUGACUUUGCACAUUUCUUCUGCUUCUGUGAUUAAGUCAUUACCCAGCAGCUGACGUUCACCGGUUUCAGACCAGUUGAGAGGGGUACGGCACUUCCUGCCAUAUAGAAUUUCAAAGGGGGCCUUGCCCGAACUUGCUUGAAAGCUGUUGUUGUAAGAGAAUUCAGCAUAAGGAAGACAAUCCUCCCACUUCAUGCCGAAAGAAAUCACACAAGCCCUGAGCAUGUCUUCAAGAAUCUGAUUGACACGCUCAACUUGACCGCUCGUUUGAGGAUGGAAAGCUGUGCUGAAGCGGAUGUUUGUGCCCAUGGCCUUCUGAAAAGAAUCCCAAAACUUGGAGGUAAAGAUGCUGCCACGGUCUGAAGAUAUCACUUGAGGAAUACCGUGCAGAGAGACAAUGCGAGAGGUAUAGAGUUCCGCCAAUUGAGCUGCAGUGAUCGACUCUUUGAUAGCAGAAAGUGAGCCACUUUGGUGAGCUUGUCGAUGACAACAAAUAUAGCAUCAUUGCCACGCUUGGACUUUGGAAACCCAGUCACGAAGUCCAUUUCAAUGUGGUCAAACUUCCAUUCUGGAAUGGCAAGAGGUUGGAGGAGACCUGCUGGCCUUUGGUGUUCUGCCUUCACUCUUCUGCAGACAUCACACUCGUUCACGAAUUGAGCGAUCUCGCGCUUCAUUCGAGUCCACCAAUAAGUUUGCUUGAGAUCCUGAUACAUCUUCGUACUACCAGGGUGGAUGGAGAGGAGAGAGUUGUGAGCCUCGUUCAUGAUCACCUUACGAAGUUCACCUUUGGGCACAACAAUUCAAUCCUCGAAGAAGAGAGUGUCCUUGUCAUCAAGUCGGUAGCACUUGUACUUGGACUGACUCUUUGCAAUACCAAUCUUCACCUUUUUCACCAUAGCAUCAAGAAGUUGGGCUUGGCGAAUCUGGUCUUCUAAGGUAGGAGAGACUUGAAGGUUGGCGAGGAAACCUUGAGGAACAACUUGCAGAUUAAGUUUGCGGAAAGCUUCACAAAGCUCGGGUUGAUAAGGCUUGAGAAUCAGACUGUUGCAAUAUGCUUUUCUGCUCAAAGCGUCAGCAAUCACAUUAGCCUUGCCUGGAGUAUACUCGAUACUCGGAUUGUACUCUUGAAUCAUUUCGACCCAUCGAGUCUACCUGAGGUUGAGAUUAGGCUGAGUGAAGAUGUACUUGAGACUCUUGUGAUCAGUGAAAAUAUCCACUUUCCUUCCCAAUAGAAGAUGUCUCCAAGUCAACAAAGCAUGCACAACUGCCGCCAACUCAAGAUCAUGAGUGGGGUAGUUCUUCUCAUUAGGUUUCAACUGGCGAGAGGUGUAAGCGACAACUUUCUUCUCUUGCAUCAGUACAGCACCGAGACCUUGGAGAGAGGCAUCACAAAAGACCUCGUACGGCUUGGUUUCAUCAGGCGGAGUCAGAACUGGAGCAGUGAUCAAUUUCUCUUUCAAAGUGUUGAAAGCCAUAUCACACUCCGGAGACCAAACGUACUUGACGUGCUUCUGAAGAAGAUUUGAGAGAGGCUUGGCGAUCUUAGAAAAGUUUUCAACGAAUCUUCUGCAAUAGCUUGCGAGACCGAGGAAACUGCGGAGUUGCUUCACGUUCUGAGGAGGUUCCCAAUUCACAAUUGCAGACACCUUCUCAGGAUUCACGGAAAUGCCCUUGGCAGAGAUGAUAUGACCAAGAUAAAGAACCUCAUCGAGCCAAAAUUCACACUUGGAGAACUUGGCGUAGAACUGAUGUUCCCUGAGCUUGUCAAGAACCAAACGCAAGUGCUUAGCAUAAUCUUCCUUGUUCUUCGAGAAAACCAGAAUGUCGUCGAGAUAGACCAAAACGAAUUCAUUGGUGUAGGGGUUGAAGAUGAAGUUCAUCAUGCGAGAGAACGUCGGAGGAGCGUUUGCGAGGCCAAAAGACAUGACAGUGUAUUCAUAUGAACCAAAGCUUGUUCUGAACGCCGUCUUGGGAAUAUCUUGCGCACGAAUACGAAUCUGAUGAUAACCCAUACGGAGAUCAAGCUUGGAGAAUACUUGAGCACCCUUGAGUUGUUCGAACAGCUCAUUGAUGUUGGGAAGUGGGUAUUUGUUCUUGAUGGUCUUCUUGUUUACUGGACGGUAAUCAACACAAAGUCGACUCGAUCCAUCCAUCUUCUUCACAAAAAGAACACCACAACCCCACGGAGAAGUACUAGGCCGAAUGAGACCCAAUCUUUCUUGCUCAUCGAGUUGUUUCUUCAGCUCCUUCAACUCUUCGGGGCCGAGCUUGUAAGGACGUUUGCACACAGGUUCCGUGCCAGGCUCAAGUUCAAUAACGAAUUCAACUGGCCGGUGCGGAGGCAUUCCUGGGAGCUCUUCUGGAAAGACGUCUUGAUACUCACAAACAACCGGAAUCUGCAAAAUAGCAUCCAAUUCACCCUUCUCAUUGAGAGAAAACAACCGGAUGGUAUUAUCCCGAGCGGCAAAGACAAUGACAUCCUCAGACGAAUGAGUCAGUUGAAUCUGCCUGGCUGCACAAUCAAGCUGAGCUUUAUGCUUAGAGAGCCAGUCCAUCCCGAGAAUAAGAUCGAUAUCCGAGUUGCCAAGAACCGUAGGAGAAGCCAAGAACUUGUAGUCACCCAGAGUGAUAGAAACAUCCGGAACGAUGGAGUUAGCCUGCAUGCGCUUACCGGGAGAGACAACUUCUAAAGGACUAGGUAAAACUUGUGAGACCAAUUCAUGCCUAUUUGUAAACGGUCUCGAGAUGAAGCAAUGCGAUGCACCAGUGUCAAAAAGAACUUUUGCAGGAAUAUCAUUAACAGGAAGGUUACCCAUGAUCACAUCUGACGAGUCCUCUGCCUGAGCUGCAUUCAUCAAGUUGACCUUGGCGGACUUGGGGUUAUGCUUGACCACAGCUAUACUUGCCGAUCUGACAGGAGGAGGAGGAGGAAGACGCCUCUGGUUGGUACACUUGUUGGCAUAGUGACCCUUCUGUUGGCACUUGUUGCACGUGACCUCUGAAAGCGGACGGUGAUACGGAGCACUCGAUCUUGGCGCUUGAGACGAAGACUUGUUCUGAAAGCCUGGGUUGGGUGGGUGGGAGAAACCACUGCCACCUUUGCUCUUCUGCUGAUACGGCUGACGGAACGGAGGAGGAGGAAGCCAAUACUUCUGCUGCUUGACCACUUGAGUAGAGGAAGACGGAGUAACAUCUCUGGCACGCUUCCUGGAAGCAUCACACCUCAACUGAGCAGCCUCUUGCUUCAGUGCCAUGUUGUAGAACUCAUCGUAUCUCAACGGCUCAAAGAGGACAAGAGCGAGCUGAAUUUCCUCACGAAGACCACCCCUGAACUGAUAGAUCAUGCUCUUCUCAUCAGGAACAUCCUGCUUGGCAAAACGGGCGAGCUUCUGGAACAACUUGUUGUAGUCAUAGACAGACAAAGAGCCUUGCUUCAGAUUGCGGAAUUCCUGACGCUUACUCUCAACCACACUUUGAGGGAUGUGAUGAGCACGGAAAUCUUGACGGAAAUCGUCCCAAGUGAUAACACGUCCACCUCUGGAAUCCUUGUACUGCUGGAACCACUCUGCAGCCUGAUCUUUGAGCUGGAAAGAAGCGAACUUGACGAAAUCUUCAGGCCUGACGUUGCUGCAUUCAAAAUGCUUGCCCAGAUCCACUAGCCAAUCGUCAGCAUCGGUAGCCUCAACACAACCGCUGAACGUCUUUGGGCCAUUAGCAAGGAACUGGUUCAGUGUAGCAAAGUGGUGCUGAUUAUGGCCUUGAUUCCCUUGACUGCCUUGAUUGCGCUCUUGGAGAAUUUGCAUGAUCAACUGUGUGUUUGCAUUAGUAGCGGCCAUCACAGCUUGCCAUGCUUCCGGAGGAGGCGGAGGUGGAGGCGGAUCAGGAUUCGGAGUCGUGCGCGUUGGAGGAGCCAUCCUGAACAGGUUGACCACCAUUAGCACACUGAUAGACAACAAUAUAGAAGCUGAAUCCAACGGAAUGAAAAUUGCAACAUAUAGUCUUCACAUCCGAACAGAAUGAACGAAUGCAUUUCUCUUGAAGUGGUCACAUAUCCAUAAAUUGAGGAGCCACGAAGAAUUAAGGUAGAGAAAUAAAUCAACAAGGUACGGAUCAAGAACGAAUAAUCGGUAAGAAAUCCCAAUCUCAAACCAAUAUCCGUGGAAGAAGAACUAGAGCUACUAGAAUUCCCACCUAUGAAAUUCCCGAACCUUUCUGGUUAUGCAAUCAGGUGUUGGGGAUACAGGGGAAGCACAAUAUCUCACCCAAACUAGCAAAUCCUACAUCCAGCUGUAUCCAUCCUUCAACACAUAACCAAGAAACCUUCGGAAACCAUCUAUCUCAACCUUCGAAAAGCAUCCGUUAUACAAGUUAUGGCGAUACUCCGGAACUCCCGCCCCAGUACUGGGUGGCGUCGAGGUUAUCUCACCAACGAACUGCAUAAAAGAGAUUUCCGAUGCCGCGCACAUAUCUCAAGUAUACCAGAAUUGCAACGAUAAAAUUGUGACGACAACACCUCGGAGCUCAACUCCCCGGGACACUGCCACAACCCCUAAAGACAGGAGGCACCAAGAACAAUGUUCUCGUCACAAAACCAUCGGAACAAAACCAAGAUACUCGCGUGAUCCUAAAAUUUUUUUAGUGAAAUUUGAGAAGAGAAGAGUCAAAACUCUACAUCAGGAUGCCUUACCAGAGCGAUGAGGAGACUGGGAAGUAAAAGAAUUCCUAAGCUCUCCGAUAUAUAAUUCCUAAGGACUCAAAACAUUUUUCUAUACACAACUCGGCUGCUAAAAACGAUCAAGCAAUGGGGGCUCCUAAGGUCGGGGAUGGCUCUGAUACCAACUUGUAACGCCCUCGAUGCGGCUAUAGCUCCCACGUGUCGAGGCACGACUUAGAGACAUAACUGCAUUGAAAGCAAUGUCGCAAGUUAGGCAAUCAUUACAACAUCCCAUGUAAUACAUAAUAAAAGGGGGAGAUACCAUAGUUGGCUUACACUCGCCACGUCACAUCAGAGUGCAUAAAUAACAUCCAUCAAACAAACACUCAUGGCCCGACUAUGGCGCCAAAAUAGAAAAGAACCCAACAUGCGACAAGGUCCUGAAUCGAUCCCCAACUAGGCACCACUACUGAUCAUCGGGAAAGGAAACAUAAUAACGCUGAGAGUCCUCGUCGAACUCCCACUUGAGCUCGUACUCGUCACCUGGAGCGGAAUCACCUGGACCUGCAUCUGGAGUUGUAGUAUCUGUGAGCCACAGGGACUCAGCAAUCUCGCACCCUCGCGAUCAAAACUAUUUAAGCUCAUAGGAAUGGAUAAGGCAAAUAUAUGUGGAGCUGCAGCAAGCGACUAGCAUAUGCGGUGGCUAACUUAUACGCAAAAGAGAGCGAGAAGAGAAGGCGAAGCACGAGCGAGAAGCUAAAGGAACAUCCUGCGCACGCAUAACUCCAACACCGUGUCCACUUCCCGGACUCCGCCGAGAAGGGGCCAUCACGGUAACACACACGGUUGAUUCAUUUUAAUUAAGUUUAGUUCAAGUAAUCUACAACCGGACAUUAACAAAUUCCCAUCUGCCCAUAACCGCGGGCACGGCUUUCGAAAGUUCAAUCCCUGCAGGGGAGUCCCAACUUAGCCCAUGACAAGCUCUCACGGUCAACGAAGGAAUAGAGCUCCACCCGAGACAUUCCGAUCAGACUCGGUAUCCUGGUACAACAAGACAUUUCGACAGGGUAAAACUAAACCAGCAACACCGCCCGAAUGUGCCGACAAAUCCCGAUAGGAGCUGCACAUAUCUCUUUCUCAGGGCACACUCAGAUUGUCCUAGGUACGGGUAGGCCAGCCCAGAGUUGCCCCUGGUAGCCACCGGUNNNNNNNNNNGGCCGGCGAUGCGGGCGCGGGCGCGGUGGCAGGAGGGCCACGUGGCGGUUGGCGGCUGGCUGGGCGCGGCGGCGGAUGUUGUCCGGCUCGCCCGGACACGUCCGUCGGCGGCGGAUCUGGCGAGGAGAUGUUUUUUUUUAAAACUAGGGUUUGAGACGAGGGGAUCCGGGAUUUGGAGGAGGGGGUCUAUAAAUAGACAUAAGUGGAGCUAGGAGAGUCCAAAUGAGGUGCGGUUUUCGCCCACACGAUCGUGAUCGAACGCUCUAGGACAUGGAGCAGAGUUUGGUGGGUUUUGGGCCAAAUUUGGGGGGUUGUUGGGCUGCAACACACACGAGGCCUUUCCGGUCCCUCGGUUAACCGUUGGAGUAUCAAACGAAGUCCAGAUGACCCGAAACUUGACAGGAGGUCUACCGGUAGUAAACCAAGGCCGCUUGGCAAGUCUUGGUCCAAUCCGGAAAUGUUUAAACCCCACACACGAAAGAAGACUAGAAAUGACCACCGGAGGAGAACGAAGCGCCGGAAUGCAAAACGGACAACGGGGAAAAGGCUCGAAUGCAUGAGAUGAACAUGUAUGCAAAUGCAAUGCACGUGAUGACAUGAUAAGAGAUGCACGAAAAAGAAAAACAACAUGCGGAGACAAAAACCCAAACCCGAGAAAUAAAUGUAACUUAGCGCCGGAGACGGCAAGAGUUGGAUACAAAUAUGGAAAGUAUAUCUGGGGCGUUACAAUGGGUAUCUAGAUCCCGCUAUUGGUUAUUGACCGGAGAACGUCUCGGUCAUGUCUGCAUGGUUCCCGAACCCGUAGGGUCUACACACUUAAGGUUCGGUGACGCUAGGGUUAUAGAGAUAUUAGUAUGCGGUAACCCGAAAGUUGUUCGGAGUCCCAGAUGAGAUCCCGGACGUCACGAGGAGUUCUGAAAUGGUCCGGAGGUAAAGAAUUAUAUAUAGGAAGUGCUAUUUCGGCCAUCGGGACAAGUUUCGGGGUCACCGGUAUUGUAUCGGGACCACCGGAAGGGUCCCGUGGGUCCACCGGGUGGGGCCACCUGCCCCGGGGGGCACAUGGGCUGUAGGGGUGUGCACCUUGGCCUAUAUGGGCCAAGGGCACCAGCCCCAAGAGGCCCAUGCGCCAAGAGAUAAGGAAAGGAAGAGUCUUAAAGGGGGAAGGCACCUCCUAGGUGCCUUGGGGAGGAGGGACUCCUCCCUAGCCGCACCCUUCCUUGGAGGAAGGGCCAAGGCUGCGCCCCCCCCCCCCUCUCCCUUGGCCCUAUAUAUAGUGGGGGGAAGGGNNNNNNNNNNNNNNNNNNNNNNNNGCACAUAUCUCUUUCUCAGGGCACACUCAGAUUGUCCUAGGUACGGGUAGGCCAGCCCAGAGUUGCCCCUGGUAGCCACCGGUAGCUGACAGGUGGACCAACACUCAGAGGAGCACUGGCCCGGGGGGGGGGGGUAAAAUAACGAUGACCCUUGAGUCUGCAGAACCCAAGGGAAAGAAAAGGCUAGGUGGAAAAUGGUAAAACAAAUGUUGGGCAUUGCUGGAAGAGCUUUACUUAAGACGAACUGUCAAGGGGUUCCCAUAAUAGCCCAACCGUGUAAGGAACGCAAAAUCCGGGAACAUAACACCGAUAUGACGGAAACUAGGGCGGCAAGAGUGGAACAAAACACCAGGCAUAAGGCCGAGCCUUCCACCCUUUACCAAGUAUAUAGAUGCAUUAAUUAAGUAAGGUAUAUUGUGAUAUCCCAACAAGUAAAUAAAAGUUCCAACAAGGAACGGCUCCAAUCUUCCACCUGCAACUAACAACGCUAUAAGAAGGGCUGAGCAAAGCGGUAACAUAGCCAAUCAACGGUUUGCUAGGACAAUGGUGGGUUAGGGGAUCACAUGGCAAUUGGGAGGCUGACAAGCAAAAGGUAGGCAUCGUAGCAGUGGCAAAGCAAAAGAGCGAGCAAACUAGCAUAGCAAAGAUAGUAGUGAUUUCGAGGGUAUGAUCAUCUUGCCUGCACAGUUGUCAGAGUUGACUGGAUCCUCGCAAGCAAACUCAACGGGCUCCUCGGUAGCGAACUCGUCUCCCGGCUCUACCCAACAAGACAAACAAGCAACAAGGAUACAAUCAACCACGGCAAGACCAAGCAAUAUGAUGAAAUGACAAUAUGCUAUGCGGGAUGCGAUGCGGGAUGCAAAAUGCAAGAUAUGACAGGAAAUGCAUGAACCUGGCAUCAACUUGGAAAACCAAGUGUGCCACUGGAUAGAGGGGAUGAAAUCGCUUGAAAACGAUAUAAAGAUCAUUGGAAUCGGAGCUACGGUUUGGAAAUGGCGAGCGUUUUAAGAUAUGACACCGGUAUGCGAUUUACAGCAAGUAGGCAUCUAAAUGCAACAAAAUGAACAUGCUACAGCCACCAAACAUAAAAACAAAUACAUGGCAGUGAUGUACACAAGAUGGUUGACAAAACACUAGCACUGAGCCAUAGGCAAAUUCAUCCAUUAAGAGGUUCAAACAAGCAUGGCUAAAACGCAAAUGCAAAACAGAUUUCAGACUUAGUGAAAUUAACACUAGUCUGAAAUUUCAGAUCACGAUGCUCUCUUCGGAGCAGCAAAACAACAUGAUAGAAAACCUGAACAUGACAAGUAAUAACAUGGCAUGGAGCUACUCAACAAUCUUAAAAAAACACCCAAAGUGACCUGGGGCCAAAAGGGUUCACAAAAUACUCUACCGAGCUCACGAACAUAGCUCGAACACAAUCAGUUUUCAGACUUAGUGAAAACUGAGACACGCUGAAAUAUAACUCACGAAGGCAUGUAAACGAGCUCGAUGCACUCACUACGGUGCAAGUCAUGGCAAGGAAAGCAUAUAACCAGCAAGAAGGCACAAAGUGCUAGCUACACAUGGCAAGAACGAAGGCAUAGCAUGCAUGGAACACUAACGGUAGCAUCGGCAAAAUCGCAAACAAGUUGACGAUCUGCCCGGAUUAACAACGAAGCAAAAGUUGAGCUUGAUUGACUCAACCUAGAGCACUCCACAUAUGCAAACAAAGACAUGGAUGGAUAGAGCAUAACAUAAUUAUCAAAACUCCCUUACUGAUCAUCCUCAAAAGAGGCACGGAUCACUAGGAAACAAGCUGGACAUAUAGCAUCACGAACUAAAAUAUCCCAGACUUAGUGAAAAUCACUAAGUCUCUGAAAUCAGCAAUCUCAGGUACCUCUCUUCGCAAUCUUGCACAAGACAACACACACAUCCUAAAAAUGCAUGGGUGGCACCACUAGAAAGAAGACAAAAUGCUUAACAAUUCAUCCCAAAGGGGCACAGGCAUAUCAUGCACGAAUUAAACAUGGCAAAAAUGACAAAAGUGCAUGAUGAACUAACGGAUCUGCAAUUUAACUCACGAAGCCUCCUUCUAACAGCAUUUUGGGCAUCAAGAUGACCUCAAAUGCAAAUGAUGCAAUGGAAUGAAAUGAUGUACAUGUCGAGACGAAGAUUUUGAUAUAUCAUAUGCCCAAAACGGAGCUACGGUUACAGAGAUACGAGCAGUCAAAGUAGGCACAAAAAUCUAGGGUUAGAGGUAAAAAGUCAACCCGAGAUCCAGAUCUGGAUCCGGGGUACUGUUCACCUGCGCGUCUCCCGAGGAUGACCAGCGCCGGAGCUCGCCGGAGCCGGCCGGAGUGGGGGAAGAGGAGGCCGGGGUGAGGGAGAGGAGGUCGGGCGGCGCCGGAGGAGGAGGCGGCGACCGCGGGCGGCGGCGUCCGGGGCGGCNNNNNNNNNNNNNNNNNNNNNNNNNNNNNNNNNNNNNNNNNNNNNNNNNNNNNNNNNNNNNNNNNNNNNNNNNNNNNNNNNNNNNNNNNNNNNNNNNNNNNNNNNNNNNNNNNNNNNNNNNNNNNNNNNNNNNNNNNNNNNNNNNNNNNNNNNNNNNNNNNNNNNNNNNNNNNNNNNNNNNNNNNNNNNNNNNNNNNNNNNNNNNNNNNNNNNNNNNNNNNNNNNNNNNNNNNNNNNNNNNNNNNNNNNNNNNNNNNNNNNNNNNNNNNNNNNNNNNNNNNNNNNNNNNNNNNNNNNNNNNNNNNNNNNNNNNNNNNNNNNNNNNNNNNNNNNNNNNNNNNNNNNNNNNNNNNNNNNNNNNNNNNNNNNNNNNNNNNNNNNNNNNNNNNNNNNNNNNNNNNNNNNNNNNNNNNNNNNNNNNNNNNNNNNNNNNNNNNNNNNNNNNNNNNNNNNNNNNNNNNNNNNNNNNNNNNNNNNNNNNNNNNNNNNNNNNNNNNNNNNNNNNNNNNNNNNNNNNNNNNNNNNNNNNNNNNNNNNNNNNNNNNNNNNNNNNNNNNNNNNNNNNNNNNNNNNNNNNNNNNNNNNNNNNNNNNNNNNNNNNNNNNNNNNNNNNNNNNNNNNNNNNNNNNNNNNNNNNNNNNNNNNNNNNNNNNNNNNNNNNNNNNNNNNNNNNNNNNNNNNNNNNNNNNNNNNNNNNNNNNNNNNNNNNNNNNNNNNNNNNNNNNNNNNNNNNNNNNNNNNNNNNNNNNNNNNNNNNNNNNNNNNNNNNNNNNNNNNNNNNNNNNNNNNNNNNNNNNNNNNNNNNNNNNNNNNNNNNNNNNNNNNNNNNNNNNNNNNNNNNNNNNNNNNNNNNNNNNNNNNNNNNNNNNNNNNNNNNNNNNNNNNNNNNNNNNNNNNNNNNNNNNNNNNNNNNNNNNNNNNNNNNNNNNNNNNNNNNNNNNNNNNNNNNNNNNNNNNNNNNNNNNNNNNNNNNNNNNNNNNNNNNNNNNNNNNNNNNNNNNNNNNNNNNNNNNNNNNNNNNNNNNNNNNNNNNNNNNNNNNNNNNNNNNNNNNNNNNNNNNNNNNNNNNNNNNNNNNNNNNNNNNNNNNNNNNNNNNNNNNNNNNNNNNNNNNNNNNNNNNNNNNNNNNNNNNNNNNNNNNNNNNNNNNNNNNNNNNNNNNNNNNNNNNNNNNNNNNNNNNNNNNNNNNNNNNNNNNNNNNNNNNNNNNNNNNNNNNNNNNNNNNNNNNNNNNNNNNNNNNNNNNNNNNNNNNNNNNNNNNNNNNNNNNNNNNNNNNNNNNNNNNNNNNNNNNNNNNNNNNNNNNNNNNNNNNNNNNNNNNNNNNNNNNNNNNNNNNNNNNNNNNNNNNNNNNNNNNNNNNNNNNNNNNNNNNNNNNNNNNNNNNNNNNNNNNNNNNNNNNNNNNNNNNNNNNNNNNNNNNNNNNNNNNNNNNNNNNNNNNNNNNNNNNNNNNNNNNNNNNNNNNNNNNNNNNNNNNNNNNNNNNNNNNNNNNNNNNNNNNNNNNNNNNNNNNNNNNNNNNNNNNNNNNNNNNNNNNNNNNNNNNNNNNNNNNNNNNNNNNNNNNNNNNNNNNNNNNNNNNNNNNNNNNNNNNNNNNNNNNNNNNNNNNNNNNNNNNNNNNNNNNNNNNNNNNNNNNNNNNNNNNNNNNNNNNNNNNNNNNNNNNNNNNNNNNNNNNNNNNNNNNNNNNNNNNNNNNNNNNNNNNNNNNNNNNNNNNGUGGGGGGAAGGGAGGGCAGCCCCAUCUAAGCCCUGGCGCCUCCCUCUCCCUCCCGUGACACAUCUCCCUCCUCCCGCGGCGCUUGGCGAAGCCCUAUUGGAAUCCCGCUACUUCCACCACCACGCCAUCGUGCUGCUGGAUCUCCAUCAACCUCUCCUUCCCCCUUGCUGGAUCAAGAAGGAGGAGACAUCGCUGCUCCGUAUGUGUGUUGAACGCGGAGGUGCCGUCCGUUCGGCGCUAGGAUUAUCGGUGACUUGGAUCACGACGAGUACGACUCCUUCAACCCCGUUCUCUUGAACGCUUCCGCAUAGCGAUCUACAAGGGUAUGUAGAUGCACUCUCCUUCCCCUUGUUGCUAGUCUCUCCAUAGAUAGAUCUUGGUGACACGUAGGAAAUUUUUUGAAUUUCUGCUACGUUCCCCAAUAAGGGGGCGCGCCCUCCACCCUCGUGGGCCCCCUGUUGCUCCACCGCCGUACUUCUUCCUCCUAUAUAUACCCACGUACCCCCAAACGAUCAGACACGGAGCCAAAACCCUAAUUCCACCGCCGCAACUUUCUGUAUCCAUGAGAUCCCAUCUUGGGGCAUGUUCCGGAGCUCCGCCGGAGGGGGCAUCGAUCACGGAGGGCUUCUACAUCAACACCAUAGCCUCUCCGAUGAAGUGUGAGUAGUUUACUUCAGACCUACGGGUCCAUAGUUAGUAGCUAGAUGGCUUCUUCUCUUUUUUUGGAUCUCAAUACAAUGUUCUCCCCCUCUCUUGUGGAGAUCUAUUCGAUGUAAUCUUCUUUUUGCGGUGUGUUUGUUGAUACCAAUGAAUUGUGGGUUUAUGAUCAAGUCUAUCUAUGAAUAAUAUUUGAAUCUUCUCUGAAUUCUUUUAUGUAUGAUUGGUUAUCUUUGCAAGUCUCUUCGAAUUAUCAGUUUGGUUUGGCCUACUUGAUUGAUCUUUCUUGCAAUGGGAGAAGUGCUUAGCUUUGGGUUCAAUCUUGCGGUGUCCUUUCCCGGUGAUAGUAAGGGCAGCAAGGCACGUAUUGUAUUGUUGCCAUCGAGGAUAACAAUAUGGGGUUUUCUUCAUAUUGCAUGAGUCUAUCCCUCUACAUCAUGUCAUCUUGCUUAAGGCGUUACUCUGUUUUUAACUUAAUACUCUAGAUGCAUGCUGGAUAGCGGUCGAUGAGUGGAGUAAUAGUAGUAGAUGCAGGCAGGAGUCGGUCUACUUGUCUCGGACGUGAUGCCUAUAUACAUGAUCAUACCUAGAUAUUCUCAUAACUAUGCUCAAUUCUGUCAAUUGCUCAACAGUAAUUUGUUCACCCACCGUAGAAUACUUAUGCUCUCGAGAGAAGCCACUAGUGAAACCUAUGGCCCCCGGGUCUAUCUUUAUCAUAUCAAUCUCCUGCUACUUAGUUAUUUACUUUGCUAUUUGCUUUGCCUUUAUUUUACUUUGCAUCUUUAUCAUAAAAAUACCAAAAAUAUUAUCUUUAUCAUAUCUAUCAGAUCUCACUCUCGUAAGUGGCCCUAUAGGGAUUGACAACCCCUAUUUGCGUUGGUUGCGAGGAUUUAUUUGUUUGUGCAGGUACGAGGGACCUGCGUGUAGCCUCCUACUGGAUUGAUACCUUGGUUCUCAAAAACUGAGGGAAAUACUUACGCUACUUUGCUGCAUCAUCCCUUCCUCUUCGGGGAAAACCAACGCAGUGCUAAAAGAGGUAGCAUUAUCAGAGUAACACGAAACAGCUGAAUAGCGGGCAAUACCACGUCUUCACCACAAGCUUGUGUAAGCGGGAUCAGAAGCUUCAUAAAAGGGCAUUAAACUCCGUUGAACCGGCAGUACCCCGUUACUUGCGUUGGUCUGAGCAGCCCAUUGUGUGGAGUCGAGAGGAUCAUCCGCCCCGGGUUGAUAAUCCGGGUCAUCUGGCAUUGGUGGUUGCACCUCAGGUUGGAGGGUAUAAGUUCACCAAGGUGCUCAUGGACGGAGGGAGCAUCAUCAAUAUCCUCUAUUAUGAAACCUUCCGUCGUAUGGGGUUGACGGAUAAAAAUCUUAAACCAUCAAACACUGUUUUCCAUGGUGUGGUGCCUGGUAAGUCAGCAUAUCCAGUUGGUAAAAUAGCUCUGGAAGUUGUGUUUGGGGAUGAGUAUGACUCUCGAUCAGAGACAUUGACCUUUGAGGUGGUGAAGAUCAAAAGCCCUUAUCAUGCUCUGUCUGGACGGCCGACUUAUGCUAAGUUUAUGGCAAGACCCUGUUAUGUUUAUCUACAGCUCAAGAUGCCAGGUCAUAAGGGGACCAUCACGGUACAUGGGAGCCGAAAGAUAGCCUUGGAAUGUGAGGAAGGUGAUGCGGCUUAUGCUAAGUCGGUUUGUGCAACAGAGGAGUUGAAAUUUUAUAAGGACAAUGUUGAUCCGGCGGAUAUGACUUCUUUGAAAAAGCCAACUACAAAGCAUGAUCCAACAUUGAAGUUUAAAUCGGCUGAGGAAACCAAGUUAGUUGAUAUUGUUCCUGGUGAUUCAUCCAAGCAGUUUAGCAUCAGUGCUAAUCUGGAUCCGAAAUAGGAAAGCGCGCUCAUCGAGUUCAUAUGUGAGAACCGAAACAUCUUUGCAUGGAAACAUACUGACAUGCCAGGUGUACCGAGGGAACUCGCUGAGCACACUCUUAAUAUUGAUCCUAAGUUUAGAUCGGCCAGGCAGUUUCUCCGCCGCUUCAAUGAAGAAAGGCGUAAGGCUAUUGGUGAGGAGGUAGCCUGGCUCUUGGCAGUAGGGUUUAUUGUGGAGGUUGUUCACCCUGAGUGGUUAGCUAACCCGGUGCUAGUACUUAAGAAGAACGGCACUUGGCGUAUGUGUGUGGAUUACACAGAUUUGAACAAGGCUUGUCCAGCUGAUCCCUUUGCUCUCCCUCGUAUUGAUCAAAUCAUUGAUGCUACGGUGGGUUGUGAGCGUCCAAGCUUUCUGGAUGCUUAUUCUGGUUAUCAUCAGAUCAAAAUGGCAGUUAAGGACCAGGAGAAGACAGCUUUUAUAACUCCCUUUGGAGCCUUCUGCUAUGUAUCUAUGCCUUUUGGGAUCAAGAGUGCCCAGGCGACUUAUCAGCGUUGUGUGCAAAAUUGUCUUCAUAAUCAGAUUGGGCGGAAUGUUCAUUCUUGCGUGGAUGAUAUUUUGGUGAAGUCCAUAAAGGAGGAGUCAUUAAUAGAUGACUUAAAGGAAACUUUUGAUAAUCUCUGGGUCUAUAAGAUGAUGCUUAAUCCGGCCAAGUGUGUUUUUGGUGUACCGGCAAGCAAGCUCUUGGGUUUUCUGGUGUCUAACAGGGGUAUUGAGGCUAACCCGAAAAAAAUCAAGGCAAUUACUUCUCUGGCUAAACCGGUGUGCAUCAAUGAUGUUCAACGUCUGGCAGGUCGUAUUGCAGCAUUGAGCCGGUUUAUCAGCCGGUUGGGGGAGAAAGCUAUCCCUCUGUAUCAGAUGAUGAAAAAGACAGAUAAUUUUGUCUGGAGUGAUGCGGCUAAUGCGGCGAUUGAGGACUUGAAGAAACAAUUAGCCGAGCCUCCCGUCCUUGCCGCUCCCAUUGAUAAAGAGCCAUUGCUGUUAUAUGUGGCUGCUAAUGCCCGGGCUGUCAGUGUGGCUAUUGUGGUAGAGUGGAAGGAGGCAAGCAAAGAAUAUCCGGUUUAACGGUCGGUUUAUUAUAUCAGUGGGGUACUCAUUGAGUCCAAGCAAAGAUACCCACAUUGGCAGAAGCUGGUGUAUGGAGUUUUUAUGGCAAGCCAGAAGCUUAAACAGUAUUUUCAGGGUCACCCCAUCACUGUGGUCAGCUCUGCCCCUUUGGGGGAUAUAAUUCAAAACAGGGAGGCAACUGGCUGGGUUGCCAAGUGGGCCAUUGAGCUUGGACCUCAUGGGUUAAAGUAUAUGCCUCGGACGGCAAUCAAGUCCCAGACACUUGUGGAUUUCAUCAAUGAUUGGACAGAAUUGCAGACACCAGAGGAAAAGCCGGAUAACACAUAUUGGACUCUUCACUUUGAUGGGUCCAGGAAAUUGGAGGGCUCGGGGGCUGGAGUUGUGCUAGCUUCCCCUCGAGGUGAUAAAUUUUGUUAUGUCCUCCGUUUAUUGUUUCCUUGCACUAACAAUGCAGCUGAAUAUGAGGCUUUACUCCAUGGUCGUCGAGUGGCUAAGGAGAUGAACUUGAGCCGGGUUAGGUGUUUUGGUGACUCAGAUUUGGUAGCUCAACAAGUAUUAGGUACUUGGGACUCUAAGGAUCCACUCAUGGCGGCUUAUCGAUAGGAGGUGGAUAUUAUUGCUGGUCAUUUCAAGGGUUACCAGGUUGAGCAUGUGGACCGGAGGAAGAAUGAAGCGGUAGACGCUUUAAGCUGGCUGGGUUCUCAACGUAAACCGGUGCUACCCAACGUUGUUCUUGAUGUCCUUCAUAACCCGUCGGUCAAGUUACCCACAGAGGAGGAUUUGGCUAUUCCUGACCCAGAGGCUCAAUUGGUGGCAGCUCUUCAUGUUAUCCCGGAUUGGACGGUUCCCUAUUUGGCGUAUAUGACCCGGGGCAAGUUACCUGAGGAUGAGGUUUUGGCCAGACAGAUAAUCCAGCAGUCCAAGUCAAUGACUAUUGUCAAUGGAGAGUUGCAUCAUUGUAGUGUUACAGGGGCGUUUUAGCGUUGUGUGUCUCCGGAAGAAGGCUGUGAGAUCCUCCGUGAGAUCCAUGAAGGGGACUGUGGACAUCAUGCCGGUUCAAAAUCUCUGGUAGCCAAAGCUUUUCGUCACAGUUUUUAUUGCCUGACGGCUCAUGCUGAUGCUGAGGACUUGGUCAGAAGGUGUGAUGGUUGUCAGAAAUUUGCACGUCGAGCUCAUGUUUCGGCUCAGGAGUUAAGGAUGAUUCCAAUUACUUGUCCAUUUGCAGUCUGGGGGCUUGAUAUGGUGGGGCCCUUUAAAAUAUCCAAGGAUAAGAAGACCCACCUCUUGGUGGCAGUUGACAAGUUUACUAAAUGGGUAGAGGCCGAGCCAGUGAGCAAAUGUGAUGCAACGACGGCGGUUCAAUUCAUGAAGAAGGUGAUCUUCCGCUUUGGCUUUCCACAUAGCAUUAUAACUGACAUUGGUACUAACCUUUCAAAGGGAGCUAUUGAAGAUUUUUGUCAACGUGAGCAUAUCCGGCUUGACAUAUCGUCAGUAGCUCACCCCCAGUCUAAUGGUCAAGCUGAGAGAGCCAAUCAAGAGAUCUUAAGAGGUAUCAAACCCCGGCUUAUGGUUCCUUUGCAGAGGAUGCAGGGUUGUUGGGUCGAGGAGUUACCUUCCAUGUUAUGGAGCAUUAAUACCACCCUAACAGGUCUACGGGUUAUACGCCCUUUUUCAUGGCUUAUGGAGCAGAGGGAGUUCUCCCUAGUGACAUCCGUCAUGACUCGCCCCGUGUGGCAGCUUAUGUUGAAGCUGACAAUGAAAAAACAUGUCAGGAAGCACUUGACUUGUUGGAUGAAGAGCGUGACAUUGCAGCGGCCCGUUCGGUGAUUUACCAGCAAGACCUGCGCCGUUACCACAGCCGCCAGGUUAAAACCAGAACUUUUCAAGAAGGUGAUCUGGUGCUCCGGCUCAUCCAGGAUCAGACUGAUAUGCACAAGUUAUCCCCACCUUGGGAAGGACCCUUUGUGGUCAGCAAGAAUCUAAACAAUGGGUCAUAUUACCUUAUCGAUGUUCGAGACCACAAGGACUCACGCACAUCAGAGGAGGAGACCCACCGACCCUGGAAUAUUGCUCAACUUAGGCCAUAUUACACCUGAGCCACAGGCUCUCCGUAUGUACAUAUUUAAACAAUCUAUAUAUUAUGAUUGAUAUAAUAAACCGACAUCCUUGCUGAAGCGGGGCUUCUGUCGUUCCCAUACAUGAGUCUCUGUUACCUUGGUAAUCCGGCUAUCAAGCCCAUAUUAUAAGAGCACAGCUCUGUUACCUUGGUAAUCCGGCUAUCAAGCCCAUAUUAUAAGAGCACAGCUCUGUUACCUUGGUAAUUCGGCUAUCAAGCCCAUAUUAUAAGAGCACAACUCUGUUACCUUGGUAAUCCGGCUAUCAAGCCCAUAUUAUAAGAGCACAGCUCUGUUACCUUGGUAAUCCGGCUAUCAAGCCAAUAUCACAACUUCAUAUGAGCAGGGCUCUGAUCUACUUAAGGCUUAAUGCCCGGAUUAAAGGGACCAAAGAGAGUCUGAUGCAUAACUCAGCUCAAACAUAGGUAUCCCUUGGGCACAACCCACAUAAUCACUUGGGGGCUUGGUCGUAUUCGAACCAUAGCUACACCUCUUGAUAGACAUAAGGCCACCAGGGAAAUCACUUGGGGGCUUUGGUCGUAUUCGAACCAUCACUUCAACCCUCUUGAUCAUUGAAACACCACAAUUAUAACUAUUUCCAACUUUUUUUUUGAUUUUUUUGGUUUAUAAUGCUUUAUGAGUGUAAUUUAUCUAUGCUAUUUAAACCUGGUCUGGGCCUGUUCAUAAACGAGCAACAGCUGAGGAAUAUCAAUACUCAAGGUUUGGGUUAUCACCCUUACUACAAAAAGUUGGUAAACCAACGAUGUGAUUCAAUGUCAUAGGUAUGAUAUAUUUCAUAUUUGGUUAUUCUUAAGUACAACCUUGGUUAUAAACCCGAGUUAUAUGUUGGGCGUUAUGACCCGUCCGGUGGUAAACCGCCAGGACACUUUUUAUAUGCAGAAACAGGUUGAAUAAAGGUUCUACGGAUCAUAAGCAGACAUAGCAUAAUCAUGACGGAUUAACCGUGUCAUGCAAAGCGAACAUGCACGAUGGCAUAGUAGACCAAGUAUUUAAACUAGCCUAUUACAAGGCACUUUGAUGCCCAAAAGGAUAAUUGUUUUCAACAAGUGUUGCAGUAUGCAGAAGGCUAAACCGGCCUCCGGAUCAUGAUUCUUCACCGGGCUGACUUGACGGCUGUGGAUCAUCUUCCGCCGCUUCAUCAUCCUUCUCUCCACCCAGCGGCUGGAAGUCAAUGGUUGCCCAGUCGAUUCCAGUUAGGGCCUUGAAUACAACUUCGUCACUUAUAAGUGUGGAGGGUUCAACAUCAGGGGAGUAGAUAUGCUUACGGAUUGGCGGGAUAAGAUUUUCCACAUCAUGAGUUGGCGCAUUAACCCGUUUGUUGUCGGCGUCAUAAAUUGACUGGUAAUGAGAAAGAUCUGUCUCUUCAGCCAAUUUGCUCACUAAUGGGCGCAUUUCCUUCGUCAAAGCUCGGAGAUCAUCAUUGUCAAAAUCUGACCCGUCCUCCUUUAUGCUUGGAUAGCCGCUUCCUAUAUCAGCCGGGUCAAGAUCUGGUAUCCAUGCUUUAGCCCGGAUUAGCGUAGUUAGAGCACCUGCCCUUGCAGCUGAUCUUUUUAACUCCUCAAACCGGGCAGGAAUCAUUGAUAGCUUCUCUAAUGUUUCCUUGAUCAAGGUUGGGGGUGGUUUGUUAUGAGAGGUAGUACAAAUGAUCCGUUGUGCGCCGGUAUAUAAUUGCUCUAUAAGAGUAUAGGCAGCCUUCAAUUUUUUCUGCAUAUCAGAGCCCAGAUGGGUGAUGCGAGAUCCUGCAUCAUUACGCACAUCGAUAAACCAGCAGUUCAUAGGAUAAUACAUGUUAAACUCUUAUAAUAAGGGUGCUUACCAAACACAGCAGUGGUCAUGGCAUUUAUUUGCCACUUCAGACCAGUCAGCUCUUCUACCACCGGAUUAAGGGCUGCUUCUGCAUCCUCAGCCCUCUUUUGUAGUUUGGUUUUCUCUAUGUCCCAGUCUGCCCGCUCCUUCUGGAAGUUUUCCUUCAAUUUCUCCAUGGCUACUAAGGCACUGGUUAGCUCCUCUUUGGCUUUGGAAGUUUCUGCUUGUUGGGACUUGAUAUUUUCUUGAAGAUCGGCGGUUUGAGAUUCCUUUUUGCUCAGCUCAGCCUGUAAGAGACAUAUAUGUUAUGAGUUGGAAGCAUUUUGAAGUACCAAGCACAUAACAAGUUAUACACUUGGCACUUGGGGGCUAAUGCCUAUUGCUUCUUAUCAACUUUCUCUUAUAAGUCCCAAGAUCAAUUCAAGUAUUAUUCUUGGCACUUGGGGGCUACACAAACAAAAGUGACAAGAUUAAUAUUCUAAAAGUCCUGGUUCAUCCUGAAAUGAUAAACCGGCCCUUGGGGGCUACGCAGGCAAAGUUGAAGUAUUACAAAGUCCCGGUUUACAUUGAUAUCAUAAACCAGCCCUUGGGGGCUAUUGGAGUUGAUAUUAGAAAUCAGAUACAAGAGAGAAAAAAUUAUGUGGAGUUAACAGUAUUUACCUCAUAUUGCUCUUUCAUCUGGUUCACUAAACCGGCUUUAUAGUCGCGGCUUCUGUACAAGCGGUUUAAAAACCCAGAGUGGAUAUCUUGGGCAUUAAGGUGGGCAUAGAUUUCCAAGUUUGUUUUCCACUUGCCUUUAUCCAUAGCAGCAAAUUCUUCCUUGGCACUAUGUUUUGAUAAAGCAAUGGGAUUACCAGGAGUUGUGUAGCCUAAACCAGUAACAAUGACAUCAUCUGAUUGGUCAUCAGCCGCUUUGACUGGGCUCGGCGGUUUAUCUGCAGUUUUAGCCGGGCUUGGCGGGUCAGUAGCAUGGCCUGUAGGAUCAUCUUCCAUCUGUUCAGCAAAGGUUUCAUGAUGUUGCGUUGGCGGAUCAUCAAGAAUAGCGUCAGCAUUUGGCUCAAACUGUUCUGGGAUCUUUUCCAGUUCAGUGUUCGGGUUAUCAUCAGCCAAUUUAUUCAAUUUGGCCUUUUGCGGGGCCUAGCUUUAGCUCUGAAAUAAAUGUAAAUAAAGGUUAGUAUAUUAAACAGGUGCAAGGGAUAAAGAGUUAAGUGUAGUAUGCUUACGCAGGAACAGUCUUAAGGGGUGGAAGCUGUGUCCAUGUUGAUUCGCCAGAGGAUGAAUGGGAAGUUCCCUGGUAGUUUGAGUCAGAUGGAUUAAGAGGUUGCCGAAAAUAACCAUCCUUGGGAUAAGAUGUGUCAGGAAUAUGGAUGAAACCUCUGGUCGGCGUUUACGAACCGGUGUGUUCGGUAAACCAGAUGAAGCAACCACCUGGCCACUAUGCCGGGUUGUGCGGCGAGCUUCAUACUGUUGUUUCUUCAAAAGAAAGUUUGGAUCUAGAUAAGCUAGAGGGUGUGAAAUUUUUACUUUCCGGUUUGCUUGACAGGUUUUCUGUGCUGGCUGAGGAUCUGAACCGGAGGAAAGAAUAAUUACCUCUACAUCAUCAGCCCGGCUAGCUUCGGCGUCAUCCUGAUAAUGGUCAUUGUCAAUGAGGUGUAUGAAAAAUGAACCAAGAGAAUCAAGUUCUACCUUUGAUUCCGGGUUGUCAAGAUCCUCGUCGAGGUUCAGCUCGGUGGACUCACCUGUUUUCUUCUUGGCAGGCUUUUUGACGACCUUUGUCUUGGGUCGAGGGGUCUUGGCCGGUUUAUCCCAAGCGUUCUUCUUCCAAAAUGGGUCGUCACCCUGUUAAAAGAUUGAUAAAGGUUAUAAGGAAGAGUUAAGAAUAUCAGGUUCAAACAGGGGUUAGGCAAUUCUUACAGCUGGUGGUUUAUUUGAAACGUAGAAGGGACUUAGCCCUAUUUUGCUGCAGACAACCACCGAUUCAUCCAGUAUCUUUUUGACAGCUUCAGUGAUUUCAGCAUCAGUUAACUGAAUGUUAGUGUGCCAUUGAGGGUCUUUCAAGUCCCCUGUGUACUCGGACAUUAAACCUGGGCGACAGCUUAAAGGCAAAAUACCCCAAGAUAUCCAGCAACGAACAAAGUCAAUUCCUGUUAACCCAUUAGCCACAAAGGCUCUGAGCUUUGCAAGUUGUGGUGCAUAUUUGGCCCGUUCUUUUGCGGUCAACCUUUGGGGAAAAUGGAUGUGUAUUGGUAAGUCGGUGAGCACGGUAACCCGACAGAGGGUUCUCGUCAUCUGGGGAAGUAUCUUUGCAAUAGAACCAAGUCUGGUUCCAAUCCUUAGGGUGACUAUGAUGCUUGGCGUGAGGGAAGCUCACGUCUUUCCUUUUCUGAAUUGAAACGCCGCCAAUUUCAGUAUUGGGCCCGUCUGUAAAUUCAGUACGGCGGUUUAAAUAGAAAAAGUCCCUGAACAGUUCAACAGUCCGUUCUUCUUGCAGAUAAGCCUCGCAAAACACUUGAAAAUUACAAAUAUUGGACACAGAAUUAGGUCCAAUAUCUUGAGGGUGGAUCUGGAAGCUAGCAAGCACAUCACGGAUUUUUUUUGAUCCGGGAGGUUUAAAACCACGGCUCAGAUGAUCAACAAACACAACUAUCUCGCCAUCCUUGGGCUCAGGAGGAUUUUGUGGACCGGCAGCUCACCAGUGGAUUUCACUCUGUUUCGGUAAAGCGCCAGUUAUAACGCAUUCGUUCAGAUCUUCUUCCGUAAUCCGGGAUGGAACCCAGUUACAAGCGUAAAAAAGACUUGGCCAUUUCUUUGACAACUUGAAGGAAGAUUUGUGCCGGUUUAAGAUUCAUGGUGGAUAAGCAUGAAGCGUUGCAGGUUAAGGGACGAAAGGUAUUCAAGCAUGCAAAAUUAUUAAACCGAAGGAUGAUGAUAUCAGGACUACAAUGAUAAAGCGAUUGGCGGUUUACGAGGGACUAAUGGUACCUGACGGGUUAUCAUUUUCUAAAGUUAAACCGCCUACAUUGGUAUGGAAGGUACAGAUCUGAUGUUGGAAAUAUGCCCUAGAGGCAAUAAUAAAAGCAUUAUUAUUAUAUUUCCUUAUUCAUGAUAAUUGUCUUUAUUCAUGCUAUAAUUGUGUUAUCCGGAAAUCGUAAUACAUGUGUGAAUAACAGACACCAACAUGUCCCUAGUAAGCCUCUAGUUGACUAGCUCGUUGAUCAACAGAUAGUCAUGGUUUCCUGACUAUGGACAUUGGAUGUCAUUGAUAACGAGAUCACAUCAUUAGGAGAAUGAUGUGAUGGACAAGACCCAAUCCUAAACAUAGCACAAGAUCGUAUAGUUCGUUUGCUAGAGUUUUUCCAAUGUCAAGUAUCUUUUCCUUAGACCAUGAGAUCGUGUAACUCCCGGAUACCGUAGGAGUGCUUUGGGUAUACCAAACGUCACAACGUAACUGGGUGACUAUAAAGGUAGACUACGGGUAUCUCCGAAAGUGUCUCUUGGGUUGACAUGGAUCAAGACUGGGAUUUGUCACUCCGUAUGACGGAGAGGUAUCACUGGGCCCACUCGGUAAUGCAUCAUCAUAAUGAGCUCAAAGUGACCAAGUGUCUGGUCACGGGAUCAUGCAUUACGGUACGAGUAAAGUGACUUGCCGGUAACGAGAUUGAAUGAGGUAUUGGGAUACCGACGAUCGAAUCUCGGGCAAGUAACAUAUCGAUUGACAAAGGGAAUUGCAUACGGGGUUGAUUGAAUCCUCGACAUCGUGGUUCAUCCGAUGAGAUCAUCGUGGAGCAUGUGGGAGCCAACAUGGGUAUCCAGAUCCCACUGUUGGUUAUUGACCGGAGAGUCGUCUCGGUCAUGUCUGCUUGUCUCCCGAACCCGUAGGGUCUACACACUUAAGGUUCGGUGAUGCUAGGGUUGUGAAGAUAUGUAUAUGCAGUAACCCGAAUGUUGUUCGGAGUCCCGGAUGAGAUCCCGGACGUCACGAGGAGUUCCGGAAUGGUCCGGAGGUAAAGAAUUAUAUAUAGGAAGUGCUGUUUCGGCCAUCGGGACAAGUUUCGGGGUCACCGGUAUUGUACCAGGACCACCGGAAGGGUCCCGGGGGUCCACCGGGUGGGGCCACCUAUCCCGGGGGGCCCCAUGGGCUGAAGUGGGAGGGAACCCAGCCCAAAGUGGGCUGGGGCGCCACUCCCCUAGGGCCCAUGCAGCUAGGGUUGAGGGGAAACCCUAAAGGGGGCGCCCCCUUGCUUGGGGGGCAAGCCCCCCACCCUUGGCCGCCGCCUCCCAUAGGAGAUUCCAUCUCCUAGGGCCGGCGCCCCCCCUAGCACCCCUAUAUAUAGUGGGGGAGAGGAGGGACUUCAUACACCAGCCCCUGGCGCCUCCCUCUCUCCCCGUUACGUCUCUCUCUCGUAGUAUAGGCGAAGCCCUGCUAUUGUGACGCCCUGCAUCCACCACCACGCCGUCGUGCUGCUGGAUCUUCAUCAACCUCUCCUUCCCCCUUGCUGGAUCAAGAAGGAGGAGACGUCUCCUGUCCCGUACGUGUGUUGAACGCGGAGGUGCCGUCCGUUCGGCGCUUGGUCAUCAGUGAUUUGGAUCACGUCGUGUUCGACUACAUCAUCACCGUUCUUUGAACGCUUCCGCACGCGAUCUACAAAGGUAUGUAGAUGCAUCCGAUGAAUUGUUGCUAGAUGAACUCCUAGAUGGAUCUUGGUGAAACGAGUAGGAAAAUUUUUGUUUUCUGCAACGUUCCCCAACAGUGGCAUCAUGAGCUAGGUCUAUGCGUAGUUCUUCUUGCGCGAGUAGAACACAAUUUGUUGUGGGCGUAGAUUUGUCAACUUUCUUGCUGCUACUAGUCUUUUCUUGUUGGAAAUAUGCCCUAGAGGCAAUAAUAAAUUAGUUAUUAUUAUAUUUCCUUGUUCAUGAUAAUCGUUUAUUAUCCAUGCUAGAAUUGUAUUGAUAGGAAACUCAGAUACAUGUGUGGAUACAUAGACAACACCAUGUCCCUAGUAAGCCUCUAGUUGACUAGCUCGUUGAUCAAUAGAUGGUUAUGGUUUCCUGACCAUGGACAUUGGAUGUCAUUGAUAACGGGAUCACAUCAUUAGGAGAAUGAUGUGAUGGACAAGACCCAAUCCUAAGCCUAGCACAAGAUCAUGUAGUUUGUAUGCUAAAGCUUUUCUAAUGUCAAGUAUCAUUUCCUUAGACCAUGAGAUUGUGCAACUCCCGGAUACCGUAGGAGUGCUUUGGGUGUACCAAACGUCACAACGUAACUGGGUGACUAUAAAGGUGCACUACGGGUAUCUCCGAAAGUGUCUGUUGGGUUGACACGAAUCGAGACUGGGAUUUGUCACUCCGUGUAAACGGAGAGGUAUCUCUGGGCCCACUCGGUAGGAUAUCAUCAUAAUGUGCACAAUGUGAUCAAGGAGUUGAUCACGGGAUGAUGUGUUACAGAACGAGUAAAGAGACUUGCCGGUAACGAGAUUGAACAAGGUAUCGGGAUACCGACGAUCGAAUCUCGGGCAAGUAUCGUACCGAUAGACAAAGGGAAUUGUAUACGGGAUUGAUUAAGUCCUUGACAUCGUGGUUCAUCCGAUGAGAUCAUCGUGGAACAUGUGGGAGCCAACAUGGGUAUCCAGAUCCCGCUGUUGGUUAUUGACCGGAGAAUGUCUCGGUCAUGUCUGCAUGUCUCCCAAACCCGUAGGGUCUACACACUUAAGGUUCGAUGACGCUAGGGUUGUAAAGGAAGUUUGUAUGUGGUUACCGAAUGUUGUUCGGAGUCCCAGAUGAGAUCCCGGACGUCACGAGGAGUUCCGGAAUGGUCCGGAGGUAAAGAUUUAUAUAUGGGAAGUCCUGGUUUGGUCACCGGAAGAGUUUCGGGGUUUAUCGGUAACAUACCGGGACCACCGGGAGGGUCCCGGGGGUCCACCAAGUGGGGCCACCAACCCCGGAGGCUUGCAUGGGCCAAGAGUGGUGAGGGACCAGCCCCUUAGUGGGCUGGUGCGCCUCCCACAAGGGCCCAUGGCGCCUAAGAGGUGGGAAGGGGGCAAACCCUAAUGGGAUAUGGGCCUUAGGGCCCAUAUUGGUGCGCCUCCCUCUCCCAUCCCCUCUUGGCCGCCACCCCUUGGCCAUCUAGGGCUGCCGCCCCCCUAGGGGUGGGAACCCUAGAGGGGGCGCAGCCCAUCCCCUUCCCCUAUAUAUAUGAGGCCAAGGGCUGCCCCAUAACACACGCGUGAUUCGAUCUCUCGUUGGUGCAGCCCUGCAUCUCUUCUUCCUCCUCUUCUGUGGUGCUUGGCGAAGCCCUGCAGGAUAGCCACGCUCCUCCACCACCACCACGCCGUUGUGCUGCUGCUGGAUAGAGUCUUCCUCAACCUCUCCCUCUCUCCUUGCUGGUUCAGGCGUGGGAGUCGUCACCGGGCUGUACGUGUGUUGAACGCGGAGGUGCCGUGCGUUCGGCACUUGGUCAUCGGUGAUUUGAAUCACGACGAGUACGACUCCAUCAACCCCGUUCACUUGAACGCUUCUGCUUAGCGAUCUACAAGGGUAUGUAGAUGCACUCUCCUUCCCCUCGUUGCUGGUCUCUCCAUAGAUAGAUCUUGGUGACACGUAUGAAAAUUUUGAAUUUCUGCUACGUUCCCCAACAGUGGCAUCAUGAGCUAGGUCUAUUCCGUAGAUUCUAUGCACGAGUAGAACACAAAGUAGUUGUGGGCGUUGAUUUUGUUCAAUAUGCUUGCCGUUACUAGUCUUAUCUUGAUUCGGCGGCAUCGUGGGAUGAAGCGGCCCGGACCAACCUUACACGUACUCUUACGUGAGACCGGUUCCACCGACAAACAUGCACUAGUUGCAUAAGGUGGCUGGCGGGUGUCUGUCUCUCCCACUUUAGUCGGAUCGGAUUCGAUGAAAAGGGUCCUUAUGAAGGGUAAAUAGCAAUUGGCAUAUCACGUUGUGGUCUUUGUGUAGGUAAGAAACAUUCUUGCUAGAAACCCAUAGCAGCCAUGUAAAACAUGCAAACAACAAUUAGAGGACGUCUAACUUGUUUUUGCAGGGUAUGCUAUGUGAUGUGAUAUGGCCAAAGGAUGUGAUGAAUGAUAUAUGUGAUGUAUGAGAUUGAUCAUGUUCUUGUAAUAGGAAUCACGACUUGCAUGUCGAUGAGUAUGACAACCGGCAGGAGCCAUAGGAGUUGUCUUUAUUUAUUUAUGACCUGCGUGUCAACAUAAACGUCAUGUAAUUACUUUACUUUAUUGCUAACCGUUAGUUGUAGUAGUAGAAGUAAUAGAUGACGAGACAACUUCAUGAAGACACGAUGAUGGAGAUCAUGAUGAUGGAGAUCAUGGUGUCAUGCCGGUGACAAGAUGAUCAUGGAGCCCCAAGAUGGAGAUCAAAGGAGCUAUAUGAUAUUGGCCAUAUCAUGUCACUAUUAUUUGAUUGCAUGUGAUGUUUAUCAUGUGUAUACAUCUUAUUUGCUUAGAACGACGGUAGUAAAUAAGAUGAUCCCUUACAACAAUUUCAAGAAGUGUUCUCUCCUAACUGUGCACCGUUGCGACAGUUCGUGUUUCGAAGCACCACGUGAUGAUCGGGUGUUAGAUUCUAACGUUCACAUACAACGGGUGUAAGACAGAUUUACACACGCGAAACACUUAGGGUUAACUUGACGAGCCUAGCAUGUACAGACAUGGCCUCGGAACACAGAAGACCGAAAGGUCGAGCAUGAGUCGUAUGGCAGAUACGAUCAACAUGAAGAUGUUCACCGAUGUUGACUAGUCCGUCUCACGUGAUGAUCGGACACGGCCUAGUUGACUCGGACCAUGUAAUCACAUAGAUGACUAAAGGGAUGUCUAUCUGAGUGGGAGUUCAUAAGAUGAACUUAAUUAUCCUGAACAUAGUCAAAAGGAUUUUGCGAAUUAUGUCGUAGCUCGCGCUUUAGUUCUACUGUUUAGAUAUGUUCCUAGAGAAAAAAUUAGUUGAAAGUUGAUAGUAGCAAUUGUGCGGACUAAGUUCGCAAACUGAGGAUUGUCCUCAUUGCUUCAUAGAAGGCUUAUGUCCUUAAUGCACCGCUUAGUGUGCUGAACCUCGAACGUCGUCUAUGGAUGUUGCGAACAUCUGACAUACACAUUUUGAUAAUUACAUUAUAGUUCAGUGCGUAAUGUUAAAUGGUUUAGAAUUGAGGCACCGAAGAUGUUUUGAAACGUCGCAAAACAUAUGAGAUGUUUUGAGGGCUGAAAUUGGGAUUUCAGGCUCGUGCCCACGUCAAGAGGUGUAAGACCUCCGACGAUUUUCUUAGCCUGCAAACUAAGGGAGAAAAGCUCAAUUGUUGAGCUUGUGCUCAGAUUGUCUGAGUACAACAAUCAUUUGAAUCAAGUGGGAGUUGAUCUUCCAGAUAAGAUAGUGAUGUUUCUCCGAAGUCAUUACCACCAAGCUGCUAGAGCUUCGUGAUGAACUAUAAUGUAUCAGGGACAUAUAUGAUGAUCCUUGAGAUAUUCGCGAUGUUUGACACCGCGAAAGUAGAAAUCAAGAAGGAGCAUCAAUUGUUGAUGGUUGGUGAAACCACUAGUUUCAACAAGGGUAAGGGCAAGAAGGGAUACUUCAUGAAACGGCAAUUCAGCUGCUGCUCUAGUGAAGAAACCCAAGGUUGAACCCAAACCCGAGACUAAGUGCUUCUGUAAUAAGGGGAACAGCCACUAGAGCAGUAUUACCCUAGAUACUUGGUAGAUGAGAAGGCUGUCGAUAGAAGUAUAUUGGAUAUACAUUAUGUUAAUGUGUACUUUACUAGUACUCCUAGUAGCACCAGGGUAUUAGAUACCGGUUCAGUUGCUAAGUGUUAGUAACUCGAAAUAAAAGCUACGGAAUAAACGGAGACUAGCUAAAGGUGAGCUGACGAUAUGUGUUGGAAGUGUUUCCAAGGUUGACAUGAUCAAGCAUCGCACGCUCCCUCUACCAUCGAGAUUGGUAUUAAAACCUAAAUAAUUGUUAUUUGGUGUUUGCGUUGAGCAUAGACAUGAUUGGAUUAUGUCUAUCGCAAUACGGUUAUUCAUUUAAGGAGAAUAACGGUUACUCUGUUUAUUUGAAUAAUACCUUCAAUGGUCUUAUGCCUAAAUUGAAUCUCGAUCGUAGUGAUACACAUGUUCAUGCCAAAAGAAAGUAAUGAUAGUACCACCUACUUGUGGCACUGCCACGUAAGUCAUAUCGGUAUAAAACGCAUGAAGAAGCUCCAUGUUGAUGGAUCUUUGGGCUCACUCGUUUUUUUAAAGGUUUGAGGCAUGCGAAUCAUGUCUAUUGGUGUAUAUGCAUGAAACUCCAUGCAAAUGGACCGUUUGGACUCACUUGAUUUUUGAAUCACUUGAGACAUGCAAAUCAUACCACAUGGGCAAGAUGACUGAAAGCCUCGGUUUCAGUAAAAUGGAACUAGAAAGCAACUUGUUGGAAGUAAUACAUUUUGAUGUGUGCAAUCCAAUGAGUGCUGAGGCAUGUAGUGGAUAUCGUUAUGUUCUUACUUCACAGAUGAUUUGAGUAGAUGUUGAGUAUAUUUACUUGAUGAAUCACGAGUCUGAAUUAUUGAAAGGUUCAAAUAAUUUCAGGGUGAAGUUGAAAGAUCGUCCUGACAAGAGGAUAAAAUAUCUAUGAUAUGAUCAUAGAGAUGAAUAUCUGAAUUAUGAGUUUGGCACAGAAUUAAGACAUUGUGGAAAUUGUUUCACAACCAAUACAACCUGGAACACCAUAGUGUGAUGGUGUGUCCGAACAUCAUAACUGCACCCUAUUGGAUAUGAUGCAUACCAUGAUGUCUCUUAUCGAAUUACCACAAUAGUUUAUGGGUUAGGCAUUAGAGACAACCACAUUCACUUUAAUAGGGCAUCACGUAAUUCCGAUGAGAUGACACCAUAUGAACUAUGGUUUAGACAAACCUAAGCUGUCAUUUCUUAAAAGUUUGGGGCUGCGACGCUUAUGUGAAAAAGUUUUAGGCAGAUAAGCUCGAACCCAAAGCGGAUAAAUGCAUCUUCAUAGGACACCCAAAACAGUUGGGUAUACCUCCUGUCUCAGAUCCGAAAGCAAUAAGGGAUUGUUUCUAGAAUCGGGUCCUUUCUCGAGGAAAAGUUUCUCUCGAAAGAAUUGAGUGGGAGGAUGGUGGAGGCUUGAUGAGGUUAUUGAACCGUCACUUCAACUCGUGUAUAGCAGGGCACAAAGAGUUGUUCCUGUGGCACCUACAUCAAUUGAAGUGGAAGCUUAUGAUAGUGAUCAUGAAACUUCAGAUCAAGUCACUACCAAACCUCGUGGGAUGACAAGGAUGCGUACUACUUCAGAGUGGUACGUAAUCCUAUCUUGGAAGUCAUGUUGCUAGACAACAAUGAACCUACGAGCUAUGGAGAAGCGACGGUGGGCCUGGAUUCUGAUAAAUGGCUCGAAGCCAUGAAAUCCGAGAGAGGAUCCAUGUAUGAAAACAAAGUGUAGACUUUGGAAGAACUACUUGAUGGUCGUGAGGCUGUUGAGUACAGAUGGAUUUUAAAAGGAAGACGGACAAUAAUGGUAAAUGUCACCAUUAAGAGAGCUCGACUUGUCGUUAAGAUGUUUUCUGACAAGUUCAAGGAGUUGACUACGGUGAGAUUUUCUCACUCGUAGCGAUGCUAAGAGUCUGUUGGAAUUAUAUUAGCAGUCACUGCAUUAUUUAUGAAAUCUUGCAGAUAGGAUGUCAAAACAUUGUUUCCUCGACUAUUUUCUUGAGGAAAGGUUGUAUGUGAUACAACCGAAAGGUUUUGUCAAUCCUGAAAGAUGCUAAUAAGUAUGCAAAGCUCCAGCUAUCCUUCUGAGGACUGGAGUGAGCAUCUCGGAGUUGGAAUGUACACUUUGAUGAGAUGAUCAAAGAUUUUGGGUUUAUACAAAGUUUAUGAGAAACUUGUAUUUCCAAAAAAGUGAGUGGGAGCACUAUAGAAUUUCUGAUGAGUAUAUGUUUUGUUGAUCGGAAAUGACGUAGAAUUUCUAGAAAGCAUGUAGGGUUAUUUGGAAAGUGUUUUUCAAUGGAAAUCCAGGAUUAAGCUACUUGAACAUUGAGCAUCAAGAUCUAUAAGGAUAGAUCAAAACGCUUAAUGGUACUUUCAAAUGAGCACAUACCUUGACAUGAUCUUGAAGGUGUUCAAGAUGGAUCAGUCAAAGAAGGAGUUCUUGCCUGAGUUGUAAGGUAUGAAGUUAAGACUUAAAGCUCGACCAUGGCAGAAUAGAGAGAAAGGACGAAAGUCGUCCCCUAUGCUUAAGACGUAGGCUCUAUAGUAUGCUAUGCUGUGUACCGCACCUGAAGUGUGCCUUGCCAUGAGUCAGUCAAGGGGUACAAGAGUGAUCCAAGAAUGGAUCACAGGACAGCUGUCAAAGUUAUCCUUAGUAACUAGUGGACUAAGGAAUUUUCUCGAUUAUGGAGGUGGAAAAAGAGUUCGUCGUAAAGGGUUGCGUCGAUGCAAGCUUAACACCUAUCCGGAUAGCUCUGAGUAGAGAUACCGGAUACGUAUAAUGGAGCAACAAUUUAGAAUAGCUCCAAGUAGAACAGUUAUUUGGAAUAGUUCCAAAUAGAACGUGGUAGCUACAUCUAGGAGAUGACAUAGAGAUUUGUAAAGCACACACGGAUCUGAAAGGUUCAGGCCCGUUGACUAAAACCUCUCUCACAAGCAACAUGAUCAAACCCAAAAAUCAUUGAGUGUUAAUCACAUGGUAAAAGUGAACUAGAUUAUUGACUCUAGUAAACUCUUUGGGUAUUAGUCACAUGGGGAUGUGACCUUGAGUGUUAAUCACACAUCAAUGUGAACUGGAUUAUUGACUCUAGUGCAAGUGGGAGACUGUUGGAAAUAUGCCCUAGAGGCAAUAAUAAAUUAGUUAUUAUUAUAUUCCUUGUUCAUGAUAAUCGUUUAUUAUCCAUGCUAGAAUUGUAUUGAUAGGGAACUCAGAUACAUGUGUGGAUACAUAGACAACACCAUGUCCCUAGUAAGCCUCUAGUUGACUAGCUCGUUGAUCAAUAGAUGGUUACGGUUUCCUGACCAUGGACAUUGGAUGUCAUUGAUAACGGGAUCACAUCAUUAGGAGAAUGAUGUGAUGAACAAGACCCAAUCCUAAGCCUAGCACAAGAUCAUGUAGUUCGUAUGCUAAAGCUUUUCUAAUGUCAAGUAUCAUUUCCUUAGACCAUGAGAUUGUGCAACUCCCGGAUACCGUAGGAGUGCUUUGGGUGUACCAAACGUCACAACGUAACUGGGUGACUCUAAAGGUGCACUACGGGUAUCUCCGAAAGUGUCUGUUGGGUUGACACGAAUCGAGACUGGGAUUUGCCACUCCGUGUAAACGGAGAGGUAUCUCUGGGCCCACUCGGUAGGAUAUCAUCAUAAUGUGCACAAUGUGAUCAAGGAGUUGAUCACGGGAUGAUGUGUUAUGGAACGAGUAAAGAGACUUGCCGGUAACGAGAUUGAACAAGGUAUCGGGAUACCGACGAUCGAAUCUCGGGCAAGUAUCGUACCGAUAGACAAAGGGAAUUGUAUACGGGAUUGAUUAAGUCCUUGACAUCGUGGUUCAUCCGAUGAGAUCAUCGUGGAACAUGUGGGAGCCAACAUGGGUAUCCAGAUCCUGCUGUUGGUUAUUGACCGGAGAACGUCUCGGUCAUGUCUGCAUGUCUCCCGAACCCGUAGGGUCUACACACUUAAGGUUCGAUGACGCUAGGGUUGUAAAGGAAGUUUGUAUGUGGUUACCGAAUGUUGUUCGGAGUCCCGGAUGAGAUCCCGGACGUCACGAGGAGUUCCGGAAUGGUCCGGAGGUAAAGAUUUAUAUAUGGGAAGUCCUGUUUUGGUCACCGGGAGAGUUUCGGGGUUUAUCGGUAACAUACCGGGACCACCGGGAGGGUCCCGGGGGUCCACCAAGUGGGGCCACCAACCCCGGAGGCUUGCAUGGGCCAAGAGUGGUGAGGGACCAGCCCCUUAGUGGGCUGGUGCGCCUCCCACAAGGGCCCAUGGCGCCUAAGAGGUGGGAAGGGGGCAAACCCUAAUGGGAUAUGGGCCUUAGGGCCCAUAUUGGUGCGCCUCCCUCUCCCAUCCCCUCUUGGCCGCCACCCCUUGGCCAUCUAGGGCUGCCGCCCCCCUAGGGGUGGGAACCCUAGAGGGGGCGCAGCCCAUCCCCUUCCCCUAUAUAUAUGAGGCCAAGGGUUGCCCCAUAACACACGCGUGAUUCGAUCUCUCGUUGGUGCAGCCUUGCAUCUCUUCUUCCUCCUCUUCUGUGGUGCUUGGCGAAGCCCUGCAGGAUAGCCACGCUCCUCCACCACCACCACGUUGUUGUGCUUCUGCUGGAUAGAGUCUUCCUCAACCUCUUCCUCUCUCCUUGCUGGAUCAAGGCAUGGGAGACGUCACCGGGCUGUACGUGUGUUGAACGCGGAGGUGCCGUGCGUUCGGCACUUGGUCAUCGGUGAUUUGAAUCACGACGAGUAUGACUCCAUCAACCCCGUAAACUUGAACGCUUCCGCUUAGCGAUCUACAAGGGUAUGUAGAUGCACUCUCCUUCCCCUCAUUGCUGGUCUCUCCAUAGAUAGAUCUUGGUGACACGUAGGAAAAUUUUGAAUUUCUGCUACGUUCCCCAACAUUUCUUGCUUCAGCGGCAUUGUGGGAAGAAGCGGCCCGGACCAACCUUACACGUACGCUUACGUGAGACCGGUUCCACCGACAAACAUGCACAAGUUGCAUAAAGUGGCUGGCGGGUGUCUGUCUCUCCUACUUUAGUUGGAGCGGAUUCGAUGAACAGGGUCCUUAUGAAGGGUAAAUAGAAGUUGACAAAUCACGUUGUGGCUUUAACGUAGGUAAGAAGUCGUUCUUGCUAGAACCCUAAAUUCAGCCACGUAAAACUUGCAACAUCAAUUAGAGGACGUCUAACUUGUUUUUUGCAGCAAGUGGUUUGUGAUAUGAUAUGGCCAAAGUUGUGGUGAAUGAUGAAUGAUCUAUAUGUGAUGUAUGAUAUGUUCAUGCUAUUGUAAUAGAAAUCACGACUUGCAUGUCGAUGAGUAUGACAACCGGCAGGAGCCAUAGGAGUUGUCUUUAUUCUUUUAUAUGACCUGCGUGUCAUUGAGAAACGCCAUGUAAAUUACUUUACUUUAUUGCUAAACGCGUUAGCCAUAGUAGUAGAAGUAAUAUUUGGCGAGCAACUUCAUGGAGACACGAUGAUGGAGAUCAUGAUGAUGGAGAUCAUGGUGUCAAGCCGGUGACAAGAUGAUCAUGGAGCCCCAAGAUGGAGAUAAAAGGAGCUAUGUGAUAUUGGCCAUAUCAUGUCACGUUUAUUAUUUGAUUUCAUGUGAUGUUUAUCAUGUUUUGCAUCUUGUUUACUUAGAACGACGGUAGUAAAUAAGAUGAUCCCUCAUAAUAAUUUCAAGAAGUGUUCCCCCUAACUGUGCACCGUUGCGACAGUUCGUUGUUUCAAAACACCACGUGAUGAUCGGGUGUUUUAUUCAGACGUUCACAUACAACGGGUGUAAGACAGAUUUACACAUGCAAACACUUAGGUUGACUUGACGAGCCUAGCAUGUACAGACAUGGCCUCGGAACACAGAAGACCGAAAGGUCGAGCAUGAGUCAUAUAGAAGAUACGAUCAACAUGAAGAUGUUCACCGAUGUUGACUAGUCCGUCUCACGUGAUGAUCGGACAUGGCCUAGUUAACUCAGAUCAUGUAAUACUUAGAUGACUAGAGGGAUGUCUAAUCUAAGUGGGAGUUCAUUAAUAAUUUGAUUGGAUGAACUUAAUUAUCAUGAACUUAGUCUAAAAUAUUUUACAAUAUGUCUUGUAGAUCAAAUGGCCCACGUAGUCCUCAACUUCAACGCGUUCCUAGAGAAAACCAAGCUGAAAGACGAUGGCAGCAACUAUACGGACUGGGUCCGGAACCUGAGGAUCAUCCUCAUAGCUGCCAAGAAAGAUUAUGUCCUACAAGCACCGCUAGGUGAAGCUCCCGUCCCACAGAACCAAGACGUUAUGAACGCUUGGCAGACACGUGUUGACGACUACUCCCUCGUUCAGUGCGGCAUGCUUUACAGCUUAGAGCCGGGGCUCCAAAAGCGUUUUGAGAGACAUGGAGCAUAUGAGAUGUUCGAAGAGCUGAAAAUGGUUUUUCAAGCUCAUGCCCGGAUCGAGAGAUAUGAAGUCUCCGAUAAGUUCUUCAGCUGUAAGAUGGAGGAAAAUAGUUCUGUCAGUGAGCACAUACUCACUAUGUCUGGGUUACAUAACCGCUUGUCUCAGCUGGGAGUUAAUCUCCCGGAUGAUGCGGUCAUUGACAGAAUCCUCCAGUCGCUUCCACCAAGCUACAAGAGCUUUGUGAUGAACUUCAACAUGCAGGGGAUGCAAAAGACCAUUCCUGAGUUGUUCUCAAUGCUGAAAUCAGCGGAGGUAGAAGUCAAGAAGGAACAUCAAGUGUUGAUGGUCAAUAAAGCCACUAAGUUCAAGAAAGGCAAGGGUAAAAAGAACUUCAAGAAGGACGGCAAGGAGGUUGCCGCGCCCGGCAAGCAAGCUGCCGGGAAGAAGCCAAAGAAUGGACCCAAGCCCGAGACUGAGUGCUUUUAUUGCAAGGGAAGCGGUCAUUGGAAGUGGAACUGCCCUAAAUACUUAGCAGACAAGAAGGCCGGCAAAACAAAAGGUAUAUGUGAUAUACAUGUAAUUGAUGUGUACCUUACUAGUGUCCGUAGUAGCUCCUGGGUAUUUGAUACCGGUGCAGUUGCUCACAUUUGUAACUCAAAACAGGGGCUGCGGAAUAAGCGGAAACUGGCAAAGGACGAGGUGACGAUGCACGUCGGGAAUGGUUCCAAGGUCAAUGUGAUCGCCGUCGGCACGCUACCUCUAUAUCUACCUUCGGGAUUAGUUUUAAACCUUAAUAAUUGUUAUUUAGUGCCAGCUUUGAGCAUGAACAUUGUAUCGGGAUCUCGUUUAAUUCGAGAUGGCUACUCAUUUAAAUCCGAGAAUAAUGGUUGUUCUAUUUAUAUGAGAGAUAUGUUUUAUGGUCAUGCUCCUAUGGUGAACGGUUUAUUCUUUAUGAAUCUCGAACGUAAUACUACACAUGUUCAUAAUGUGAGUACCAAAAGAUGUAAGGUUGAUAAUGAUAGUCCCACAUACUUGUGGCACUGCCGCCUUGAUCACAUAGGUGUCAAACGCAUGAAGAAGCUCCAUGCAGAUGGACUUUUAGAGUCUCUUGAUUAUGAAUCAUUUGACACGUGCGAACCAUGCCUCAUGGGUAAGAUGACCAAGACUCCGUUCUCAGGAACAAUGGAGCGAGCAACCAACUUAUUGGAAAUCAUACAUACUGAUGUAUGCGGUCCAAUGAGUGUUGACGCUUGCGGUGGCUAUCGUUAUGUUCUCACGCUCACUGAUGAUUUAAGUAGAUAUGGGUAUAUCUACUUAAUGAAACACAAGUCUGAAACCUUUGAAAAGUUCAAGGAAUUUCAGAGUGAGGUUGAAAAUCAACGUGACAGGAAAAUCAAGUUUCUACGAUCAGAUCGUGGAGGAGAAUACUUGAGUCACGAAUUUGGCACACACUUAAGAAAAUGUGGAAUAGUUUCACAACUCACGCCGCCUGGAACACCUCAGCGUAAUGGUGUGUCCGAACGUCGUAAUCACACUCUAUUAGAUAUGGUGCGAUCUAUGAUGUCUCUUACCGAUUUACCGCUAUCUUUUUGGGGCUAUGCUUUAGAGACUGCCGCAUUCACUUUAAAUAGGGCUCCGUCGAAAUCCGUUGAGACGACACCGUAUGAAUUAUGGUUUGGGAAGAAACCUAAGCUGUCGUUUCUAAAAGUUUGGGGAUGCGAUGCUUAUGUCAAGAAACUUCAACCUGAAAAGCUCGAACCCAAGUCGGAAAAAUGCGUCUUCAUAGGAUACCCAAAAGAAACUAUUGGGUAUACCUUCUACCUCAGAUCCGAAGGCAAGAUCUUUGUUGCCAAGAAUGGGUCCUUUCUAGAGAAAGAGUUUCUCUCGAAAGAAGUAAGUGGGAGGAAAGUAGAGCUUGAUGAAGUAUUACCUCUUGAACCGGAAAAUGGCGCAACUCAAGAAAAUGUUCCUGAGGUGCCUGCACCGACUAGAGAGGAAGUUAAUGAUAAUGAUCAAGAUACUUCUGAUCAAGCUCCUACUGAAAUUCGAAGGUCCACAAGGACACGUUCCGCACCAGAGUGGUACGGCAACCCUGUCUUGGAAAUCAUGUUGUUAGACAACGGUGAAUCUUCGAACUAUGAAGAAGCGAUGGCGGGCCCGGAUUCCGACAAAUGGCUAGAAGCCAUGAAAUCCGAGAUAGGAUCCAUGUAUGAAAAUGAAGUAUGGACUUUGACUGACUUGCCCGUUGAACGGCGAGCCAUAGAAAAUAAAUGGAUCUUUAAGAAGAAGACAGACGCGGAUGGUAAUGUGACCAUCUAUAAAGCUCGACUUGGCGCUAAGGGUUAUCGACAAGUUCAAGGGGUUGACUACGAUGAGACUUUCUCACCGGUAGCGAAGCUAAAGUCCGUCCGAAUCAUGUUAGAAAUUGCCGCAUUCUACGAUUAUGAGAUAUGGAAAAUGCACGUCAAAACGGCAUUCCUUAAUGGUUUCCUUAAGGAAGAAUUGUAUAUGAUGCAGCCGGAAGGUUUUGUCGAUCCUAAGAAUGCUGACAAGGUGUGCAAGCUCCAACGCUCAAUUUAUGGGCUGGUGCAAGCAUCUCGGAGUUGGAACAUUCGCUUUGAUGAGAUGAUCAAAGCGUUUGGGUUUACGCAGACUUAUGGAGAAGUCUGCGUUUACAAGAAAGUGAGUGGGAGCUCUGUAGCAUUUCUCAUAUUAUAUGUAGAUGACAUACUAUUGAUGGGAAAUGAUAUAGAACUCUUGGACAGCAUCAAGGCCUACUUGAAUAAGAGUUUUUCAAUGAAGGACCUUGGAGAAGUUGCUUAUAUAUUAGGCAUCAAAAUCUAUAGAGAUAGAUCGAGACGCCUCAUAGGUCUUUCACAAAGCACAUACCUUGAUAAGAUAUUGAAGAAUUCAAUAUGGAUCAAUCUAAGAAGGGGUUCUUGCCUGUGUUACAAGGUAUGAAAUUGAGCUCAGCUCAAUGUCCGACCACGGCAGAAGAUAUAGAAGAGAUGAGCGUCAUCCCCUAUGCAUCAGCCAUAGGUUCUAUUAUGUAUGCCAUGCUGUGUACCAGACCUAAUGUAAACCUUGCCGUAAGUUUGGUAGGAAGGUACCAAAGUAAUCCCGGCAAGGAACACUGGACAGCGGUCAAGAAUAUCCUGAAGUACCUGAAAAGGACUAAGGAAAUGUUUCUCGUUUAUGGAGGUGAUGAAGAGCUCGUCGUAAAGGGUUACGUCGACGCUAGCUUUGACACAGAUCUGGAUGACUCUAAGUCACAAACCGGAUAUGUGUAUAUUUUGAAUGGUGGGGCAGUAAGCUAGUGCAGUUGCAAGCAAAGCGUCGUGGCGGGAUCUACAUGUGAAGCGGAGUACAUGGCAGCCUCGGAGGCAGCACAUGAAGCAAUAUGGGUGAAGGAGUUCAUCACCGACCUAGGAGUCAUACCCAAUGCAUCGGGGCCAAUCAAACUUUUCUGUGACAACACUGGAGCUAUUGCACUUGCCAAGGAGCCCAGGUUUCACAAGAAGACAAGGCACAUCAAGCGUCGCUUCAACUCCAUUCGUGAAAAUGUUCAAGAUGGAGACAUAGAUAUUUGUAAAGUACAUACGGACCUGAAUGUAGCAGAUCCAUUGACUAAACCUCUCCCUAGAGCAAAACAUGAUCAACACCAGAAUUCCAUGGGUGUUCGAUUCAUCACAAUGUAACUAGAUUAUUGACUCUAGUGCAAGUGGGAGACUGUUGGAAAUAUGCCCUAGAGGCAAUAAUAAAAGCAUUAUUAUUAUAUUUCCUUAUUCAUGAUAAUUGUCUUUAUUCAUGCUAUAAUUGUGUUAUCCGGAAAUCGUAAUACAUGUGUGAAUAACAGACACCAACAUGUCCCUAGUAAGCCUCUAGUUGACUAGCUCAUUGAUCAACAUAUAGUCAUGGUUUCCUGACUAUGGACAUUGGAUGUCAUUGAUAACGAGAUCACAUCAUUAGGAGAAUGAUGUGAUGGACAAGACCCAAUCCUAAACAUAGCACAAGAUCGUAUAGUUUGUUUGCUAGAGUUUUUCCAAUGUCAAGUAUCUUUUCCUUAGACCAUGAGAUCGUGUAACUCCCGGAUACCGUAGGAGUGCUUUGGGUAUACCAAACGUCACAACGUAACUGGGUGACUAUAAAGGUAGACUACGGGUAUCUCCGAAAGUGUCUGUUGGGUUGACAUGGAUCAAGACUGGGAUUUGUCACUCCGUAUGAUGGAGAGGUAUCACUGGGCCCACUCGGCAAUGCAUCAUCAUAAUGAGCUCAAAGUGACCAAGUGUCUGGUCACCGGAUCAUGCAUUAUGGUACGAGUAAAGUGACUUGCCGGUAACGAGAUUGAACGAGGUAUUGGGAUACCGACGAUCGAAUCUCGGGCAAGUAACAUAUCGAUUGACAAAGAGAAUUGCAUACGGGGUUGAUUGAAUCCUCGACAUCGUGGUUCAUCCGAUGAGAUCAUCAUGGAGCAUGUGGGAGCCAACAUGGGUAUCCAGAUCCCGCUGUUGGUUAUUGACCGGAGAGUCGUCUCGGUCAUGUCUGCUUGUCUCCCGAACCCGUAGGGUCUACACACUUAAGGUUCGGUGAUGCUAGGGUUGUGAAGAUAUGUAUAUGCAGUAACCCGAAUGUUGUUCGGAGUCCCGGAUGAGAUCCCGGACGCCACGAGGAGUUCCGGAAUGGUCUGGAGGUAAAGAAUUAUAUAUAGGAAGUGCUGUUUCGGCCAUCGGGACAAGUUUCGGGGUCACCGGUAUUGUACGGGGACCACCGGAAGGGUCUCGGGGGUCCACCGGGUGGGGCCACCUAUCCCGGGGGGCCCCAUGGGCUGAAGUGGGAGGGAACCCAGCCCAAAGUGGGCUGGGGCGCCACUCCCCUAGGGCCCAUGCGGCUAGGGUUGAGGGGAAACCCUAAAGGGGGCGCCCCCUUGCUUGGGGGGCAAGCCCCCCACCCUUGGCCGCCGCCCCCCUAGGAGAUUCCAUCUCCUAGGGCCGCCGCCCCCCCUAGCACCCCUAUAUAUAGUGGGGGAGAGGAGGGACUUCAUACACCAGCCCCUGGCGCCUCCCUCUCUCCCCUUUACGUCUCUCUCUCGUAGUAUAGGCGAAGCCCUGCUACUGUGGCGCCCUGCAUUCACCACGACACCGUCGUGCUGCUGGAUCUUCAUCAACCUCUCCUUCCCCCUUGCUGGAUCAAGAAGGAGGAGACGUCUCCCGUCCUGUACGUGUGUUGAACGUGAAGGUGUCGUCCGUUCGGCGCUUGGUCAUCAGUGGUUUGGAUCACGUCGUGUUCGACUACAUCAUCACCGUUCUUUGAACGCUUCCGCACGCGAUCUACAAAGGUAUGUAGAUGCAUCCGAUGACUCGUUGCUAGAUGAACUCCUAGAUGGAUCUUGGUGAAACGAGUAGGAAAUUUUUUGUUUUCUGCAACGUUCCCCAACAUCUGAAAUAGCUAAGUAAGGGGAAAACAGGUUUCACAAGUUGGCAUUACAAAUUUGGAUCUAUCACGGGUCGGAAAAUGAAAAUAUAUUAAGACCUAAACAUGGAAACCGAAGCAGUGGAUUAAGGUUCAGAUUGAAGUUUUUGCUUAAACGCGAUGCGCUGAUGAAAAAAGGACUAUGGCCAUUGCUGUGUAGGCUGAAUAUGGAGGUUUCAAUCGAAGGAACUACAUCGCUGAUAUGAGCACCGACGAACAUCGACGAACACCGAGGAAUGUUCAAACCCUAAAACUGAAUCUACGGUGGGGGAAAGAGAAGCUUACUGGUGCAGAAGGAACAGCGGAGAGGCGCCGCGAUUCUUUGGUACGUUCAGGGUGAUGCAGCAGCCAAGGUUGAGGCAGAGGCGAAGUUCGAUGGCGCUAACGGAGCUUGAGGUGCUGGGGCGAUGCGAGGAAGACGAUGAGGCUGAGAGGCAUGAGGGGAAAAGUGAAAAUGAUCCCCGACCCUAUUUAUAAGGUGAAGGGAUAAGCGGCAGACACAUGAAUCGAGGAGGUCGCAAAACGGAUCUAUAGACAUGCAGACGCCUCGAUUUUUGGAAAUUCAUUAAAGAAGAUACAUUUAAAGAUUUGGGAUCUGCACAAAGCUAAUGGCAGAUGACGUCACGAUGGAUUAUUAUGCUCUCGGAGAUGACGUCACAGCGGUUUACAAGGUUUUUCAGCUGGUGUUGAAGAAGGAAUUUUUCUAAGUACUGAAAAUUGACAUGAACCAGUUCAAAUCAAUUUGGGGCCUAAUGUUGGGGAUAUAACUAUUAAGUAUAAACCGCCCAGGAGGGGCCAGAUUAUACUUAUAGUAAGCUAUUCCUAUUUCAAGCCCACGAAGGCAAGGCGCUUUAUGAAGGAUGUUUAACAAGAAGGCCCAAGGCCCAAAGGCGGAUUAGGGACCGUAGAUGUAAACUGCCAUAAGAUGUAUAACUUGUAUUGUAAGAUAAGAAAGGGUAGAAACCGAGCCGGACACGAAUAUGAGCCGGCCGGGAUUCUGUAAACCGCCGGGCGUCAACCUGUGUAUAUAAAGGGACGACCCGGAGGCGGUUUAAGGACAAGAAAACAACAGAUCGAGAGCCAGGCAAAGCGGAUUCGCUCCCUGGUCAUCGAAACCCUAGCAAUUCCAUCACAACUGGAUUAGGCUUUUACCUUCACCGUAAGGGGCCGAACCAGUAUAAACUCCUUGCGUCCUUUGUCCCGCUUUAACCCCUUUAAGCUAACUACGUUGCAAUGGCUCAACGACUAAGCCCUCACACUAGGACAUCUGCCGUGACAAAACCACGACAAUAUGUGUAGGAUAAAAUUUGUUUGUUGCCUUCUCUAGAUCUUCUAACGAGAAAAUCUUUGUAUUCUCAUUAGCAGUUUCAUCAAAUGAUAUCAACAUUUCUAGGAGAAGACCUUAUUUCUUUUGGAAAUAGUUCUUCUAUAGUUGCUUUUGAAUAUUUAUUUUCCAUCUAUGAUGGAUAAAUACUACGCUAAACCUCAGAAGAAGAGUGUCGGAACCACAUGCCAACCCAAUAAUUAUACAUGCAUGCAUUAAUUAAGCUCUUUUAAGUUUUGCUCUAUUUUUUCUAUCAUAAAUGUAACAAGAAUAUGGUCUUACCUAACUUUAGAGGUUCUUGAUUAUCUUGGUAUAGUGCAUUUUUAUUGGAUUAUACUUAGUCUUGUGAGGACAUUCAGUACAACUAAAGCUUCAUAUGGUAUUAUGGCAGAUCCCUUUACAAAGCUCCAUAAAAAACAACCCAGGGAAAAACAAAGUGGUGUUCAUCGGUGGCGGAAGGAGAAAUGAACUUAUACUUUUCUCUUUGUGAAUUCAUGGUGCAAUUUUUGUGUUUGCAUCUUUUCCAAGCAGCCCAACUGGUAUUUUUUAGAAAAGUUUGUUGAGGUAACUUGUCUUGAAGUGUUGGCAUGCUAUCAUGUGAGAAAAUGUAAUUUGGACAGAUGGCCGCCUUUGAGAUAUCACAGGUCCAUCAAAGUGGACAUUAAGGAUGAGAAACAUAGUAGUAAUUUCCCAAAUAUGAUAUUUUAGUCAACACAUACAAAUUAAAUUAAGUUAGAAAAACUACGAAAUGGAUUUUAGAAUUAAUGAUAGUUUGACAAAGAUAAGUUUAAAAUGAAGGAAAAUCAUUGGAAAUCGAUGAAUUUUAUUUUUUUGGUCGUUCUUGAUAGCUUUCGAUUUUUUCCCUUUUCAUAAAAAAAUUCUUGUUUUUUAUUAUAUAUUGAAAUUUUCUAUUAUAAACAAGAUCCAUUUUGGAAUCUAGGGAAAUGAAAAUAAAAUCAUGUUUUAUUUUCUAAUUUAUAUUGUUGUUAUUAAUAUAUAUUCAGGCUUUUAAGUGUCAUUCGUCUUCCACUUUUUAAUGAAUAUAGUGUGGGUGGUUUUGCCAUGAGUUGGAAACCACCACCAUGUUGUCGGUCAAACCACUCAGAGUUGGGUGAGGGGUCAAAGUUAUCUGGUUUUUGGUGUUAAGGAUGCUAAUGGCCACUCCCUCUAUUAUAAAAUAUUUGAAGUCCUAGGUUUAUCUUAAAUAACAUUUCAUUAAGUUUGACCAACUUUAUGAGAAAACUUACUAAUAAACACAACAUCAAAUGUAUAUAGUAUGACCAUAUAUUUUAGGACCCUGAUAACCACAAAAUGUGUGGUGGUUAAGCUUAAACACCUCCAUCCUCCCCAUUUGUUACAUGCAUGCAUGCAUUAGAAUGAUCCUCUGCUCCUCCCACAUGCAUUUCUCUCUCUAAUUAUAAUUUGAAAAUUCAAAAUGUUUUGUAGCACAAACUGUCAAUUCGAUUCAAAAUUGUUUUCACAUAAAGAAUUCAUCAUGAUGAGACCUUUGAUACUAUAUCUCAUGUUGAUAUGUUCCGACAACUUUUUUGGGGGGCUCAAAAGGUAUCAUGCAUGGGCUACAUAAUUUACAACACAUAUGAUAUGUAAUUUUAUCGUGCUAUUUCCAGAUAAGUUGUUGGGGUAUGUUUGUCAACAACUUUUCCCCCUUGGUCAAUGUUAUCGUGGUGUUUGCACGUAAGUCAACUGGUAUGUGGUUCGUAUAUUAACAUAUUAUUUUCACAUAAGUUGUUGGGGUACAUUUUUCAACAAUCCCCCCUUGUCAAUCUUACCACGGUGUUUGUAUGUAAGUUAUCACAUAUUCGGUUCAUAUAUUACCAUGCUAUUUUCACAUAAUUUACCAGCGGUAUGUUUCUCAACAACCUUUUCCCCUUGGUCAAUGUCAUCACGAUGUUUGUACGUAAGUUAUCAGGUAGGCGGUUCCUCAGCGUUAGUUCAAGCCACGGUAACCAACUCGAAAAGUUCUUUUUUGUGCAAACCUGCUUCCCUUUCCACUUCUCGUAAGGUAAACGUAAUGCUAAAAAUAAAAGCAGUGCGUUCCUAGUUUUUUUUUCUCUUUGGUCGAUUUUUCUUCAUUUUUUUCAUUUCUCUUUCUAAUUUCUUUCUUUUCUAUCUUUUAUUAAUUCACAAAUAUUGUCCAAAUCCAUGUUUUGUUUUUACAAUUUGUGAGUUUUUUUUGAUUAUGUGAACUUUUUUCAAAUCCAUUUUUGGUCAAAUUCAUGAACUAUUUUCAAAUUCUUUUUCCUUUUCUUUUACAAACGCGCAAACUAUUUUCAAAUGAAAAACAUUCUUAAAAUUCGUGAACUUUUGUUUCAAAAUCGAUGAAUUUUUUUCCAAAUCUAUGGUUAUUUUCUUUGAAAUCCAUUAAGUUUUUUUCAACUUCGCGAACUUUUUUCAUACUUCCAAAAUCAACGGUUUUCUUUUCAAAAUCAAUGUUUUUUUAAAUCCAUGAACUAUUUUUGAACCCUUGAACUUUUACAAGUUUGCGAACUUUUUGCCAAAUACAUGAUUUUUUGAGUUUGUUAACUUGUUUCAAACCCACGAACAAUUUUCAAAAUCAUGAUUGAAAUUCGUGAACUUUUUUCAAAUUCACAAUUUUUUUGAACCCUUUAACUUUUUGAAGUUUGUGAACUCUUUUUAAAAUCCAUGAACUUUUUCUAAAUCCUGCAUACUUUUUUGAACUUGUGAAGUUUUAAGAGUUCAUGAACUUGUUUUCACAUCCGUGAACUUUUCUCAAGCCCAUGACAUUGUUUUAAAAUUUAUGAUCUUUUUCAAUCUGGUGAACUUUUUUCAAAGUCUCAACUUUUAAAAUUUUAAAAUUCUUGAUUUUCCAAAUUUCAUGAAUAUUUUUAAAAUUCAACAACUUUUUUAAAAUUCAUGACAUUUUUAAGAUCCACAAUCAUGAACAUUUAUUCAAAUCCACAAUCAUGAACUUUUUAAAAUCCACUAAUUGAGGAACAUUUAUUCAAUUCUGUGAACUUUUUUAAAAUUCACAAAAUUUUCUCUAUAUUUUUGAUUUGUUUUCAAAUCUUUCGACAUUUUUCAUCUUACAAUUAUUUUGAAAGUACUACAAAAAAACCGAAAGGAAUUUUUCGACCAACUACCGAAAAAAAAUCAGAAGAAAACUACUUGCUCCAUCCCAUAAUAUAACAUUGUUUGGUAAGCCGUCUUUGGUUGCAAAACGAUCUUAUAUUAUGGGAUGGAGGGAGUAGCUUCUUUUAAAUAGACAAACAAAGAGAAAACCUAGCUGGUGAAAGCAAGCGAGCGGGUGAGCCAGGUGGCUCAAUAUUGGGCCGCCGCCCACUAGCAUCAAGCUUAAGGUACACACAUGUGGGCUAGCCCAUUUAGAGUACUUUUAAAAUUUUAAAAUUCAUGAAUUUUCCAAAUUUCAUGAAUAUUUUUAAAAUUCAAAAACUUUUUUAAAAUUCAUGACAUUUUUAAGAUCCACAAUCAUGAACAUUUAUUCAAAUCCACGAACUUUUUUCAAAUGCUUGAACUUUUUAAAAUCCACUAAUUGAGGAACAUUUAUUCAAUUCUGUGAACUUUUUUUAAAUUCACAAACUUUUCUCUAUAUUUUUGAUUUGUUUUCAAAUCUUUCGACAUUUUUCAUCUUACAAUUAUUUUGAAAGUACUAUAAAAAAACCGAAAGGAAUUUUUCGACCAACUACCGAAAAUAAAUCAGAAGAAAACUACUUGCUCCAUCCCAUAAUAUAACAUUGUUUGGCAAGCCGUCUUUGGUUGCAAAACGAUCUUAUAUUAUGGGAUGGAGGGAGUAGCUUCUUUUAGAUAGACAAACAAAGAGAAAACCUAGCUGGUGAAAGCAAGCGAGCGGGUGAGUCAGGUGGCUCAAUAUUGGGCCGCCGCCCACUAGCAUCAAGCUUAAGGUACACACAUGUGGGCUAGCCCAUUUAGAGGUUAAGUACUCAAGCACGUAAAAAAAUGGCCUAAAAGACCCGAGCCAGCGAGAGAUCGAACUCGUGACGCUCCGCUCGUGAAGUGAAGAACCUGACCAAUCAAGCUGGCAAAAUCUAGUGAUUUGUAUGCAGUGCAAGAGUUUAAAGUAUCGAACAUCUUUCAAGUUUUCACGAAUAAUUCAAUAAAAUAAAUGGAAAAUUCUGCACAAAAAUUGACAGACGUAAAUACAUUUUUAAAACCAUGAACAUUUUUUUCCAAAAAAUGUGAACACAUUUUGAAAUUCGAACAAACUUUUGAAACUUGAGCAAUUAUUGAAAAGAUGAACAAAAUUUUUGAAAUUCCUAAAAAAUAUUUUUUUGAAAAUAUACAUCGAACAUUUUGUAAUACAUGCAAAACAAUUUUUAAAUACAUAUAAUAUACGCACAACGAUUUUGAACUCCACAGUGAAUAUUUUUGUGAUAUACCCAGAACAAAAUUUUAAUAUAUGUUGAAUUUUUUUGUAAUAUACUCUGAACAAUUUUUAACUACACAUUGAACAUUUUUGUGAUAUACGUUGAACAUUAUUUCAAUACACAAUGAACAUUUGUGUGAUAUAGGCCGAAUUUGUUUGAGUUGUGAACAAAAUUUAAAAACCUUGACUUUUUCUAAAAUCACUACCAAAAUUUGGAAUUUUAAACAUUUUUUGAAAACAAAGGAUAUAAAAUAAAAACAAAAUGAUAAAAUAAAAAUAUAAGAAAAAAAAUGAAACUGAAUCAGAAUCAGAAAAGAAACCGAAACAAAAAAAGCAAACAGAAAAAAAUUUGGAAAUUUGGUUAAAAAAUACCGUUUAAAGGAACCUGCUAGAAGGUGAAGUCGGCCGGCCCGUCGCGUGGCAGACGACGUGCAUCAGGAGGCGAGCAGAUAGAGUUUUGAUCAUGCCAUGUCACACUUUCUGGCCCCAAAACCGCCUAAAAUUGAUGCAAAACCACCUAAGGGGGAGAUUUACCCGGUUUUAAGGAAUUGGGGGUUAAGAUCAUACCAAAUUUGAGUUCAGGGGGGUAUUUGUCCCUCAGGCUACAUUUGAAGGUGAAAAAUAGACUUCUUUCAGAAAAAAGGGACAUCAACGAAACGGCCCGCUUCGUUCGCUUGUGCGUGCGACUGAGUUCCUGGCCCAAUGAGCCGCCCCUUCUAGUUUAUUGCCCUUCUAGCGUCUGUGGCCCAAUGAGACGGUAUAAUAUUGAGUCUGUCGCCCUUCCUUCCUCCCCCUCCACUAGUUCCUCCACCAAAAACUAGGGUUAGGGUUAGGGCGGCGGCGGCGGCUUUAUUUCCGAUCGCGAUCGCCAUGGCCACCGGAGGCGCCCCAAAGCCGGAGGAGGAGACCGUCGUCUUCCCCGAUUGGGUGAUGCUGGAACGCAUCUUCCGCAAACGGUGCCACGACGACCUAGACGCUGCUGGUGAGGCCGUCAACAAGAACAAGACCGCCGCUCCAGUCAAGAUUGACAGCGGCCACUCCUGCUUCGUCUCCUUCACCCUCGCAGCUCCUCCAGGGUCCUCCUACUUCAACCUCCAUUGGCCGGAGAGACAAGGCUCAGAAGAACUCCUUGCCUUCGUCCGGGCAGUCGACAAGAACCUUGUCCUCUUCGACAUCUCGAUCCCCGACCGGAUUCGCUACUUCGACGCUCCGCCAGAUCUGUUCGUCUACACGGCCUCUGCUCCUCCCCCCCCGGUGCAGCAGCUUCCUCGGCGCAGCACAAAGCAGUUCCUGGCUCAUCAGUUCACCACCGGCAUUCUGCAGCUCAAAGCGGAGCACUGCUACAUCGUUGCCGACCUCAAUGUCCACCUCAAGAAAGAGGGCGCUAGUGCUGAACUCUGUGUCUUCAACUCCGGCGCCACCGAUUGGAGAAUCAUCACCGAGGUGCUUGCUGAUAAGCUCCCUGACCUCUGGUUUACCGAUGAUGUGUUUGCUUUCGAUGGCCGUUUCCUUUGCUGGGUGGACUACUUCAGCGGCGUUGUGCUAUGCGACUUCUCCAAAAAUGUGGACUCCCAGGUGCUCCACUUCGUGCCUUUUCCUGGAGGAAUCAAAUACCCUGAUGACGCACGGUUCCCGAGGUACUUCCCAGGGAGGUUCCGAAGUGUGUCCAUCAGCCAAGGCAUGAUGCGCUAUGUCCAUAUUGACAAUGACUUUCAUCAGACAGUCCACAGUGGCUGGCGAGGGAUUGCUCCUAAGAGAAGCAACCGGCGGCAGAAGCAGCUAACCCACAAAAUCACCAUUUGGACGUUGAACUCCAAUUUCGAGUGGGAGGUGCAUUGUGAGAUCAACCUGGAUUGUCUCUGGGCACAACCUAGUUACCAAGGUCUGGGCUUACCUCGGCGUCUUCCUGAGUUCCCAGUCAUCAGCAUGGAUGACCCGGGUGUUCUGUGCUGCGUGCUGAGGGCGAAGGAAUUUGCUGGCAAGGAGUGGAUGAUCAUGGUUGACAUGAACCAUGCGGAUCUGCAGUCAUGUACUGAUGUGAAUGUAGAAGACAAGUUCUCUAAUACCACCCAACUUUCAACUGUCUUCUCCAAAUACCUUCAAAAGGCGAACAGGUAACUGGCUACAAGAAGCUCCCUUAAUAUUCAAAUGACAUCUUUCACGUACGUUCUUACAUAUUAUAUAACAUGGUUGCCUUUGCUUAGCUUUCUGUUGGAUACGGUACUGGUAAACACUGGUGUUUUUCCUUACUUAUCGUACCUAUGGUGCAAUAGACAUGCUGCCUGGUUUUUCAUUCCAUGUAGGAUUCUCAAAGAACUUCUUUCUUAAUUGAUGUCAUUCACGCACAUUCUUACAUACAUACAACCUCCGUCCCAAAUUAAUUGUCUUAGAUUGAUUGGACAAAUCUAAGACAAGUAAUUUGGGAUGGAGGGAGUAUUAUAUAACAUGGUUGCCUUUGCUUAGCUUUCUGUUGGAUAUUGUAGUGGUAAACACUGGUGUUUUUCCUUAUUCAUCGUACCUAUGGUGCAAUAGACAUGCUGCCCGGUUGCAUUCGGUGUAGGAUUCUCAAAGAACUUUGGCUUUGGUGCACGCUUUAUAGCUUACUGCAUGUUGUCUGCUCCCUGUAUGAAUCACUUUGAAGUGUCCCCUUCUUUCAUUGUCAACUCUCUGCACAGUGACUGACCCAUACCAUCCUACUAAUCAGGGUUGUUUUCCCUAUGUUAUUCUCUGUUGCUUUACUCCUGCCCCAAAGUUUCUAUUUUGCUGCCUUCUGCCGUUGCAUGUCCUCUAGUGUUGCUGUGUUAUAGUAAUAUAUAUAUAUAUAUAUAUUGAAGCAUUUAAUAUGUUGUUGCCUUGAAUCUUCUGUUGGGCUGUUCCAGUGUUUGAGUUGUAGCUGCUUCAGUUGUGUAGAGAUUCCAAUAUGGACUCCCUCCGUUCGUAAAUAUAAGUCCUUUUUAGAGAUUCCAAUAUGGACUACGUACAGAGCGAAAUGAGUGAGUAUAAGCUUUGGUCCUUCUGCCAUCAAGUUUUCCUUAAGAGUCUAGAGUCCUCUAUUUCUCCUUAUUGGAUCUUUUGCUCUUUACAUCGGAUUGUCCAUUAUCUGUACAAAUGGGACUGUAAUUCUUUCAGCAGCCUUCUGUCGCCACUAGCAUGGUGCUAUUUUGAAGUGAAUUCUUGGAACCACAUUAUUUUGAUUGCUGUUGUAAAGCAUAAAACUAUAUUGUCCUCUAAUUUCUGUAGGGGGGACAAGCGUCUAUGAAGCUUUAUUAGCACAUACUUCUCUGUUGGCAAAAUUUCUUUGGUUUACUUUGGGUCAAUCAGGUCACAUCUCUGGCUGUUUCUGUUAGAAUCCUUUUGUUUGAGAUAGCGUAUACCAUGGUUUUUAAGGCAGUAAAGUGUCCUAAGGCGUUCUACCCCUGCUCUGACGCCUAAGCGGGCACCUGAGCACUAAGGCAGACUAAGCGCCUAAAGCGGGCAGAUUUCCAAGGCGCUGCCAGGGCGCCUAAGCGUCCUAACGCAGACGCCUUAAAAACCAUGGCAUAUACUUUUAUAUCGUCUAACUGAGUGCUGGCCAUGGUGGAGCUUAGUGUAGACCAACAGGGCCCAUGCCCCCCUCCCCCCUUAAUUUUUCCAUCCAUCGAAGAAAAUGCUAUUAAUUUGGUUCCCUUCGAGUAAUGGCCCCCUCUUGAAUUAUGCUCAAGCUCUGCCAGUACUGGGCCAGUGAGCCAUUCUCUUUACACGGGAGUGCCAUUAGCUAAAACCCCUGUAGUAUUAGCUUUGCUGGCCUUCUCAUGUUACUGUCUUACUCUUGAUUCUGGCUACAACCCUUCUGAUUGUUUUCUCUAUCCUCUCAUGCCUCAUUUCAUUCUCUCACGCCUAAUCCGACAUUGGUACGGCUGGACUGUGGUGAGGACUCCAAUUUUUCUCGAGUAUGCUGCCCUGUCGCCGCGUUCAGCCUCUUGUUACACCUGAACACACACACACACACCAUGCCUGGCUGCAGCAUGUUUGCUACCAGUCCCUGCAUGUCAGUUGUAGUCCUUACCAGAGGCUGUGCCUGCUCAUUGAGGCCACACCGCAACGCCAUGGCUAUGUGGUGUUCUGAAUAUUAUGUCAAGCUAGGCGAUGACAUUACCAUCUGAAUCCAUGUCAAAUAUAUGAUGCAAUUGCAUUUGCAUUAAUAUUGAGUGCAGAACUAUUUUCUUUACCAAUAUACUCCACUGCAAUGCCAUUUGUCUUUCUUGUUUGUCUUUUUUUAAACUACCCUUUUCAAGUGACAAUUCAUCUUAUCUGUUUAUACUGUUCGCAAACAACAUACUCAGAUGUUCAGAUGGUGUAUAUAUCUGAGUUAUUUUUAUUUCUAUUUUUAAAGGGAUGGCAUGGGACAACAUUGAGCUAACUUCAUUGAAAUGCAAGUCUGCAAUAUGAAGACCUGUAAUCUGGUGACUGAAGGUGAACACUUUGCGGAUGCUCAAAUCAAAGAUGUUGUUUGUCAAUGACGCGGUGCAAGCAGAACAGUUUGAUGAUGUACUGAUGAAUAUCUAUUGGAGUAACGCUACAUGUUCUGGAUCAUUUAAUCAUAUGUUUUAGCGUUAAAAGUAUGAGAUUGAAUAUCUUUUCUUUCAUGAAAAUUGAAUUGAGGGCAAGCACAAGGAAAAAAAAUAGUGCUAGACAUUAUUUUUGGUUUUCUUAUCGAGGCCAAAAUGUCAUAAUUACAGAGAUCUUCCAAUAUUUUUCUAUUGGGGGUUCUUCCAUUCCUUUUUUUUGAGGAAUUAUGACAGUGAGGGAAGCUCCCCACUGACCUUUAUAUUUCUCAUUCCUUUUAGUGAGCACAAUGAUGUGAAUCAGGCUUUAAUAAGUUCUAAUACGCAGCGGCACAAUUCAUGCUCACUUGUACUCCCUCCGUUCCUAAAUAUAAGUUUUUCUACAUAUGGAGCAAAAUAAGUGAAUUUACACUCUAAAAUAUGUCUAUAUACAUCCGUAUGUUUCGUUCCUAAAUAUAAGUAGUCAAUUGUUGGAAUGUCAGCUCUUCCUCGAUCUCGCUACAAUAAAAUAUGGGUCUCACUUAAUCCUAAUAGCGUUCUUAUUUUCUCUAAAAUUAUUCGCUUGCUUACUCCUAACAAGUAGGGUCCACACUUAUCAUUGUGAGAUAUAUAGAGUUGACAUGUGGGUAUAGGGGUAUUUUGUCAUAUAACAUGGUCAAUGAGUUUGACCUGACAAUAACAAUGUCUAAUGGCAUUUCUGAGCAAACAUCUAAUGGAAUGAUGGCAAUUUUCAGAUAUCUAAUGGCAUUUUUGAGAAAACAUCUCAUGGAACGAUGGCAUUUUUGAGCGUUUGUAAUUUCUAGUGGCAAAACUGAGCAGUGAGACACAAUUAGUGACAUAAAUGAUAAAAACCCUUUAAUCUAUCCUCACUUAGCUCAAAAAAAUCAUCCACCACACCUAAUACCAAAAUAACAGUUCCACUAAAGAUGCAGUGUCAUGUGCCGUUGAAAUGAAAUGCACCGAGCACAUUCAUAUUUAUCCUAGAUCAGUUUUCAGCAUGAACUUUUUCCAUCCAUCGCUGAAUUAAUUACGAUCAUCAGGAUUUCCUGUACCACAAAAAACUCAAUUAGAAAAACACAACUUUGUUUCUGCCAUAAGGAAAUUCAUCAUAGUGGCAAAGGGUGCAAAAUAUGAGACCAAAAAUGCGCAUGAAAACCUGGCAAUGAUCUGUUCAAAUAAACAAUACAAGUUCUCAAAGAAACUAUGUCAACUUUCAAGAAACACUUGAUGAAGAAACAACAUGACAGCAGUAUUAACAAAAUCUUGAAUAGGAAAGGAUGUUCUAAACAACAGCAGGUUCCCAUGAAUUAUGAUUUUGAAUGCAAAGAAGAUAGCUACAAGAAUUUCUUGUUCUCAAUACAAGUCUAUUGUGGAUACUAACACACAUGUCCAGGAUAUUUUGUUACAACAAAGGAUAUAUGGUAGGCUGACCUGAUAUAUGUAUGGCAAGAAGAAAUCAAGGAUUUCUCAGAAUUCAACCAGAAAUGAUCAUCAAUAUUUUUCCCUGAAGAACGAUGUCAACCGCGUCAAUUCCUAAAAGAUGUAUAAAGAAGUUUGUUUGUUUACUUGGUUUAGAGGAAGAACCCAAUAAACAGGGCAAGCUGGCAUAGCCCUAGAAUUUGGUUGCAGAUAGUGGCAUUGCAUCCAUGCAUCAUGUCUAAAGUUAUGUGAAAUUGAAAUGGGGAUGAUCCAAACCCUAGCACCAAAAUUAAAUCAACUAGGUUCAACUAAAAAUUGCAUUCAAUGAACCCAAAAUGCCUUCAUCAAUGUUUGAUAUUUUUGGCAAGGCUUUGAGUCCAAACAAAAAAUGGUGAACAUUUUUGUGGAAUAUUCUGGGCACUGAAUUUAAAUCAUUACUGUACUUUGCAUUUGGAAUUAUAUUCAUAAUAUAUAAGAAUAUAUUUUCAAAAGCCCUGAAAUAUUUUAUGUGCAUCUGGAAAUGACCAAUGUGCAACAUAAAAAUAUUUAGAGGAAUCUUUGGCACUAAUUGAAGUCAUUUUGAUUUCAAACAGUGGCAAAUAAAUAAAAAGAAAACAGAACAAAAUAAAACAGAGCAGAAACCUCACCUGGCUUACCUGGCCUGCUCCUGUAGCAGAGGCCCAGCCCACCAGGUGCCGUCGUCCUCCUAGCGCCAGUCGGCCAGGCGCGUGGGCGACGCGCACGCACGCACGCACGGCACGCCACGCCACCAGGGUGCCUGCCUGCCUCCUCCUGCCAGCGAGACGUCGCGAGCACCGCCCGGAGCCGUCUGGCUCUUCCUCUCUUUUCCUGGAGCUCUUCCCCCUCCUCUGGUUCUCUCGCCCUUUCUGUUCCCCACCUCAACGAACCGCGCCGCCGUGACCGACGAGCUCCACCAUGGUCACAGCCAUUCCCUCGCUCCCUCUCCGCGUCCUCGAGCUCCACCCCGACCCCGUGGAGCAACACACCUGACACAUGCGACCAGAAGAGGCCCAGUCGGCCGGAGCGUCUUCGUCUUCACCUCUGGUGCCCGGAGAUCGAAUCCGUCGAUUCACCUCGUCCAGAGCGUUCCCGAGGCCGCUGACCUACCCUGUCGCAUCCCUAUGAGCUCCUGCUCCUUUCCCUUGCUCAUCCCCUCCGUUUCCGUGCCCUAGCUGCCUCUCCCACCAUGGCCGCAAGCUUCUCGCCGCCGGCCAUGAGGUCACCGUGGCCAGAGCCCGAACCAGCCGCUCCCGCACGCGUCAUCGUUCCCCUUGCCUCUCCAGGAGCCCGUAGCCACCACCAGAUCUUCCCCACGUGCCCUAUAGCCGGCACCCGAGCUCACCCGAGCUUCGGCCACCGCCACAAGCUCGUCUCCGUCGAGUACGACGCACCAUAGUCGCUGCUGCUUGCUCCGUUGGAUGCGGAUGAGCACCAGCUUCACGCAGAGCCCCUCCGCCACUCGUUUGGUCGCCGGAGGAGCAAACCCGACGCGCUCUGCCGUCUCUGGCUUCACCGGCGACGAGCCGCCGGCCUAAUUCCGGUUUAGUUAGUACUAAUGACUCCACUGAACACCCCAGAGCCACUGCUAUGUGGGCCCUUGUGCCUGUUUAGGUUAGUUUAAUUCCUGUUUAGAUUAGUGCUAAUCUUGCGGACCCUGUUGGAACCGCAACCCUCUAGCUACCUCUUCUCUCACUCGAAUGAAGGUGGAAGAAAAAGAACAGUGGACAAAAGAUUUUCCGGCCGGCGCACGAACGCCCCAAUCCUUUUCUUCCUUACAGUAGUUACAUGGCUACACAUGGCUCAUACCGACGCUCGGUGGCACAUACCACACCGCAAUCAGCAAUAUAGGGGGUCUUUUAUGCCCCGGCACACACACACACACACACACACACACACACACACACACACACACACACANNNNNNNNNNNNNNNNNNNNNNNNNNNNNNNNNNNNNNNNNNNNNNNNNNNNNNNNNNNNNNNNNNNNNNNNNNNNNNNNNNNNNNNNNNNNNNNNNNNNNNNNNNNNNNNNNNNNNNNNNNNNNNNNNNNNNNNNNNNNNNNNNNNNNNNNNNNNNNNNNNNNNNNNNNNNNNNNNNNNNNNNNNNNNNNNNNNNNNNNNNNNNNNNNNNNNNNNNNNNNNNNNNNNNNNNNNNNNNNNNNNNNNNNNNNNNNNNNNNNNNNNNNNNNNNNNNNNNNNNNNNNNNNNNNNNNNNNNNNNNNNNNNNNNNNNNNNNNNNNNNNNNNNNNNNNNNNNNNNNNNNNNNGUGAUCCGCUCGGCCCAGCCACCCCUCACAAUGAUAUCACGCGAAGGACUCGGUUGCUCUCAACAACCCAUGCAUGCAUGACUCAGCAUGCAGCCACACCUCUAGCUAGCUUAUCCAUGCAAACUAACUAAUUUCCUAGCCUGCAGCAUGCACCAUACACACACACACACGCUGGUCAUCACACCUAGACAUGGUUUAAUCCUAACACUCCCCCUAAACCAUGACUUGGCUUGCCAUCACCAGAGUUAUCGCAGCUCUCGCCGUUGUGGUCACCACAGCCGUGACCCAGCCCGCGGACCCGACCUGGCGCACCGACGCCGGUCGCACCGCCACGGACCCGACCUGGCGCACUGACGUCGGUCGCACCGUGCUCCGUCAUGACCCGGCGACAUACACCGAGCUCCUUCUCUGUCGGCGACACACGCUUGGUGUCCCUCUGCGUCCCGCACGUCCCGCGCGCACUUGACGCGCCCGACCGCACCAAUGCGUCCCGCACGUCCCCAACCCGCCCGACGAGCCCGACCGCAUCAGACGCUCACUGCGCGCCGCCUCCGCGUCCGCCAUGGCAGCCACCAGCGACAAACGCCGGAAGGAUGUAGCCGAACUCGAGCACGGACUCGAGCACAACGGCGACAUACGCCUCCUCCCAACGUCAACCGCACGCUCGUACGCGCGCCCGCGGUCCCGACGCGCCCGACGCGUCCAGUGCGCACCCAUAACACACACCGGUCGUGCCCGGCUCGCCGCCACGGCCUAUUGCCCUGCACCGCUACGGCCUCAACCGCAGCGCAACACCUCCAUGCCGCCAUGCCGCUGUGUGUCGUUGAAGCCGCCACCACGCAGGUCCUCCGCGGCCUCCCCACCGUGCCGCCGCAGCCCCCCGCGGCCUCCUCGCCACGCCGCGCACCUCCAUAGACCGACACAUGGCCCGGAGCAUCGCGCAGCCGCCGGCGAACUCCGCCACCGCCGGCACGCCUCCGACAAGGAGAACGCCGCCCAAGAUGAACCAGUUCAUGAUACCAAUUGUUGGAACCGCAACCCUCUAGCUAUCUCUUCUCUCACUCGAACGGAGGUGGAAGAAAAAGAAUAGUGGACAAAAGAUCUUCCGGCCGGUGCACGAACGCCGCCACGGGCGCACGAACGCCCCAAUCCUUUUCUUCCGUAUAGUGGCUACAUGGCUGCUCAUACCGACGCUUGGUGGCACAUACCACACUGCAAUCAGCAAUACAGGGGGUCUUUUAUGCCCCGGCACGCACACACACUCUGGCACGGUGUGAUCCGCUCGGCCCGGCCACCCCUCACAACGAUAUCACGCGAAGGACUCGGCUACUCUCAAUAGCCCAUGCAUGCAUGACUCAGCACGCAGCCACACCUCUAGCUAGCUUAUCCAUGCAAACUAACUAAUUUCCUAGCCUGCAGCAUGCACCAUACACACACACGCUGGUCAUCACACCUAGACGUGGUUUAAUCCUAACAGACCCCGCAUGUCAGCUUUGAUUUUGACCAAGUCAACAUUGACCGGUCCCACCUGUCAUCCACCCAAACUAGCCCUGAGUCACUUACCGAUGUGCCCCACUGGUCAGGUUUGACCCAGACCAGCCCAGUUGACCUGCUGACGCCAGGCUUACAUCAUGCUGACCUCAUAAUCAUUUUCUGGCGAUUUUAUAUUUCAGAAAUAAAUUAUAAAAUCCAAAAAAUUGUUUAAACUUCUAAAAAUCAUAGAAAAUAAAUCGUAACUCCAAAUGAUAUAGUUUAAUAUGAAAAAUUAUCGGAAAAAUUCAAAGAAUCUAAAUACGGAAUUUUCAUGCAUGUUUGAACAAGUUAACCUCACUGAAUAGGACAAUUCAUGAUUAUGGAAUAAAUGGUAAUUAGUUUUGGAGUUGGAAUUUGCUAUAGGUUUUGCUAUAGGUUUGAUUAUGGAAUAAAUGAUUAUGACUAACUCUUGCACUAGGUCAAUUCAGUACCUUAAUAUGACAUAUCAUUCAUAUGAAUGUGCAUUGCAUUGAUUGUGGUUCCUUUCGUGUUUGCCUGUGGUUGUUCCCUCUUAGUCGACGAUGUUUCUGACGAUGUGAUCGAUGACACCGAUGAAGAGCUAUACUAUCUUCAGAAGUGCCAGGCAAGCAACCCCACCCCCCUUGUUCAUCUCGAUACAAUCCCACUCUCUCGCUCCUGCUCUCUUUUACUGCAUUAGGACAACAACGAUUCAACUGUUACAUGCUGCGGUAGUUGAACCCCUCUCCUCUGCAUGACCUGUCAUUGCCACAGCAAAUAGAUGAAACCCACUAGCAUGAAUAGGAGUUGUUUGAGCCCUGAUGUGCCUACUCAUACAUGCUUGUUUGUCAUGCCUGCUACUGCUUAGAGUUGAGUCAGGGCUGAUUCAUCGGGGAUGAACUGGAAUGUGUGAACAUGUCCUACUAUUGAGAGCUAAGUGUGUGAACAUGAUUUGGUAGAGGUAUCGGUGAGAGGCCAUGUAGGAGUACAUGGUGGGUUGUCUCAUUGAAGCCGUCCUCAGGAACUGAGUUCUAUGCUUGUGAUCCAUGAACAGCUACUACCACGUGUUGGGCCCGAAACCAAUGGACCCUCUCGACUUAUUAACUGCCCCUGUCAUCUGUCCAGGAGUUGCAAGUAGUUUCUGGUGUUCGUAGUAUGCUGGAGGCCGUGCGCAGCACUCACCCGAGGGGUGGGCUGUGAGGCGGUAGGCACGUGGCACGGUGUACCAGGUCGCCCGUUUGGUGUCUUGGGAACCCUGCACACAACUUUUGGGGCCGUAAGUGGAAACCUCGGCCGGACUCCCUUCGGAUGGAACCUGAAUAGGCGAUAAGCCCGGACUAGGGAUUUGUGUGGUUAGUCAGGCCAUGGCCGACACCCUCGCUGGGCUUCCGCUUGAAGGUUGCCGAGUACAUGUCGUGUAAAUGGCGAUAAGUGGUGAGAGCGUGUGUGAAGAAGUACACCCCUGCAGGGUUAACAUCAUCUAUUCGAAUAGCCGUGUCCGCGGUAAAGGACUUCUGGGUUGCCUGUACAGUUCAUAGAUAACUUGAAGUGGAUACUCUAAAACUCGCAAGAUAAGCGUGAUUGCUAUGGAUGGCGUUCUCGUAGGUAGACGGGAGCGGAUCCAUAGUGGUGUAUUGGUAUGGUGAAUAUGUGGACUCGUGUGCACCACCUCAAAGAGUUAAUUGCAGUCGUAGUUCAGGAUAGCCACCGAGUCAAAGAUGGCUUGCUGCUGUCAAACUCCACCACCCCUUUGUUGAUACCGAUGCAUAUGUAGUUAGUUCUGAUGUAAGUCUUGCUGGGUACAUUUGUACUCACGUUUUCUUAUUUUAUGUUUUGUAGAGAGACUCCAGUCUCACUAGUAGUUCUGCAUGGACUUUGAUGUUUAGCUUGUUACCUCAGCUACGAUCUUGUACCCUUGGGAGGGUCUUGUAGAUAGUCAGGCUUCUCAGCCUUUUUCAUUUGUAGUUGUCUGCACUCAGACAUGUUUAUGCUUCCGGUUGAUACUUGUAUGCUCUGUAUGUUGGGUCAUGAGACCCAUGUUUGUCAUACUUGGCUCCUCGGAGCCUAAUCACUAGUGCAGAACCGGGCAAUAGCACCGGUUCGUAAGGCCCUUUAGUGCCGGUUUAGUAACCGGCACUAAAGUGUGGGCACUAAAGCCCCCCCCUUUAGUACCGGUUCAGCACGAACCGGUGCUAAAGGGAAACCACGUGGCACGAGCCAGCUCCGGGGGCCGGGAGCCCUUUAGUACCAGUUGGUAACACCAACCGGUACUAAAUGUUUGUGGGUUUUUGUUUUAUUUUGUAUUUUUCAAUUAAAUUUGUGUUAUUAAUUUAAUUUAGGAUUGUUUUACGUUAUAAUGAGUUGUAGUCGUCAUCAUCAUCAUCAUCAUCGCAUAUUAAUAAAUAAAUAAACUCUAGCUAGCUAAAAAUCAUCGUAGUCGUCUAAUUACCACUAUUUAAUCAUCAUAGUCAUUACUGCUAGCUAUCUAAUCAUCACCAACACUGGCUAGCUUAAAGAGGAAACAUUCACUUUGUAACAGAAGCAAAGAUAUCAUCGAGUUCAACAUAAUCAUCACCAACAUCGAAGUUCAGGACACGGACAUGAGACAAGUAGUAAUUAAUUAAGAGCAUGAACUAGUAGCUACUCCUGCUGCUCCCUCUCAGGUAGAAUAGCAUAGAACAUGUAUAGCUCUCCUGAUUCAUCAUACGGGAGCAUGCAGAUGAAUCUGUCUCCUAAUCUUGGGUUGCGCUUCUCCUUGCUGCCCCCUAGUACUUCUCUGCGAUCGUUAACAAUUUUGCUCCAAUCUUUCACUAUUAAGCAUUCUUCGCUUUCAGAAAUCCUGAAUGCACUCAUGUGCAAUGUAGGAUAUCUUGGCUGUAAGCUAACCAUUGACAUGUCACCUUUAGUCUCGAUCCACUGAGGCACAACUGUCAUCGGAAGUCCCUGUUGAAGAACAUCGUAUAGUAAUUAAUAUACUAAGCAAUGAAAGUUUAGCUUCAAAAAUAAUGUAUGCAAAAGAUGCACUAAUUAAGGACAAAUAGUUAAAUUCUUACCAUCUUUCGAUUAUAGAUGUGACCGUAGUUUAAUACGAUCACCAUUGGUCGCACGUUUUGAGUACUAACAUUUCUAAGUUCAGGAAUUUUUUUUGUCUUGACAGUAUUAAGAUCCUCAAGCCAUGAAACAUAAUGACUUAUCUCCUCGCAGUUUAGUUGAGCCCCGGGGCAGUAGUAGGUCCUGUCUACCAAGUGCCGUACAUGUUUGCUUGAACCGAAAUAAGCUGACAAUACAAAUUAGUUGUCAACUAUUUUUGAAUAAACUGUAUCAAAGACAUAAACAUAUGCAUGCAUGGUUGAGAAAAACUCACAUAAUGGUAGAACUGGAGGCGUUUGCACAUUGACCCAGAUGUCUAUAUUACCUUCAAUAUCAUCUUCCGGACGAAUAUCAAAGGUGAUAACCAUAUCAGGCUCAAAUGCAUAAGCCUUGCAUAGUGCUUGCCAAGUUUUGCAUUCAAAAUGGGUGUAUGUGUCUCCAUUAUAUAAUUUGACGUUGAAAGUAUACCCAUGGUCCGUCUUCAAGUAAACUCUCUUUACCUCCAUAUCAUCUAUAGCACUAAAACCUAUCUUAUCUAAGACAAAAAUUCUUGCAUCGCAGGGGAUGCGCUAGUAGAAUAGUGAAAAUUUAAAAUCAUAAGUUGAAGCAAAUGAAGCAUAAGUUUUGCAUUCAAAUAAUAAUUGACAAAGUGACUUACUGUAUCAAAUUCGAAUGUCUCAUCCAGCUUGAUGCUAAAGCGCCUACCAUCAACAAGGAAAUUUCUGUCGCACAGGCCGCGCUGGUCUUCACAGUGUUCGCACAUAAUGAAAUCUUUUUCGUCGUCAGAUGACAUUUCCUAUGUUCAUAUAGGUGAAACAUUAAACACCUAUUACUAUCUAACAUUAAUUAAUAUCUAGCCAAAUAUAUAUUCAUCUAACAUUUGACAUCAAUAUAUCUAACUAUAUUCAUCUCUAAUAAUUGACAUUACUAUAUAUUUAACUUUUCUAUCUAAUUCAUCUAACAUUCGACAUUAAUCUAACAUUUAUAUAAACUCAAAAUAUAUAAAAAAUUAAAUAAACAGAAAAACUCAUUAACAAAUAAUAUUUUAAUUAGAUCAUCAAAUCUCAGAUACCUAAAUUUUCUUACUAAAAAUAAACUAGUUAUAUUAAUUAUUGAACUAGUUCAAAUCUCAUAUACCUAAAUAAACUAGUUAUAUUAAUUAUUGAACUAGUUCAAAUCUCAUAUACCUAAAUAAACUAGUUCGACAAUUUUCUUACUAAAAAUAUGACCUCAAGCUCAACCCGGAAAAAUGUGUUUUUGGCGUUCCAACCGGAAAGCUCUUGGGCUUCAUUGUAUCCGGUAGAGGAAUUGAAGCAAAUCCAGCCAAGAUCCGAGCUCUGUCACAAUUGGAUAUCCUGAAGGACCUCAAACAAAUACAAAAAUUAACCGGAUGCGUGGCAGCUCUAAGCUGCUUUAUCUCCCGCUUAGGAGAAAAGGCCCUACCCCUUUACCGCCUCCUUCGGCGCACCGAACACUUCGAGUGGACGGAUGCAGCCACGGCCGGACUCGACGAAAUAAAAGCCAUCCUGGCAACAAACCCAGUCCUGGCCGCGCAAAACAUUGGCGAACCAAUGCUGUUAUACAUUGCAGCAACCCAUCAGGUCGUAAGCGCAGUGCUCGUCGUCGAACGAGAGAAACGGAUGGACACAAAUUCCCCCUUCAAAAGCCGGUCUACUAUGUGUCCACUGUCCUUACUCCGUGCAAGUCACGGUACCCGCAUUAUCAAAAGAUUGCGUACGCGGUAUUUAUGGCAUCCCGCAAGCUGCGACACUACUUUCAAGAGUGUUCAAUAACAGUAGCCUCGGAAGUGCCACUUAACGAUAUUAUAAACAACCGCGACGCGACGGGCCGGAUUGCAAAAUGGGCCAUUGAGCUCCUCCCAUUCGACAUAACUUACAAGCCACGGCGAGCUAUCAAGUCGCAAGUUUUGGCCGACUUCGUCGCAGAAUGGACGGAGGCCGAACUCCCUAAAGAGUACGACACAUAUUCAAAUUGGGUCAUGCACUUCGACGGCUCCAAAAUGUUGGCCAGUCUAGGGGCUGGCGUCGUUUUGAUGUCCCCCACAGGAGACACAGUUCAAUACGUACUCCAGAUAAUGUACACAGACUCCAACAACGCAGCCGAAUAUGAGGCCGUUUUACAUGGUCUCCGGAUGGCAGUAUCCAUGGGCAUUCAACGCCUAGAGGUGCGCGGGGACUCGAACCUCGCAAUAUCCCAAAUAAAUGGAGACUUUGAUGCCAAGGAUCCAAAAAUGUCAGCUUAUCGCAACGCCGUCCUAAAAAUGUCAGCUCGGUUCGAAGGGCUCGAAUUUCACCAUAUAGCCCGGGAAAAUAAUCAGGCGGCAGAUGUCCUGGCACGCAUCGGCGCAAAACACGAUGUAGUCCCCCCAACAUCUUCCUGGAAAGGCUGUUCAAGCCAUCCAUAGUAUGGGAAGGGGAACCCGGCAAUAACAGCCCGGACCCAACCGCACUGCCCGACACCGAACACUUUGACAUAAUUGGAGGCUCUGCCAAUGAAAUAACACUUUCAGCCCAGGUAAUAAUGGCCGUCAUUGCUCCGUGGAGAAAACCAUUCCUCGCCUACCUUACUAGGCAGGAACUCCCCGAGGACCAAAAUGAGGCACGCUGCACAGUGCGGCGAUCUAAAGCCUAUAAAGUCCAUGAGGGAGAGCUUUAUAAGAAAAGCACUACCGGAGUCCUUCAAAGGUGCAUCUCCGAAGAGGAAGGGCGGAACCUCCUGGCUGAAAUUCAUGCCGGACUCGGCGGUCAUCACGCUGCAGCUCGGUCCCUUGUAAGCAAGGCCUUCCAUACAGGCUUUUAUUGGCUGACGGCCCGAGCAGACGCCCAGGACUUAGUCCAACGAUGCGUCGGUUGCCAGCCUUUUGCAAACCAAAGCCAUAUGCCACCCACCGCCCUCCAAACUAUCCCCAUCACUUGGCCCUUCGCAGUCUUGGGGCUUGACAUGGUUGGACCCCUUAAAGGCGGAACCCACAAGAAAAAAUACUUACUGGUCAUGGUGGAUAAGUUCACCAAAUGGAUAGAAGCCAAGCCUGUUAAGACGGCUGAAUCUGGACCGGUGAUAGACUUUAUAUCCGGGGUUGUACACCGUUAUGGCGUCCCCCACAGCAUCAUCACUGAUAACGGCACGAACUUUACGGUCGACGAGGUAAAACUUUGGUGCAAAAGCAUGGGCAUCAAGCUCGAUUGUGCUUCCGUCUAUCACCCACAAACUAACGGCCAGGUCGAACGUGAAAAUGGUCUUAUCAUGAGCGGCAUCAAACCCAGAUUAGUGCGGUCCCUUAAGGAAUCUAAUACACACUGGGUAGAGGAGAUCGACUCCGUACUCUAGGGGCUGCGGACCACGCCGAAUCGCACCAUCGGAUACACACCAUUCUUCAUGGUGUACGACGCAAAGGCAGUUCUGCCCUGCGACAUAAUUCAUGACUCACCUCAAGUGCGCAUGUACGAAGAAAGAGAAGCCGAGCUCGAUCGGCAGGACAGUUUGGACGCCUUGGAGUAAGAGCGUGACGUGGCAAAAGCCCGUUCCGCAUUCUAUCAACAGCAGGCUCGAAGAUACCAAAGCGGAGAAGUACGGGCCAAAAAAUACAAUGUUGGCGAACUAGUUCUACGUCUGCCGAACAAGAAAAAGGACAAACUCAAGCCCAAGUGGGAAGGUCCCUUCAUAAUUGACCAAGUCCUGACUGGUGGAGCGUACCGCCUGCGAGAUGCAUCGGAUAACCGACUCGAGUCGAACCCAUGGAACGCAGCCCGCCUCCGAAGAUUCUAUGCCUAGCGCCGGACUCUGUGUUCGUUUCCUCCCUCUGUCUAUUUUUAUAUACUUUCUGUCUUACAUUUCUCUCCUUCUCCUCUUUCUCUCUCCUAUAGCCUUUAAAGGCUCAUACAGUGACGCGCUAUCCGCGCUCAUUAAACCUGUGGGCUUCUUUAAACAGAAGCUUAUACGGGCUUUCAUGCCCAACACAUGCGUCACACUUCUGCAUGUACCUUUUAUUCGCCAGUAUAUGCAUCGAUAUGACUUAAGUUUUGGCCAAGCUGGGUUGCCUGGCUCCUGUGCUUACCCCUACGUUCCCGAUUGUUCGACUAGGUGGUAAAGGGAGCACCUCUGCGAUUGUUACUGCCGGGUCAGCCGGAUGUGUACCUCAGACUGGGUGAAGCCGAAAGCUAGCGUUCUUAAGGGAAUAUUUGGUCGGUGAACUAAAGAUGAUCUUUUUUUAUUUAUCUAUACGCCCCCAGAUGUUUUUCCUGCGUCUCUUUUCGCAGAAUGGACACGCACUUUAGGGCAUGCCUCCCAGGGAAAGGAACCCCUAACGGAACUAUUCUCCCUGGAAGAUGUUUCUUACUAACCAUGUAAUAUAACAUAACUACUUGGGCACUUGUCUGUUCAAGCACUAAUGACCCCUACACCUGGUCUCCAUGCAUACCCCGGUUCUUAUAUAACCGCGAGGGUAUUCGGACACACUCCGGACCGUCAGGUCCCGAGGUUGAAGCGAAAAGGUCGGCCAUGACAAACGAUGUACAAUCCGGCUAGAAGGCAUUACACAUGUCAAUUAUAAUUACAUAGUCAAUCUGACUGAUUGUAUUCCUCUUCAAUACCAUCUAACAGGCUGUCUAGUUUACAUUUCUGUUGGGAAUACCUUGCGGUCAAUUCUACUUGGCCGUAUACUAAGCUCACAGGGAUCUCCUUCCCAUCGGGCCCCACGGGUCCGACCUCGGCCAUGUGGUUUGGGUCAGCCUUCGUGUACCGCGUCUUCACCAUGGCCCAGGCCUCCCUGGCACCUUGAUGGCAGGCCGACAUCUUCCACAAUCGGAAGCGCCGCUGCGCUCCCUUCAGCUUCUCUACAAGCUCUCCAAGGCCUUCGGGCAUGGAGACGGAUGGCCACAGGGCCUGGGCGACGCUUUGCAUCACCUGCCGAACUCGCUCGUGCAGUUGUGAGAGCUCGGGAAGAAGGUCACCCGUAGAACCGGGCAUUUCCUCUGCAGGACGACCUGUUAGCAUACCUACACACAUUACUCUUUUAGUCGACUUCCUUGCCGAACUCUUUUUUCAAAAGUUCGUUUAAGCACUUACUAUAUAUGCCGCGUCGAAGCCGCUGAUUCUCCUUCACGGAGUCCAACAGCUGGGCACAAACAUCCUUCAGCUCAACGCCCAGCUUGGUGUUGGCAUCUUGGAGAUUGUUCUUCUCCCGCCUCACCUUUGUCGGCACGCUCUCACCAGCCUUCAGCUGGCGUCGGAGUUGUUGCUCUUCCGGAUUUAAUCCGGCGCCAUCUACAAUUUCAUUUGUCAGAUUUGCACCCACGCCGCACUUCGCAAAAUACUUAUCUUUCGAAGCGUAUAUUACCAGAGGGGGUCUCCUUGGGCUCCCCUGCCGCGGCUAGUGCGGCCUCAAGUUGGGCUUUGCACUCUUCCAGCUCCUGGGACAGUAGGGUAUUCUUUUCUGUAAGAACCUGCAUAACAAAUGAUCCUUAAAUCAAUUAUUCUAACUGUUUCAAGUCUCGGGGGCUACUGGUAUAUAUAUAAUUACCAAAAUUUUCUUACCCGUAUGUCUUUUACAUACUGCUCCGUGGCUUUGGCUAGACCAUUUUGAGCGGCACGGAGGUACGCAUCUCCCGAAUUGAAGGCAUCCAAUGCCUCUUGGGAGAAACAAGCGUCGCGAAGAACUGUCCGGCGACGCCUGUGGUUCAUAGCGCUCUCCACCUUGGAAUUGGUGGCAGACAACCUGUCCGCAUCCUCUGUUGGAGGAGCGUCCGGUGCGCGCCUUGUGUUCGCCUCCGCUUCCGGACCAGGCUUUGGAGUCUGGCUGGUGGAGGCGCGAUUGGCAGCCCCUCCGGAUAUAGUCCGGCGAGGUCUCUUCGUCCUGAAGAGAGCACGAGCGUUAAUAUGCCUUGAAGGAAUAACACCUGGGAAUAAGAUGGCGCGCUAUACCUUUGCGCCGGCGUCUCAGUCCGGACCGCACUUCUUUUCAUCCCGCGGGGCCUUGCCACCCCUCGUUGGCUAGUCGCCACAGGCUCGGCCUCCCGUCUCAAGGACCUCCCCUGCAAAACAUGGUUGUCAUACGGCAAUCGAAAACACGCGAGGAUAGAUCCCUUUUCAAAGUGCUGGGACUUCGGUCUCAAUUACCUGUGAGGCUGGGAGUAGCCCUGGGUAGUCGGCCGUAAUGGCCACCAAGGCGUUGUCCUUGCUCAAUUGAUGAAACACCCCAUCAAUCAGCUCCACAGAUAAGUCCGGAUCCUCUUGAGAGGCCGGGUCGAGGGACCAUCCUGGAUCCUCGGGUUGUGGAGGAGGGCUGUUUAUUUCUUUAACAGCAUGGCGCAGUUUCUGCGUUGAAGUCGUUAGACUGAAUAUUUAACGAUGGGAAUAUAAAAUGGAUGGGAAAGUAAAAGUGUCCACUUACCCAACUUGGGGGAUUGUACAUAGAAAAUCCACCCUGUGGGUUGACGCGGAGAAAUUCCUCCUCUUCUCCCUUGUACAAAGCGGAUAAGGUCUUUAUUAGAGCGGCAGCCGAAUCCGGCCCCUUACAGCCGUAGCGGGUGGCAUCGUCCUCCCCGUUGAAGUCCCACAUGGGGCGGCCUCUAUACUGAAGCGGCUGCACCCCUCGCAGGAUGCAUGCGGCCAUGACCCCGAUCAUGGUCAGUCCAGAAUGAGCUAACAAUCUUAUCCGGCCCAUUAGGUAAAGAACGUCCCUGUCACUUUCCCUCUGAGGGCUCCAUGGACGCCAGCUUAGGCGCUUCUUUAGGGGAGCACUGUCGAACUCAGGGAGGCCGAUCCGGACAGGAUCCGGCAGCGGGACGUCCUCUAUAUAAAACCAUUCCGAGGGCUAGUCUUCGGACGCCUUCUUUGGGGUUCCGGAUAGAUAUCUGGUCCCGACGAUGCGCCACACUUCAGCUCCGCCCACUUGAUACAUUGACCCCUUCUUAGAACGGGGCAUGAGGCAGAAUAGCCUUUUCCAUAACACGAAAUGAGCCUCGCGGCCCAAAAACAGCUCGCAAAGGGCCACGAAGCCCGUGAUAUGCAAUAUGGAGGCAGGCGUGAGGUUGUGCAGCUAGAGGCCAUAGAACUCCAGGAGCCCCCGGAGAAACAGAUGAAUUGGAAAUCCAAGCCCUCUUAUUAAGUAAGGGACAAGGCAUACUCGCUCUCCUUUGGAGGGAUUGGGGGCGCUCUCCGCUUGCUCUCCGCCAUUAUAGGUAGCAAGUCCAGCUCGAACCAGUACCAUAUAGGCCGGGGGGAGAAAUCCCUUGGUCUGGAGCGUCACUAGCUCGCUGUGCGCGAUGGAGCACCUCUUCCAAUCUCCAGACUGAGGGCUGGAAGGGCGAGAGGAGGAACUGCGGCGGUCGGCCAUGAUAGAAUGGACCUCUAUCGGAUACGCUCUGAUGAAUACUCGCAGAGGGGAGAAGGUGUGGUUUGGAUCUAAAUCCUCGUCCCCUUAAAUAGGUGGCUCAUUCACGCGGCUAGGGGUGUAAAUAUAAAAAACACCCUGACUUUUCGUAUUCGUUUGACACAUGGAAGACGGCCAUUAUUGGGCAUAGAAGCCAAGGAGCGCUACAAGAAACCGGACACUAUUUAACAGGUACACGGAAUUUGGAGAACCCGCCUUGCAAUGCCGAAGACAAUUUGCGCGCCGGACUCAUCGUCAUUGAAGCCUGGUUCGGGGGCUACUGAGGGAGUCCUGGAUUAGGGGGUGUCCGGAUAGCCGGACUAUACCUUCGGCCGGACUCCUGGACUAUGAAGAUACAAGAUUGAAGACUUCGUCCCGUGUCCGGAAGGGAUUUUCCUUGGCAUGGAAGGCAAGCUUGGCGAUACGGAUAUGUAGAUCUCCUACCAUUGUAACCGACUCUGUGUAACCCUAGCCCUCUUUGGUGUCUAUAUAAACCGGAGGGUUUUAGUCCGUAGGACGAACAACAAUCAUACCAUAGGCUAGCUUCUAGGGUUUAGCCUCCUUGAUCUCGUGGUAGAUCUACUCUUGUACUACCCAUAUCAUCAAUAUUAAUCAAGCAGGACGUAGGGUUUUACCUCCAUCAAGAGGGCCCGAACCUGGGUAAAACAUUGUGUCCCUCGUCUCCUGUUACCAUCCGCCUAGACGCACAGUUCGGGACCCCCUACCUGAGAUCCGCCGGUUUUGACACCGACACCUAUGUCAAGCUAACUAACAGGAGGCCACGAGGUAGGGGACGCGCCUGCCCCCCCCCUCCCAGGUGCGCCCUCCACCCUCGUGGGACCCCUGUUGCUCCACCGACAUACUUCUUCCUCCUAUAUAUACCCACGUACCCCCAAACGAUCAGACACGGAGCCAAAACCCUAAUUCCACCGCCGCAACUUUCUGUAUCCACGAGAUCCCAUCUUGAGGCUUGUUCCGGAGCUCCAUCGGAGGGGGCACCGAUCACGGAGGGAUUCUACAUCAACACCAUAGCCUCUCCGAUGAAGUGUGAGUAGUUUACUUCAGACCUACGGGUCCAUAGUUAGUAGCUAGAUGGCUUCUUCUCUCUUUUUGGAUCUCAAUACAAUGUUCUCCCCCUCUCUUUUGGAGAUCUAUUCGAUGUAAUCUUCUUUUUGCGGUGUGUUUGUUGAGACCAAUGAAUUGUGGGUUUAUGGUUAAGUCUGUCUAUGAAUAAUAUUUGAAUCUUCUCUGAAUUCUUUUAUGUAUGAUUGGUUAUCUUUGCAAGUCUCUUCGAAUUAUCAGUUUGGUUUAUCCUACUUGAUUGAUCUUUCUUGCAAUGGGAGAAGUGCUUAGCUUUGGGUUCAAUCUUGCGGUGUCCUUUCCCGGUGACAGUAAGGGCAGCAAGGCACGUAUUGUAUUGUUGCCAUCGAGGAUAACAAGAUGGGGUUUUCUUCAUAUUGCAUGAGUCUAUCCCUCUACAUCAUGUCAUCUUGCUUAAGGCGUUACUCUGUUUUUAACUUAAUACUCUAGAUGCAUGCUGGAUAGCGGUCGAUAGUGGACUAAUAGUAGUAGAUGCAGGCAGGAGUCGGUCUACUUGUCUCGGACAUGAUGCCUAUAUACAUGAUCAUACCUAGAUAUUCUCAUAAAUAUGCUCAAUUCUGUCAAUUGCUCAACAGUAAUUUGUUCACCCACCGUAGAAUACUUAUGCUCUCGAGAGAAGCCACUAGUGAAACCUAUGGCCCCCGGGUCUAUCUUUAUCAUAUCAAUCUCCUGCUACUUAGUUAUUUACUUUGCUAUUAACUUUGCCUUUAUUUUGCUUUGCAUCUUUAUCAUAAAAAUACCAAAAAUAUUAUCUUUAUCAUAUCUAUCAGAUCUCACUCUCGUAAGUGGCCCUAUAGAGAUUGACAACCCCUAUUUGCGUUGGUUGCGAGGAUUUAUUUGUUUGUGUAGGUAUGAGGGACUUGCGUGUAGCCUCCUACUGGAUUGAUACCUUGGUUCUAAAAAACUGAGGGAAAUACUUAUGCUACUUUGCUUGUCAGGACCCCGAUUCCAAGUCACAUCGAUCUAGCCGGUAACACCUCAUAUCACUUUGCGGCCUCAUGCACGGUAUCCCACGGGUGUCGCCUUACCAUGGCCCGGGACCGUUUGCGCCUUUUAACUCAUGGAUAUGAUAGUGUCGCUAGCAUCCAUAUGACAGAGAACCCGGGCCGACAUGGCUAGUCGUGAACCCAAAGUGGCACAAACCUAUGGAGACAGGCAUACAUGAAUCACAUCGAGCAUGUCGGUCAUCAACGAGUGAUUUCGGGCUGUAGCACUGGGCUAACAGGACUCCGGGGAUCCCGGGCUGUAGCAGGCUAGGCAGGACUCCGAAGUCACCGCGUGACAUUUCCCCAAAGGGACAGACAUAGGAACGAAGUGAAACACAUGCUGACCAGUCAAGUGUCCUGAACAGUAGUGCUGGGCUAGCAGGACUCCGGUGAACCGGGCUGUAGCGGACUACUAUGGCUCGAGGAACACUAGACUACAUUUGCCCAUAAGAAAGGCUGCCAAGGAUAAACAACUAGAUUGUCGGAUCCCACUCAUACCAAGCAUUUCAAUCAUACACACAAUAUGCCCGAUAUGAGUACAUACAACAUGGCAUCACAACAAAACUCUACAACUCAAGUACUUUAUUUAAAGGGCUCCAGAGAGCCAUACAUAACAUGUCAUACAGAUAGGGGUCACAUGAGCCGACACUCAAGUCAUACAAUCAUACAUGCACAUGCGGAAGCAACUAGUCUAAGUACAAACUCUAAAAAGAAAGAAGGCUUCUCGAAGCCUGUCUAUCUACAUAGGGCCCUCCAUGGCCAGGAUCACCACCUGGGUGGCUAGUCACUCAUCGACGUCAAGGUCUACAUAAAACCCAUCGGAGGGGGCAGUGUUGUCGUCUGAAAAUAAUAAAUAAGCAAACAUGAGUACAAAGGUACUCAGCAAGUCUUACAUCAGAACCUACUAUACAUGCUUAUUCUCAAGAAGGAGGUGGGGUUAUUUGCAGCAAGCCAGCUUUGACUCUUGGCUAAGCUAUCCUACAGAACAUCACCAGUAAAAUAGUUUUCGCACACGAGUCCACUACUCACCAACACAAUACUCCACCGGGGAUCCUCCCUCGUCAUCCUACGAGAGGGCCAUCCUCGGUACUCACACUUAUCUUGAGUCUUUUAGUAGUAUCCAUUAACUUGUCUAUGAACUGUAUAGGCAACUAAGUAGUCCUUUACCGCGGACGCGGCUAUUCGAAUAGUUUUAUACCCUGCAGGGGUGUACUUCGUCACACAUGUUUCCACCACUUAGCGUCUGCACACGACAUGUGCUCGGCGGACUUCAAGCGAAAACCGACGUGGGUGUAGACCACGACCUGACUAACCUCACAAGUCUCUAGUUCAGGUUUUCUCGCCUAUUCAGAUUCCAUCCGCAAGGAAAUCCGGCCGGGGUGUCCUCAACGGCCCCAAACGAUGUGUACAGGGUCCCGAGACGCCAAACGGGCGCUCGGCAUACCAGGCCACAGUGUAUCUACCGCAUCAUAGCCCACCCCUAGGGUCAGCGCUACGCACGGCCGCCAACACAUGUCCUACAAACACCAGAAACUAGUUGCAACUCCUGAACAGAGGUGAGAGGGGUCAGUAAGUCGAGCGGGGUCAUAUUUUAGGGCCCAAUGUGUGGUAGUAGCUGAAUCUUAAAUCACGCAUACAGAUCUCAGUUCUGAGGGCCGGCCUCAAUGAAACAACCCACCAUGUACUCCUACAUGGCCUCUCAUCGAUACCUUUACCAAAACAUGUUCAACACAUCCCUCACAUUACCGGCAUAAGCAUUUCACUCUAGCCCAUCACCCAGAUGAACCAGACCUAACACAACUCUAAGCAUAGCAGGCAUAGCAAGGUAGGAAUCACAAAACAUGGCUCAAACAACUUCUACACAUGCUAGUGGGUUUCAUCUAGUUACUGUGGCAAUGACAGGUCAUGCAGAGGAUAAGGGUUCAACUACCGUAGCACACAACAGUUUGAAUCACGUUGUCUUAAUGCAGUAAAUAAGAGCAGAAGCGAGAACAUGGGUUUGUAUCGGAAUGAUCAAUGGUUGCUUGCCUGAUGGAGUGGUAGCGGGAUACUGCCCUUCAGUUGGAUACUCGUGAAUAUCCUCGGAGGCAGAACCUACCACGGAGAACACAUCGGAACACAAUCAACACACGACAAUAUGCAACAAUAUGAUGCAUGCUAUGACAUGUCAAUAUGUUUGUGUCUUGGCCUAAUGCAAACUAAAAUAGAAAGGGAUGAACUCAUUUGAAUCAAAGAUUCAAAUAUUAGCUCAUUAAACAUGGCAUUUAUAGUGCAUUACCUUAUUCUGCAUAAACAGCAAGGUAAACUUGUUUUGUCAUGCAUGAAACCAUUACAAAUGGAUAGAUUGAAUUUUUCUGAUAAUUUUUCAUAUAUAAUUUAUCUCAUUUGGAGCUAUGGUUGAAUUUCUAUGAAUUUUUGAAGUAUGAACUAUUUUCUGGAAUUUCCUGUAUAAAAAUAAAUCCAAAAAAUCAAUUACGGCGUCAGCAAUGCGUCAGGGUGACGUCAGCAGGUCAAAGGCGCCAGCCAGGUCAAACCUGACUGGUGGGCCCCUUCUGUCAGCCUCUCAGUGCACUAACUACGUUUAGUUAGCCUAAUUACUGGGCAGGGCCCACUAGUCAGUGGCUAUACUAAUUAAACUAACCUAUUUAGUUAGCACUAACAGGGUAAUUAGUCGGGCGGGGCCCGCAUGUCGGUGAGAGAGAGGGGGGGAGGUCAACCCACGUCAGCAGGUCAACCUCGCUGGUCAGCGGGUCAAAGCCUGCCGGCGUUUAGCCGCCGGCGAGGCCAGACGCGGAGGCGCGCUGCGGAAAUCGCCCACAGGGCACCAUUUGGUGCGCGGAGAGCAGCUACGGGUAGCUGGGAACGAACCGCGGCGUUUUGUGGUGGUGGUCGGGCUCGGGGUGGCCGGAAACGUCGCCGGCGACGAGCUUUGCGGUCGCCGGAGUCGGGUGAAAGUGAGCCCGAGGCUACGGGGCACGGCGAGGCGUGUGGUGAGGUGCGUUGUGCCCCUAGGGAUGCGGUGGAGUGGUUAGACUAGGUGGCGUGGCCGGAGUUUGGCCGGAGACACGUCGGCGACGAGCUCCACGGCGGCGCAUGCGGGUGAGCUUCGUGUGCUUGUUGUGGUGCAUGAGAAGGAGAGCGGAGAGGAUGGGGAGGUGCAGCAGCUCACGGCGGUCACGUAGAAGCAGACGACGCGGUCGGGGACGAGUCGGAGCAAGCGGGGCGGCGGAGGCGAUCUGGGCAGCCCGAGGUUGAAGACGAGCUCGGUGGAGUCGUUUGCAGGCCUCCGGCGGGGCGUGGCUUGGUUGAGCGGUCGAGGAGGAAGUGGCGGAGCUUCAGGACACGGUGGAGCAACACGGGGACGACGGUGGACGGGGUUUCACGGUGGCGCGAGCUCGGCAGCGUCGACCAUGGCGGAGAAAGAGCGAGAGAGAGGAACCAGGGGGGAAGUGCGGUGUCUGCGAGGUCGGGGGAUGCACGGGAGUUCAUCCCACGUCGACAGGUCGACGAGGGGAGCGGCGAGGCGGCGGCAGCUGCGUGGCGCGCAUGCGGUGCUCGCCGUCGAGCACGUGCCUGCUUGGCCAAGCCAAGCUGCUCGCUGGUGCGGUGGCUGGGCUGGGCCGGCAGGUGGGCCUGGUGGGUGGCGCCAGGUAAGUUUUUCUGUUUCUAUUUUUCUGUUUCUAUUUUUUUCUGUAGCUUUAGGGCUUUAUUUAAAAUACCUAGGCACUUUCUAAAAUUCUGAAAAUAAUUGUGGGCUCUGUUGGGAUUAUUCCUAACAGGAAACAUUUACUUCCAGAUUUAUUUGAACAUUUAAAUUAUUUAUUAGCAUUUAAAUGUCCAAAGGCAACAUACAUAUGAUUUAAUCCAGUGACCUUUUGUUGACCUAGAAAAUUGUGCACCUAUUUUGCCAGAGGUUCUAACCCAAGGCAAAGAGGGUGAACAUUUUAGAAGGGCAUUUCAGGUUCAUUGAAAAUAUUUUUAGUAAACCCUAGUUGAUUUCAAGAGGGGUGCUGGGGGUUCUGCCUUUCCCAUUUCAAGUUUCUGAUGAAAAGUAAACAUGAUGCACACUCUAAUGCAUGGACUAGCUAGGGUGUGACAACUCACCCCCACUCAAAAGAAUCUCGUCCCGAGAUUUAGGAUCCUCUGGAAAGAAGGUGGGGUACUCGAGUCGAAGACGAUCCUCCCUUUCCCAAGUGGCUUCUUCCUCGGAAUGAUGUGACCAUUGAACCUUGAGAAACUUGAUAUUAUGCCGUCGAGUGGUAUGCUCGGCUUGAUCAAGGAUACGAACGGGAUACUCCCGAUAAGAGAGGUUAUCUUGUAGAUCAAGCGUUUCGUGGUCCACUCCACGGAUAGGAUCCGCGAAGCAACGCCUGAGUUGUGAAACGUGGAAGACAUUGUGAACUCUGGAAAGAUGCGGGGGUAGUUCGAAUUGGUAGGCAACUUCUCCUCGUUUGGCAAGAAUACGAAAGGGUCCAAUGUAACGAGGAGCCAAUUUGCCUUUGAUACCGAAAUGAUGGGUUCCCUUUAACGGAGUAACCCGAAGGUAAGCCUUCUCGUCGACUUCGUAAGUCAUAGGCUUAUGUUUACGAUCAUAUUGACUCUUUUGACGAGAUUGGGCUGUUUUCAAUUUCUCACGAAUAACGCGAACCUGCUCUUCUUCUUCCUGAAUCAUAUCCGGGCCAAAGAGUUGUCUUUCCCCGGUUUUUGACCAGUUAAGAGGCGUUCGACAUUUUCGUCCAUAGAGAACUUCGAAAGGAGCCUUGCCCAAGCUAGCUUGGUAACUAUUGUUAUAAGCAAACUCCGCGAAUAGAAGGCAUUUCUCCCAACUCAUUCCGAACGAGAUAACAGAAGCUCGGAGCAUAUCUUCCAGAAUUUGAUUGACUCGCUCUACUUGACCACUUGAUUGAGGAUGGAAGGAGGUACUAAAAGAGAGACGAGUUCCCAUAGCAUUUUGGAAACUUUCCCAAAAUCGAGAGGUGAAGAGACUCCCACGGUCUGAGUUAAUUUCCAAUGGGACACCAUGAAGAGACACUAUUCGGGAGAUGUAUAAAUCAGCUAGCUGGCUAGCGGUAAUACUCUCACGAUCAGGUAGGAAAUGGGCUACUUUGGAAAGUCGGUCGAUCACGACGAAGAUGGCAUUAUUCCCUCUCUUGGUCCUGGGAAACCCAGUGAUGAAAUCCAUACUGAUUUUAUCCCAUUUCCAUUCAGGGAUAGCCAAAGGUUGAAGGGUGCCAGCAGGCGUAGAUGCUUUGCUUUAACACAACGACAAACGUCGCAGCUAGCAAUGUAUUGAGCGAUUUCUCUCUUCAUCCUAGUCCACCAAAACCUCUGGCGCAGGUCUUGAUACAUCUUAGUACUACCGGGAUGAAUGGUGAGAGGGGAAUCAUGAGCUUCCUUAAGGAUCAACUGGCGUAGAUGUUGUUUCUUGGGAACCACCAAACGGUUCUCAAAGAAGACAGCACCCCGCUUAUCCAUGGAAAAACAUUUAGCAACUCCGCUAGCAAUGUUUUCCUUAAUCCAGGAUAUGCCCUUAUCACGCUUCUGGGCAGCUAUGAUUUGAUCCAUAAGGGUAGGUUUCGCCACCAGGGUGGAUAGGAAUCCUCGAGGAACAAUGUGAAGAUUAAGCUUACAAAAUUCCUCAUGGAGAAGUGGUUGACUUCAUUGUAACAUCAGGUUGUUACAAUAGGACUUACGACUUAGUGCAUCAGCCAUGACAUUGGCUUUGCCCGGGGUGUAAGUUAUUCCUAAGUCGUAAUCCAAGAUCAACUCGACCCAGCGUCUUUUCCUGAGGUUCAAAUCUGGUUGGGUGAAGAUAUAUUUCAAACUUUGGUGAUCGGUGAAGAUCUCGCAACGAUUACCGAGAAGGUAAUGUCGCCAGGUUUUAAGUGCAUGGACUACAGCUGCAAGCUCUAGAUCAUGUGUAGGAUAAUUUUCCUCAUGUGGGUGUAAUUGCCGUGAAGCAUAGGCAAUUACCUGACGAUCUUGCAUGAGUAUGCAACCUAGUCCUUGUCGUGAGGCGUCGCAAUAGAUAAUAAAGUCCUUGGAGAAGUCUGGUGGUACCAGUACGGGGGCAGAUGUCAGGCGGCUUUUCAGUUCCUGAAAACUGAUCUCGCACUGUGGAGUCCACUUGAACUUUUUAUCUUUCUUGAGGAGUUCAGUUAUAGGUUUAGCAACCUUGGAGAAAUUCUCGACGAAGCGGCGGCAAUAGCUCGCUAGGCCAAGGAAACUCCGAACUUGCUUGACCGUUUCAGGUGGAGUCCAAUCAAGGACGGCUUGAACUCGCUCGGGAUUGACAGCAAUACCCUUACCAGAGAUUACAUGGCCUAGAUAGGUCACUUCUGGCAACCAAAAUUCACACUUGGAGAAUUUGGCAUAAAGGCGAUGCUCUCGAAGUUUCAUCAAUACCAGCCUUAGAUGUACGACAUGUUCCUCUUCAUUCUUAGAGUAGAUGAGUAUGUCAUCGAGGUAUACUACGACGAAUUUAUCCAAGUACUGCAUGAAGACCGAGUUCAUUAACCGAGAGAAGGUAGCCGGGGCAUUGGUUAAACCGAAGGACAUGACGGUGUACUCGUAUUGGCCAUAACGGGUAACAAAGGCCGUUUUGGGAAUGUCCCCAUUUCUGAUUUUGAUUUGAUGGUAGCCCAACCUCAAAUCCAUCUUGGAGAAGACCGAGGAUCCAGCGAGCUGAUCAUACAGAUCGUUGAUCCUGGGAAGCGGGUAUUUGUUCUUGAUGGUGACCAAGUUGACAGGUCGGUAAUCCACAACCAUUCGAUCCGUUCCAUCCUUCUUCUUGACGAAGAGGAUGUUGGGGAACAUAGCAGAAAUUCAAAAUUUUCCUACGUGUCACCAAGAUCUAUCUAUGGAGAAACCAACAACGAGGGAAGGAGAGUGCAUCUACAUACCCUUGUAGAUCGCUAAGCGGAAGCGUUCAAGAGAACGGGGUUGAUGGAGUCGUACUCGCCGUGAUCCAAAUCACCGGAGAUCCUAGUGCCGAACGGACGGCACCUCCGCGUUCAACACACGUACAGCCCGACGAUGUCUCCCACGCCUUGAUCCAGCAAGGAGAGAGGGAGAGGUUGAGGAAGACUCCAUCCAGCAGCAGCACAACGGCGUGGUGGUGGUGGAGGAGCGUGGCAAUCCUGCAGGGCUUCGCCAAGCAUCGCGGGAGAGGAGAAGGACUUGGGAGAGGGGAAGGGCUGCACCAAAGGCAAAAGGUGUGUCUUGAGAGGCCCUCCUUCCCCACUAUAUAUAGGGAGCCCAAGGGGGGGGGGCGCCGGCCCUAGGAGAUCCAAUCUCCUAGGGGGGGGGGAGCGGCGGCCAAGGGAGGAAUCCCUCCUCCCCAAGGCACCUAGGAGGUGCCUUCCCCUUCUGGGACUCUUCCUUUAGGGUUUCCCCCACACUAGGCGCAUGGGCCCUAGGGGAAAUUGGCGCCCCAACCCACUUUGGGCUGGAUCCCUUCCCACUUCAGCCCAUGGGACCCUCCGGGAUAAGUGGCCCCACCCGGUGGGCCCCCGGGACCCUUCCGGUGGUCCCGGUACAAUACCGAUGACCCCGAAACUUGUCCCGAUGGCCGAAAUAGGACUUCCUAUAUAUAAAUCUUUACCUCCGGACCAUUCCGGAACUCCUCGUGACGUCCGGGAUCUCAUCCGUGACUCCGAACAACUUUCGGGUUACCGCAUACUAAUAUCUCUAUAACCCUAGCGUCACCGAACCUUAAGUGUGUAGACCCUACGGGUUCGGGAACCAUGCAGACAUGACCGAGACGUUCUCCGGUCAAUAACCAACAGCGGGAUCUGGAUACCCAUGUUGGCUCCCACAUGCUCCACGAUGACCUCAUCGGAUGAACCACGAUGUCAAGGACUUAAUCAAUCCCGUAUACAAUUCCCUUUGUCUAUCGGUACGAUACUUGCCCGAGAUUCGAUCGUCGGUAUCCCGAUACCUUGUUCAAUCUCGUUACCGGCAAGUCUCUUUACUCGUUCCGUAACACAUCAUCCCGUGAUAAACUCCUUGAUCACAUUGUGCACAUUAUGAUGAUGUCCUACCGAGUGGGCCCAGAGAUACCUCUCCGUCACACGGAGUGACAAAUCCCAGUCUCAAUUCGUGCCAACCCAACAGACACUUUCGGAGAUACCCGUAGUGUACCUUUAUAGCCACCCAGUUACGUUGUGACGUUUGGCACACCCAAAGCACUCCUACGGUAUCCGGGAGUUGCACAAUCUCAUGGUCUAAGGAAAUGAUACUUGACAUUAGAAAAGCUUUAGCAUACGAACUACAUGAUCUUGUGCUAGGCUUAGGAUUGGGUCUUGUCCAUCACAUCAUUCUCCUAAUGAUGUGAUCCCGUUAUCAAUGACAUCCAAUGUCCAUGGUCAGGAAACCGUAACCAUCUAUUGAUCAACGAGCUAGUCAACUAGAGGCUUACUAGGGAAAUGGUGUUGUCUAUGUGUCCACACAUGUAUCUGAGUUUCCUAUCAAUACAAUUAUAGCAUGGAUAAUAAACGAUUAUCAUGAACAAGGAAAUAUAAUAAUAAUCAAUUUAUUAUUGCCUCUAGGGCAUAUUUCCAACAGUCUCCCACUUGCACUAGAGUCAAUAAUCUAGUUCACAUCGAUAUGUGAUUAACACUCAAGGUCACAUCCCCAUGUGACUAACACCCAAAUAGUUUACUAGAGUCAAUAAUCUAGUUCACAUUUACCAUGUGAUUAACACUCGAUGAGUUCUGGGUUUGAUCAUGUUAUGCUUGUGAGAGAGGUUAUGGUCAACGGGUCUGAACCUUUCAGAUCCGUGUGUGCUUUACAAAUCUCUAUGCCAUCUCCUAGAUGCAGCUACCACGCUCUAUUUGGAGCUAUUCCAAAUAACUGUUCUACUAUACGAAUCCAGUUUACUACUCAGAAUAAUCUGGAUUAGUGUCAAAGUUUGCAUCGGCGUAACCCUUUACGAUGAACUCUUUUACCACCUCCAUAAUCGAGAAAAUUCCUUAGUCCACUAGUUACUAAGGAUAACUUUGACCGCUGUCCUGUGAUCCAUUCUUGGAUCACUCUUGUACCCCUUGACUGAUUCAUGGCAAGGCACACUUCAGGUGCGGUACACAGCAUAGCAUACUGUAGAGCCUACGUCUUAAGCAUAGGGGACGACCUUCGUCCUUUCUCUCUAUUCUGCCGUGGUCGAGCUUUAAGUCUUAACUUCAUACCUUAGAACUCAGGCAAGAACUCCUUCUUUGACUGAUCCAUCUUGAACACCUUCAAGAUCAUGUCAAGGUAUGUGCUCAUUUGAAAGUACCAUUAAGCGUUUUGAUCUAUCCUUAUAGAUCUUGAUGCUCAUUGCUCAAGUAGCUUAAUCCAGGCUUUCCAUUGAAAAACAUUUUCCGAAUAACCCUAUACGCUUUCCAGAAAUUCUACGUCAUUUCUGAUCAACAAUAUGUCAACAACAUAUAUUCAUCAGAAAUUCUAUAGUGCUCCCACUCACUUCUUUGGAAAUACAAGUUUCUCAUAAACUUUGUAUACACCCAAAAUCUUUGAUCAUCUCAUCAAAGCAUACAUUCCAACUCCGAGAUGCUUACUCCAGUCCUUAGAAGGAUUGCUGGAGCUUUGCAUACUUGUUAGCAUCUUUCAGGAUUGACAAAACCUUCCGGUUGUAUCACAUACAACCUUUCCUCAAGAAAAUCGUCGAGGAAACAAUGGUUUUUGACAUCCUAUCUGCAAGAUUUCAUAAACAAUGCAGUAAUCGCUAAUAUAAUUCCAAUAGACUCUUAGCAUCGCUACGGGUGAGAAAGUCUCAUCGUAGUCAACUCCUUGAACUUGUCGGAAAACAUCUUAACGACAAGUCGAGCUUUCUUAAUGGUGAUACUUACCAUCAUUGUCCGUCUUCCUUUUAAAAUCCAUAUGUACCUAACAGCCUUACGAUCAUCAAGUAGUUCUUCCAAAGUCUACACUUUGUUUUCAUAUAUGGAUCCUCUCUCGGAUUAUAUGGCCUCGAGCCAUUUAUCGGAAUCCAGGCCCACCAUCGCUUCUCCAUAGCUCGUAUGUUUAUUGUUGUCUAGCAACAUAACUUCCAAGACAGGAUUACGUACCACUCUAGCAUACGAACUACAUGAUCUUGUGCUAGGCUUAGGAUUGGGUCUUGUCCAUCACAUCAUUCUCCUAAUGAUGUGAUCCCGUUAUCAAUGACAUCCAAUGUCCAUGGUCAGGAAACCGUAACCAUCUAUUGAUCAACGAGCUAGUCAACUAGAGGCUUACUAGGGAAAUGGUGUUGUCUAUGUGUCCACACAUGUAUCUGAGUUUCCUAUCAAUACAAUUAUAGCAUGGAUAAUAAACGAUUAUCAUGAACAAGGAAAUAUAAUAAUAAUCAAUUUAUUAUUGCCUCUAGGGCAUAUUUCCAACAGUCUCCCACUUGCACUAGAGUCAAUAAUCUAGUUCACAUCGAUAUGUGAUUAACACUCAAGGUCACAUCCCCAUGUGACUAACACCCAAAUAGUUUACUAGAGUCAAUAAUCUAGUUCACAUUUACCAUGUGAUUAACACUCGAUGAGUUCUGGGUUUGAUCAUGUUAUGCUUGUGAGAGAGGUUAUGGUCAACGGGUCUGAACCUUUCAGAUCCGUGUGUGCUUUACAAAUCUCUAUGCCAUCUCCUAGAUGCAGCUACCACGCUCUAUUUGGAGCUAUUCCAAAUAACUGUUCUACUAUACGAAUCCAGUUUACUACUCAGAAUAAUCUGGAUUAGUGUCAAAGUUUGCAUCGGCGUAACCCUUUACGAUGAACUCUUUUACCACCUCCAUAAUCGAGAAAAUUCCUUAGUCCACUAGUUACUAAGGAUAACUUUGACCGCUGUCCUGUGAUCCAUUCUUGGAUCACUCUUGUACCCCUUGACUGAUUCAUGGCAAGGCACACUUCAGGUGCGGUACACAGCAUAGCAUACUGUAGAGCCUACGUCUUAAGCAUAGGGGACGACCUUCGUCCUUUCUCUCUAUUCUGCCGUGGUCGAGCUUUAAGUCUUAACUUCAUACCUUAGAACUCAGGCAAGAACUCCUUCUUUGACUGAUCCAUCUUGAACACCUUCAAGAUCAUGUCAAGGUAUGUGCUCAUUUGAAAGUACCAUUAAGCGUUUUGAUCUAUCCUUAUAGAUCUUGAUGCUCAUUGCUCAAGUAGCUUAAUCCAGGCUUUCCAUUGAAAAACAUUUUCCGAAUAACCCUAUACGCUUUCCAGAAAUUCUACGUCAUUUCUGAUCAACAAUAUGUCAACAACAUAUAUUCAUCAGAAAUUCUAUAGUGCUCCCACUCACUUCUUUGGAAAUACAAGUUUCUCAUAAACUUUGUAUACACCCAAAAUCUUUGAUCAUCUCAUCAAAGCAUACAUUCCAACUCCGAGAUGCUUACUCCAGUCCUUAGAAGGAUUGCUGGAGCUUUGCAUACUUGUUAGCAUCUUUCAGGAUUGACAAAACCUUCCGGUUGUAUCACAUACAACCUUUCCUCAAGAAAAUCGUCGAGGAAACAAUGGUUUUUGACAUCCUAUCUGCAAGAUUUCAUAAACAAUGCAGUAAUCGCUAAUAUAAUUCCAAUAGACUCUUAGCAUCGCUACGGGUGAGAAAGUCUCAUCGUAGUCAACUCCUUGAACUUGUCGGAAAACAUCUUAACGACAAGUCGAGCUUUCUUAAUGGUGAUACUUACCAUCAUUGUCCGUCUUCCUUUUAAAAUCCAUAUGUACCUAACAGCCUUACGAUCAUCAAGUAGUUCUUCCAAAGUCUACACUUUGUUUUCAUAUAUGGAUCCUCUCUCGGAUUAUAUGGCCUCGAGCCAUUUAUCGGAAUCCAGGCCCACCAUCGCUUCUCCAUAGCUCGUAUGUUUAUUGUUGUCUAGCAACAUAACUUCCAAGACAGGAUUACGUACCACUCUGAAGUAGCACGCAUCCUUGUCAUCCCACGAGGUUUGGUAGUGACUUGAUCUGAAGUUUCAUGAUCACUAUCAUAAGCUUCCACUUCAAUUGGUGUAGGUGCCACAGGAACAACUUCCUGUGCCCUGCUACACACUAGUUGAAGUGAAGGUUCAAUAACCUCAUCAAGUCUCCACCAUCCUCCCACUCAAUUCCUUCGAGAGAAACUUUUCCUCAAGAAAGGACCUGAUUGAAGAAACAAUCCCUUAUUGCUUUCGGAUCUGAGACAGGAGGUAUACCCAACUGUUUUGGGUGUCCUAUGAAGAUGCAUUUAUCCGCUUUGGGUUCGAGCUUAUCAGCCUGAAACUUUUUCACAUAAGCGUCGCAGCCCCAAACUUUUAAGAAAUGACAGCUUAGGUUUCUCUAAACCAUAGUUCAUAUGGUGUCAUCUCAUCGGAAUUACGUGGUGCCCCUUUUUAAAGUGAAUGUGGUUGUCUCUAAUGCCUAACCCAUAAACUAUCGUGGUAAUUCGAUAAGAGACAUCAUGGUAUGCAUCAUAUCCAAUAGGGUGCAGUUAUGAUGUUCGGACACACCAUCACACUAUGGUGUUCCAGGCUGUAUUAUUUGUGAAACAAUUUCCACAAUGUCUUAAUUCUGUGCCAAACUCGUAAUUCAGAUAUUCAUCUCUAUGAUCAUAUCAUAGAUAUUUUAUCCUCUUGUUACGGCGAUCUUUCAACUUCACACUAAAAUUACUUGAACCUUUCAAUAAUUCAGACUCGUGAUUCAUCAAGUAAAUAUACGCAACAUCUACUCAAAUCAUCUGUGAAGUAAGAACAUAACGAUAUCCACUACACGCCUUACCAACAUUGGACUACACACAUCAAAAUGUAUUACUUCCAACAAGUUGCUUUCUAGUUCCAUUUUACUGAAACCGAGGCUUUCAGUCAUCUUGCCCAUGUGGUAUGAUUUGCAUGUCUCAAGUGAUUCAAAAUUAAGUGAGUCCACAUGGUCCAUUUGCAUGGAGUUUCUUUAUGCAUAUACACCAAUAGACAUGGUUCGCAUGUCUCAAACUUUUCAAAAAAUGAGUGAGUCCAAAGAUCCAUAAACAUGGAGCUUCUUCAUGCGUUUUAUACCGAUAUGACUUACGUGGCAGUGCCACAAGUAGGUGGUACUUAUCAUUACUAUCUUAUAUCUUUUGGCAUGAAUAUGUGUAUCACUACGAUCGAGAUUCAAUAAACCAUUCAUUUUAGGUGCAAGACCAUUGAAGGUACUAUUCAAAUAAACAGAGUAACCAUUAUUCUCCUUAAAUGAAUAACCGUAUUGCGAUAGACAUAAUCCAAUCACGUCUAUGCUCAACGCAAACACCAAAUAACAAUUAUUUAGGUUUAACACCAAUCUCGAUGGUAGAGGGAGCGUGUGAUGCUUGAUCAUAUCAACAUUGGAAACACUUCCAACACAUAUCGUCAGCUCACCUUUAGCUAGUCUCUGUUUAUUCCAUAGCUUUUAUUUCGAGUUACUAACACUUAGCAACCGAACCGGUAUCUAAUACCCUGGUGCUACUAGGAGUACUAGUAAAGUACACAUCAACACAAUGUAUAUCCAAUAUACUUCUAUCGACCUUGCCAGCCUUCUAAUCUACCAAGUAUCUAGGGUAAUUCUGAUCCAGUGGCUGUUCCCCUUAUUACAGAAGCACUUAGUCUCGGGUUUGGGUUCAACCUUGGGUUUCUUCACUAGAGCAGCAACUGAUUUGCCGUUUCAUGAAGUAUCCCUUCUUGCCCUUGCCCUUCUUGAAACUAGUGGUUUCACCAACCAUCAACAAUUGAUGCUCCUUCUUGAUUUCUACUUUCGCGGUGUCAAACAUCGCGAAUAUCUCAAGGAUCAUCAUAUAUGUCCCUGAUAUAUUAUAGUUCAUCACGAAGUUCUAGCAGCUUGGUGGUAAUGACUUCGGAGAAACAUCACUAUCUCAUCUAGAAGAUCAACUCCCACUCGAUUCAAAUGAUUGUUGUACUCAGACAAUCUGAGUACAAGCUCAACAAUUGAGCUUUUCUCCCUUAGUUUGCAGGCUAAGAAAAUCGUCGGAGGUCUUAUACCUCUUGACAUGGGCACGAGCCUGAAAUCCCAAUUUCAGCUCUCGAAACAUCUCAUAUGUUUCGCGACGUUUCAAAACGUCUUCGGUGCCUCAACUCUAAACCGUUUAACUGAACUAUCAUGUAGUUAUCAAAACGUGUAUGUCAGAUGUUCGCAACAUCCACAGACAACGUUUGAGGUUCAACUCACUGAGCAGUGCAUUAAGGACAUAAGCCUUCUAUGAAGCAAGGAGGACAAUCCUCAGUUUACAGACCUAGUCCGCAUAAUUGCUACUAUCAACUUUCAACUAAAUUUUCUCUAGGAUCAUAUCUAAACAGUAAAACUGAAGCGUGUGCUACGACACAAUUUGCGAAGACCUUCUGACUAUGUUCAGGAUAAUUAAGUUCAUCUUAUGAACUCCCACUCAGAUAGACAUCCCUCUAGUCAUCUAAGUGAUUACAUGAUCCGAGUCAACUAGGCCGUGUCCGAUCAUCACGUGAGACGGACUAGUCAACAUCGGUGAACAUCUUCAUGUUGAUCGUAUCUACCAUACGACUCAUGCUCGACCUUUCGGUCUCUUGUGUUCCGAGGCCAUGUCUGUACAUGCUAGGCUCGUCAAGUCAACCUAAGUGUUUCGCGUGUGUAAAUCUGUCUUACACCCGUUGUAUGUGAAUGUUAGAAUCUAUCACACCCGAUCAUCACGUGGUGCUUCGAAACAACAAACUGUCGCAACGGUGCACAGUUAGGGGGAACACUUUCUUGAAAUUUCAAUGAGGGAUCAUCUUAUUUACUACCAUCGUUCUAAGCAAAUAAGAUGUAUAAACAUGAUAAACAUCACAUGCAAUCAAAUAGUGACAUGAUAUGGCCAUCAUCACUUUGCUCCUCUUGAUCUCCAUCUUCGGGGCUCCAUGAUCAUCAUCGUCACCGGCAUGACACCAUGAUCUCCAUAAUCAUGAUCUCCAUCAUCGUGUCUUCUUGAAGUUGUCUCGUCAUCUAUUACUUCUACUACUAUGGCUAACGCUUUAGCAAUAAAGUAAAGUAAUUACAUGACGUUUAAGUUGACACGCAGGUCAUAAAUAAAUAAAGACAACUCCUAUGGCUCCUGCCGGUUGUCAUACUCAUCGACAUGCAAGUCGUGAUUCCUAUUACAAGAACAUGAUCAAUCUCAUACAUCACAUAUAUCAUUCAUCACAUCCUUUUGGCCAUAUCGCAUCACAUAGCAUACCCUGCAAAAACAAGUUAGACGCCCUCUAAUUGUUGUUUGCAUGUUUUAUGUGGCUGCUAUGGGUUUCUAGCAAGAACGUUUCUUACCUACGCAAAGACCACAACGUGAUAUGCCAAUUGCUAUUUACCCUUCAUAAGGACCCUUUUCAUCGAAUCCGAUCCGACUAAAGUGGGAGAGACUGGCACCCGCUAGCCACCUUAUGCAACUAGUGCAUGUCAGUCGGUGGAACCUGUCUCACGUAAGAGUACGUGUAAGGUCGGUCCAGGCCGCUUCAUCCCACAAUACCAUCGAAACAAGAUUGGACUAGUAACGGUAAGCAUAUUGAACAAAAUCAACGCCCACAACUACUUUGUGUUCUACUCGUGCAUAGAAUCUACGGAAUAGACCUAGCUCUGAUACCACUGUUGGGGAACGUAGCAGAAAUUCAAAAUUUUCCUACGUGUCACCAAGAUCUAUCUAUGGAGAAACCAGAAACGAGGGGAAGGAGAGUGCAUCUACAUACCCUUGUAGAUCGCUAAGCGGAAGAGUUCAAGAGAACGGGGUUGAUGGAGUCGUACUCGUCGUGAUCCAAAUCACCAGAGAUCCUAGUGCCGAACGGACGGCACCUCCGCGUUCAACACACGUACAGCUCGACGAUGUCUCCCACGCCUUGAUCCAGCAAGGAGAGAGGGAGAGGUUGAGGAAGAAUCCAUCCAACAGCAGCACAACAGCGUGGUGGUGGUGGAGGAGCGUGGCAAUCCUGCAGGGCUUCGCCAAGCACCGCGGGAGAGGAGAAGGACUUGGGAGAGGGGAAGGGCUGCACCAAAGGCAAAAGGUGUGUCUUGAGAGGCCCUCCUUCCCCACUAUAUAUAGGGAGCCCAAGGGGGGGCGCCGGCCCUAGGAGAUCAAAUCUCCUAGGGGGGCGGCGGCCAAGGGAGGAAUCCCUCCUCCCCAAGGCACCUAGGAGGUGCCUUCCCCUUCUGGGACUCUUCCUUUAGGGUUUCCCCCACACUAGGCGCAUGUGCCCUAGGGGAAAGUGGCGCCCCAGCCCACUUUGGGCUGGAUCCCUUCCUACUUCAGCCCAUGGGACCCUCCGGGAUAAGUGGCCCCACCCGGUGGGCCCCCGGGACCCUUCCGGUGGUCCCGGUACAAUACCGAUGACCCCGAAACUUGUCCCGAUGGCCGAAAUAGGACUUCCUAUAUAUAAAUCUUUACCUCCGGACCAUUCCGGAACUCCUCGUGACGUCCGGGAUCUCAUCCGGGACUCCGAACAACAUUCGGUAACCAGAUACAAACUUCCUUUAUAACCCUAGCGUCAUCAAACCUUAAGUGUGUAGACCCUACGGGUUCGGGAGACAUGCAGACAUGACCGAGACAUUCUCCGGUCAAUAACCAACAGCGGGAUCUGGAUACCCAUGUUGGCUCCCACAUGUUCCACGAUGAUCUCAUCGGAUGAACCAUGAUGUCAAGGACUUAAUCAAUCCCGUAUACAAUUCCCUUUGUCUAUCGGUAUGAUACUUGCCCGAGAUUCGAUCGUCGGUAUCCCGAUACCUUGUUCAAUCUCGUUACCGGCAAGUCUCUUUACUCGUUCCGUAACACAUCAUCCCGUGAUAAACUCCUUGAUCACAUUGUGCACAUUAUGAUGAUGUCCUACCGAGUGGGCCCAGAGAUACCUCUCCGUCACACGGAGUGACAAAUUCCAGUCUCGAUUCGUGCCAACCCAACAGACACUUUCGGAGAUACCCGUAGUGUACCUUUAUAGCCACCCAGUUACGUUGUGACGUUUGGCACACCCAAAGCACUCCUACGGUAUCCGGGAGUUGCACAAUCUCAUGGUCUAAGGAAAUGAUACUUGACAUUAGAAAAGCUUUAGCAUACGAACUACAUGAUCUUGUGCUAGGCUUAGGAUUGGGUCUUGUCUAUCACAUCAUUCUCCUAAUGUUGUGAUCCCGUUAUCAACGACAUCCAAUGUCCAUGGUCAGGAAACCAUAACCAUCUAUUGAUCAACGAGCUAGUCAACUAGAGGCUUACUAGGGACAUGGUGUUGUCUAUGUAUCCACACAUGUAUCUGAGUUUCCUAUCAAUACAAUUCUAGCAUGGAUAAUAAACGAUUAUCAUGAACAAGGAAAUAUAAUAAUAAUCAAUUUAUUAUAUCCUCUAGGGCAUAUUUCCAACAGAGGACGGGGCAAGCCCAAGGAGAGGAACUAGGAUGGAUGAAACCCUUGUUCAAGGAUUCAUCGAGUUGGUUCUUAAGCUCGGCUAGUUCUAGGGGUGCCAUCUUAUAGGGUCUUCUAGAAAUUGGAACGGUUCCUGGAACAAGGUCUAUCACAAACUCAACAUCCCUGUCAGGUGGAACACCUGGCAGUUCUUCUGGAAAGACAUCCGGAAAAUCUCGGACUACCGGAACAUCCUCAAGGUCUGGAAGAGGGUUGGCAUUUAGAGAGUAAAGCUGGCGCUUGGCCACUCGAGUUAAGACGUUAACUGUCUUGCCCGAGGGGUGAGUAAGUUGAACGGUCCUAGUGGCACAAUCGAUCUUAGCAUAAUGAGCUGACAUCCAGUCCAUACCCAAGAUGAUGUUUAUGUCGGAGGACUUGAGAGCUAUUAAGGAUGCAAGGAAGACAAGUCUGUCGACAAGAAUUUCGUUCCCAUGGCUUACUCUAGAAGUUUGCCAUCUAGAGCCAGGGGUUUGAAUUUCCAUGGUAGAGGACAUGUCACAGAAUGUCGUGUUAUGCAGUCGAGCAUAGUUCUCGGAUAUGAAUGAAUGAGAUGCUCCAGUAUCGAAAAGAACAGAUGCCGGAUGGCAGUUAACAAGGAGCGUACCAAGGACGACGUUAGGAUCCUCCUGAGCCUCCUCGGCUGAAACAUAAUUGACAUGGCCACGGGCAGUGGUGGCCGGCUUGGCGUAGAAAGUCUUCCCCGCGGGCUUACCACGGCAAACGGACUUUCUAGCUUGAUUGGGGUUGUUCUGGGGGCACUCUCGACUAUAGUGACCCGGCUCUCCACACUUGAAGCAUGUCACCACAUUGGGGCAUGGAGCAGCAUUAGCAGCGGGGCCACCAUAGGGCUUGGGCGGUGCAAAUUGUUGGUUGGGACGAGGCGCCUCAAAGGAUGGCCUCGGGAUGAACCUGCGUGGCAGUGCCGUGCUUGGAAUCCACACCCAGCGCUUCUGAGCUCCAGAGCCGGAUGAAGAGCCAAAAUCAUGGGAAUGCUUGCAUGAAGCGUCAUAAUCAGUCUGGCCUGUCUCAGCACUGAUGGCUUUAUUAACCAACUUCUGAAAGGAUGUGCACUCGUGCAGACGGAGAUCGCGGCGAAGCUCAGGGCUAAGUCCCUUGCGGAACCUUGCCUGCUUCUUAGCGCCAGUAGAAACCUCUUCAGGGGCAUAGCGUGCCAGACUCCCAAAUUCACGACUAUAUGCAUCCACAGUCAGUCUUCCUUGGGUGAAGUUAUAGAACUCCUCCCUCUUGCGAUCCAUGAGACCUUCCAAAAUGUGAUGCUCACGGAAAGCCUCACUGAAUUCAGCCCAAGUAGUGAUUUGGCCGACCGGGCGCAUAGCUUCGAAGUUUUCCCACCAAAGGCUAGCAGGGCCUUCGAGGUGAUAGGCAGCAUAAGUAACCUUGUCAGCUUCGGCUACGUUGGCAGAAGAUAGCUUGUGGGUGAUGCUGCGAAGCCAGUCAUCCGCGUCGAGGGGCUCGACGGAAUGGUUAAACUUUGGUGGGUACAGCUUGAUGAAGUCAUUGAUUGACACCAAGUCAUUUCGUGGGUGGCGUGCAGUGUUCUGCUCAAUCCGCUCCAGCAGACGGUUAGUCUCAUGCUUGUUUCUUUCCGCCUCCAGCAUUACUUCGGCCAGAGAAGGCGGGUGAGGCAGAUUUUCACCUCUAGCUGCACUGGCUUCCCCCUGCUCCGGGGCAGCAGGGUUGCUGCGGGUGUUGACCAUCCUAGGAGAAAACAAGACAACGGUUUAGACAAGGAUGGCUCAACUUAGCAAGGAAGUGCAGAAUGUAAUGGAUAACACAGAAUGCAGAGAUGUUCAUCCGUAUGUCAUGGUAAUAUAAAACUGCCAUAUAUAUACCAACGGUCAUACACAUCAUACAUAGUUUAGUACAAGCCCAUGCUACAGUACAACUAUGAUGAGAGACGUUACAUCUCAUCGGAGGCAUUCCAAGCUCCUAUACAUUAUUUUUCUACACCUCCGGAAUCGAUUACACGCAAAGUCAUAUUCCACAAGUCACACAGGACAGUGGAGAUACAACUACUACAAUACUAGUGGUACUACUACUAUCUCAGACAGCUCCGUAGUAGUUCUCAUAGAAGUCACCUCCAUAGCCUGGAAGUUCAACGUGAUCAUCCGGAAACAGACGGUCCUGAGGAGGCUGUGGACCAUAGGGGCUAGGAUGAGGUCUUGGACCAACAAACGGUGGCCUGCGGGGACCACGGGGUGGGGUGAUGCCUCCCACAUCACGCCAAUCCACCAUGUCUGGCAGAGCUGAUCUCACAGGAUACAGAUCCCUUGUAUCCAUACAUCCAGCUUGCACCGCAGGUGCAAACCGAGUCAAUGUGGCCCAAUGAUCAGCACGGGUAUUGAAAAGCUCCAGCCUCAAGGCCCGAUUCUCUCGGUCCUUAUCUUCGAGCAUCUCAGCAGUGGUACGAGUUAAUGAGUCCUCCUGAGUGGAGUCAGCAUAAAUAGCCUGAAGAUACCCUUGCGCUCCCGGAAGUGAAGCUGACAUGUAACGGAAGUCGGUGUUCCAAAGCAGGCCAGUCCGGAUUCGCAUGAUGGUCAUCAUGGAAUAGGCAGCAUCCUGCAUAGCCAUCUCAACAGUAACCCCGAGUCCAUAGGAACAGUGAAGGGGCUCGGUAGAUCCAGGAUAAGAAGGAAAUAUCCUGACGGUGCAGAAAUACUGGCUUUGAUUAAAGUCGCGGAACUGCUCUUCGAUAGUGUAUUCGGGAUACCAACGGUAACCCGUCUCGAUCAUGACCCGGACUAACAUAGCAGUAUGACCGGGCACGUCGAGGCACCUGGUCAGGCGAACCACUUGGUUUUGAACACGGUUGGCCAUCUGAAAGCACAACCAAAAUGCAAAGACAUUAGAAUUUCUAGGGAAAAUUGGACAGCAUAACGGCUGUAAAUGCUCAGAAAAAGAUUUGAGACAUCCACAACGGUUCACAAUACCACUCAACAACAUCAUAUCAAGGUUCUGAUUCAAUUAGCAACAUACCAAGAAUAGUAGAAACUGAACUGGGACUUGUAACAACAAUCCUAUAAGCUACUACGGAUUAGUAACACGUGAACCUGAUAGAAGAAGAGAGCCUAGUCCUUAACCCACGUUGAAUGAGGAGAGAAUGACUCAGAUUAGAGGCAUAGGUAAAGGAGUAAAAGAACCUUACGUUCCCUUCCACAAUCAAUUCCCCUACAUAUAAAUGAAGCAUUUCUAGACUCGACAUCGACCAGUUUGGCUCAACGAACCUACAAGCAGUCUGGCUCUGAUGCCAACGCUGUCAGGACCCCGAUUCCAAGUCACAUCGAUCUAGCCGGUAACACCUCAUAUCACUUUGCGGCCUCACGCACGGUAUCCCACGGGUGUCGCCUUACCAUGGCCUGGGACCGUUUGCGCCUUUUGGCUCACAGAUAUGAUAGUGUCGCUAGCAUCCAUAUGACAGAGAACCCGGGCCGACAUGGCUAGUCAUGAACCCAAAGUGGCACAAACCUAUGGAGACAGGCAUACAUGAAUCACAUCGAGCAUGUCGGUCAUCAACGAGUGAUUCCGGGCUGUAGCACUGGGCUAACAGGACUCCGGGGAUCCCGGGCUGUAGCAGGCUAGGCAGGACUCCGGAAGUCACUGUGUGACAUUUCCCCUAAGGGACAGACAUAGGAACAAAGUGAAACACAUGCCGGCCAGUCAAGUGUCCUGAACAGUAGUGUUGGGCUAGCAGGACUCCGGUGAACCGGGCUGUAGCAGACUACUAUGGCUCGAGGAACACUAGACUACAUUUCCCCAUAAGAAAGGCUGCCAAGGAUAAACAACUAGAUUGUCGGAUCCCACUCAUACCAAGCAUUUCAAUCAUACACACAAUAUGCCCGAUAUGAGUACAUACAACAUGGCAUCACAACAAAACUCUACAACUCAAGUACUUUAUUUAAAGGGCUCCAGAGAGCCAUACAUAACAUGUCAUACAGAUAGGGGUCACAUGACCUGACACUCAAGUCAUACAAUCAUACAUGCACAUGCGGAAGCAACUAGUCUAAGUACAGACUCUAAAAAGAAAGAAGGCUUCUCGAAGCCUGUCUAUCUACAUAGGGCCCUCCAUGGCCGGGAUCAACACCUGGGUGGCUAGUCACUCGUCGACGUCAAGGUCUACAUAAAACCCAUCGGAGGGGGCAGUGUUGUCGUCUGAAGACAAUAAAUAAGCAAACAUGAGUACAAAGGUACUCAGCAAGUCUUACAUCAGAACCUACUAUACAUGCUUAUUCUCAAGAAGGAGGUGGGGUUAUUUGCAGCAAGCCAGCUUUGACUCUUGGCUAAGCUAUCCUAUGGAACAUCACCAGUAAAAUAGUUUUCGCACACGAGUCCACUACUCACCAACACAAUACUCCACUGGGGAUCCUCCCUCGUCAUCCUACGAGAGGGCCAUCCUCGGUACUCACACUUAUCUUGAGUCUUUUAGUAGUAUCCAUUAACUUGUCUAUGAACUGUAUAGGCAACCAAGUAGUCUUUUACCGCGGACGUGGCUAUUCAAAUAGUUUUAUACCCUGCAGGGGUGUACUUCGUCACACAUGUUUCCACCACUUAGCGUCUGCACACGACAUGUGCUCGGCGGACUUCAAGCGAAAACCGAUGUGGGUGUAGACCACGACCUGACUAACCUCACAAGUCUCUAGUUCAGGUUUUAUCGCCAAUUCAGGUUCCAUCCACAAGGAAAUCCGGCCGGGGUGUCCUCAACGGCCCCAAACGAUGUGUACAGGGUCCCGAGACGCCAAACGGGCGCCCGGCAUACCCGGCCACAAUGUAUCUACCGCAUCAUAGCCCACCCCUAGGGUCAGCGCUACGCACGGCCGCCAACACAUGUCCUACAAACACCAGAAACUAGUUGCAACUCCUGAACAGAGGCGAGAGGGGUCAGUAAGUCGAGCGGGGUCAUAUUUCAGGGCCCAAUGUGUGGUAGUAGCUGAAUCUUAAAUCACGCAUACAGAUCUCAGUUCUUAGGGACGGCCUCAAUGAAACAACCCACCAUGUACUCCUACAUGGCCUCUCAUCGAUACCUUUACCAAAACAUGUUCAACACAUCUCUCACAUUACCGGCAUAAGCAUUUCACUCUAGCCCAUCACCCAGAUGAACCAGACCUGACACAACUCUAAGCAUAGCAGGCAUAGCAAGGUAGGAAUCACAAAACAUGGCUCAAACAACUCCUACACAUGCUAGUGGGUUUCAUCUAGUUACUGUGGCAAUGACAGGUCAUGCAGAGGAUAAGGGUUCAACUACCGUAGCACAUAGCAGUUUGAAUCGCGUUGUCUUAAUGCAGUAAAUUAGAGCAGAAGCGAGAACAUGGGUUUGUAUCGGAAUGAUCAAUGGUUGCUUGCCUGAUGGAGUGGUAGCGGGAUACUGCCCUUCAGUUGGAUACUCGUGAAUAUCCUCGGAGGCAGAACCUACCACGGAGAACACAUCGGAACACAAUCAACACACGACAAUAUGCAACAAUAUGAUGCAUGCUAUGACAUGGCAAUAUGAUUGUGUCUUGGCCUAAUGCAAACUAAAAUAGAAAGGGAUGAACUCAUUUGAAUCAAAGAUUCAAAUAUUAGCUCAUUAAACAUGGCAUUUAUAGUGCAUUACCUUAUUCUGCCUAAACAGCAAGGUAAACUUGUUUUUUCAUGCAUGAAACCAUUACAGAUGGAUAGAUUUAAUUUUUCUGAUAAUUUUUCAUAUAUAAUUUAUCUCAUUUGGAGCUAUGGUUGAAUUUCUAUGAAUUUUUGAAGUUUGAACUAUUUUCUGGAAUUUCCUGUAUAAAAAUAAAUCCAAAAAAUCAAUUACGGCGUCAGCAAUGCGUCAGGGUGACGUCAGCAGGUCAAAGGCGCCAGCCAGGUCAAACCUGACUGGUGGGCCCCUUUUGUCAGCCUCUCAGUGCACUAACUACGUUUAGUUAGCCUAAUUACUGGGCAGGGCCCACUAGUCAGUGGCUAUACUAAUUAAACUAACCUAUUUAGUUAGCACUAACAGGGUAAUUAGUCGGGCGGGGCCCGCAUCUCGGUGAGAGAGAGGGGGGGAGGUCAACCCACGUCAGCAGGUCAACCUCGCCGGUCAGCGGGUCAAAGCCUGCCGGCGUUUAGCCGCCGGCGAGGCCAGACGCGGAGGCGCGCUGCGGAAAUCGCCCACAGGGCACCAUUUGGUGCGCGGAGAGCAGCUACGGGUAGCUGGGAAUGAACCGCGGCGUUUGGUAGUGGUGGUUGGGCUCGGGGUGGCCGGAAACGUCGCCGGCGACGAGCUUUGCGGUCGCCGGAGUCGGGUGAAAGUGAGCCCGAGGCUACGGGGCACGGCGAGGCGUGUGGUGAGGUGCGUUGUGCCCCUAGGGAUGCGGUGGAGUGGUUAGACUAGGUGGCGUGGCCGGAGUUUGGCCGGAGACACGUCGGCGACGAGCUCCACGGCGGCGCGUGCGGGUGAGCUUCGUGUGCUCGUUGUGGUGCACGAUAAGGAGAGCGGAGAGGAUGGGGAGGUGCAGCAGCUCACGGCGGUCACGUAGAAGCAGACGGCGCAGUCGGGGACGAGCCGGAGCAAGCUGGGCGGCGGAGGCGAUCUGGGCAGCCCGAGGUUGAAGACAAGCUUGGCGGAGUCGUUUGCAGGCCUCCGGCGGGGCGUUGCUUGGUGGAGCGGUCGAGGAGGAAGUGGUGGAGCUUCAGGACACGGUGGAGCAACACGGGGACGACGGUGGACGGGGUUUCACGGUGGCGCGAGCUCGGCAGCGUCGGCCAUGGCGGAGAAAGAGCGAGAGAGAGGAACCAGGGGGGAAGUGCGGUGUCUGCGAGGUCGGGGGAUGCAUGGGAGUUUAUCCCACGUCGACAGGUCGACGAGGGGAGCGGCGAGGCGGCGGCAGCUGCGUGGCGCGCAUGCGGUGCUCGCCGUCGAGCACCUGCCUGCUUGCCAAGCCAAGCUGCUCGCUGGCGCGGUGGCUGGGCUGGGCCGGCAGGUGGGCCUGGUGGGUGGCGCCAGGUAAGUUUUUCUGUUUCUAUUUUUCUUUUUCUAUUUUUUUCUGUAGCUUUAGGGCUUUAUUUAAAAUACCUAGGCACUUUCUAAAAUUCUGAAAAUAAUUGUGGGCUCUGUUGGGAUUAUUCCUAACAGAAAACAUUUACUUCCAGAAUUAUUUGAACAUUUAAAAUAUUUAUUAGCAUUUAAAUGUCCAAAGGCAACAUACAUAUGAUUUAAUCCAGUGACCUUUUGUUGACCUAGAAAAUUGUGCACCUAUUUUGCCAGAGGUUCUAACCCAAGGCAAAGAGGGUGAACAUUUUAGAAGGGCAUUUCAGGUUCAUUGAAAAUAUUUUUAGUAAACCCUAGUUGAUUUCAAGAGGGGUGCUGGGGGUUCUGCCUUUCCCAUUUCAAGUUUCUGAUGAAAAGUAAACAUGAUGCACACUCUAAUGCAUGGACUAGCUAGGGUGUGAGAUUGCUGCAUCAUCCCUUCCUCUUCGGGGAAAACCAACGCAGUGCUAAAAGAGGUAGCAAGAAGGAUUUCUAGCGCCGUUGCCGGGGAGGUCUACGCAAAAGUCAACAUACCAAGUACCCAUCACAUACCCUCAUCUCCCGCAUUACAUUAUUUUCCAUUUGCCUCUCGUUUUCCUCUCCCCCCAAUUCACCCUUGCCAUUUUAUUCGCCCUCUCUCUCUAUCCUCCCUCUCUAUUUGCCCUUUUUGUCCGCUUGCUUUUUGUUUGCUUGUGUGUUAGUUUGCUUGUUUGUCGCGAUGGCUCAAGAUAAUACUAAAUUGUGUGACUUCACCAAUACCAACAACAAUGAUUUUAUUAGCACUCCAAUUGCUCCUCUUACCGAUGCUGAAUCUUGUGAAAUUAAUACUGCUUUGCUGAAUCUUGUCAUGAAAGAUCCGUUCUCCGGCCUUCCUAGUGAAGACGCCGCUACCCAUCUAAAUAGCUUCGUUGAUUUGUGUGACAUGCAAAAGAAGAAAGAUGUGGAUAAUGAUAUUGUUAAAUUGAAGCUAUUUCCUUUUUCGCUUAGAGAUCCUGCUAAAGCUUGGUUUUCGUCUUUGCCUAAAAAUAGUAUUGAUUCAUGGAACAAGUGCAAAGAUGCUUUUAUCUCUAAGUAUUUUCCUCUCGCUAAAAUCAUCUCUCUUAGAAACGAUAUUAUGAACUUUAAGCAACUUGAUCAUGAACAUGUUGCACAAGCUUGGGAGAGAAUGAAAUUAAUGAUACGUAAUUGCCCUACUCAUGGUUUAAAUGUGUGGAUGAUUAUACAAAUUUUUUAUGCCUGAUUGAAUUUUUCUUCUAGAGAUCUUUUGGAUUCGGCCGCGGGAGGCACUUUUAUGGAAAUCACUUUAGGAGAAGCUACUAAACUCCUAGAUAAUAUUAUGGUUAAUUAUUCUCAAUGGCACACUGAAAGAUCUACUAAUAAAAAGGUGCAUGCGAUAGAAGAAAAUAAUGUUUUGAGUGGAAAGAUGGAUGAACUUAUGAAAUUAUUUGCUAAUAAGAGUGUUUCUUCAGAUCCUAAUGAUAUGCCCUUGUCUACUUUGAUUGAGAAUAAUAAUGAAUCUAUGGAUGUGAAUUUUGUUGGUAGGAACAAUUUUGGUAACACCGCAUAUAGAGGAAAUUUCAAUCCUAGGCCUUAUCCUAGUAAUCCCUCUAAUAAUUAUGGUAAUUCCUACAACAAUUCUUAUGGAAAUUAUAAUAAGAUGCCCUCUGAUUUUGAUUCUAAUAUUAAAGAAUUUAUUACUUCAUAAAAGAAUUUUAAUGCUAUCAUUGAAGAAAAAUUGCUUAAGAUUGAUGAUUUGGCUAGGAACGUUGAUAGAAUUGCUCUUGAUGUUGAUUCUUUGAAACUUAGAUCUAUUCCACCUAAGCAUGAUAUCAAUGAGUCUCUCAAAGCCAUGAGAAUUUCCAUUUACAAGUGCAAAUAAAGAACCGCUAGGAUGCGUGCUAAGAAAGAUGCCUUUAUAAAAGCGUGUUCUUCUAGUUCCUAUGAAAAUAAUGAUGAAGAUCUAAAAGUUAUUGAUGUGUCCCCUAUUAAAUCUUUGUUUUGCAAUAUGAAUAUUGAUAAUGAUGGGACUGAAUAUGAUCCACCUUUACCUAGAAGGCGUUCUAAGAAUUCGGAAUUUGUUGAUCUUGAUGCUAAAUUUGAUUAAAGUGGGAUUGAAGAAAUUAAAACCCUAGAUGUUGCUAAACCCACCAUUAUGGAUUUCAAGGAAUUUAACUAUGAAAAUUGCUCUUUAAUUGAUUGAAUUUCCUUAUUGCAAUUUGUGCUAAAUUCUCCUCAUGCUUAUAGUCAAAAUAAAGCGUUUACUAAACAUAUCGUUGAUGCCUUGAUGCAAUCUUAUGAAGAAAAACUUGAAUUGGAAGUUUCUAUCCCUAGAAAACUUUAUGAUGAGUGGGAACCAAUUAUUAAAAUUAAAAUUAAAGAUCAUGAAUGCUAUGCUUUAUGUGAUUUGGGUGCUAGUGUUUCCAUGAUUCCAAAGACUUUGUGUGAUUUGUUAGGUUUCCGUGAUUUUGAUGAUUGCUCUCUAAACUUGCACCUUGCGGAUUCCACUAUUAAGAAACCUAUGGGAAGAAUUAAUGAUGUUCUUAUUGUUGCAAAUAGGAAUUAUGUGCCCGUAGAUUUUAUUGUUCUUGACAUAGAUUACAAUCCUUCAUGUCCUAUUAUUCUUGGUAUACCUUUCCUUAGAACGAUUGGUGCAAUUAUUGAUAUGAAGGAAGGAAAUAUUAGAUUCCAAUUUCCGUUAAGGAAAGGCAUGGAACACUUUCCUAGGAAGAAAAUUAAAUUACCUUAUGAAUCUAUUAUGAGAGCCACUUAUGGAUUGCCUACCAAAGAUGGCAAUACCUAGAUCUAUUCUUGCUUGUUAUGCCUAGCUAGUGGCGUUAAACGAUAGCGCUUGUUGGGGAGCAACCCAAUUUUAUUUUUAUUCCUUGCUUUUUGCUCCUGCUUAGUAAUAAAUAAAUUAUUUAGCCUCUUUUUUGGUUGUGUUUUUUGUGUUUAACUAGUGUUUGUGCCAAGUAGAACCGUUGGGAAGACUUGGGGAAAGUCUUGUUGAACUUGCUGUAAAAAACAGAAACUUUAGCGCUCACGAGAACUACUAUCAUUUUUAUUUGGGAAGUGAUAUUUAGUUAAUUCUUUUUGAAGAUGAUUAAUAGAUAAAUUCCUCACGCCAGAAAUUUAUUUUAGAAUUUUUGGGGUUCCAGAUCUUGCGCUAGCUACAGAUUACUACAGACUGUUCUGUUUUUGACAGAUUCUGUUUUUCGUGUGUUGUUUGCUUAUUUUGAUGAAUCUAUGGCUAGUAAAUUAUUUUAUAAACCAUAGAUAAGUUGGAAUACAGUAGGUAUAACACCCAUACAAAUAAUUAAUGAGUUAAUUACAUUACCUUGAAGUGGUCUUUUGUUUUCUUUCGCUAACGGAGCUCACGAGAUUUUCUACUUUAAGUUUUGUGUUGUGAAGUUUUCAAGUUUUGGGUAAAGAUUUGAUGGAUUAUGGAACAAGGAGUGGCAAGAGACUAAGCUUGGGGAUGCCCAUGUAACCCCCAAGAUAAUCUAAGGACACCUAAAAGCCAAAGCUUGGGGAUGCCCCGGAAGGCAUCCCCUCUUUCGUUUACUUCUAUCGGUAACUUUACUUGGAGCUAUAUUUUUAUUUACCACAUGAUAUGUGUUUUGCUUGGAGCGUCUUGUAUUAUUUGAUUCUUUGCUUAUUAUUUUACCACAAUCAUCCUUGCUGUACACACCUUUUGAGAGAGCCAUAUAUGAUUUGGAAUUUGUUAGAAUACUCUAUGUGCUUCGCUUAUAUCUUUUGAGUUAUAUAAUUUUACUCUAGUGCUUCACUUAUAUCUUUUAGAGCACGGUGGUGGAUUUGUUUUAUAGAAACUAUUGAUCUCUCAUGCUUCACUUAGAUUAUUUUGAGAGUCUUAAAUAGCAUGGUAAUUUGCUUAAAAUCCUAAUAUGCUUGGUAUGCAAGAUUAAUAAUAAAAAUUCUCUUAUGAGUGUGUUGAAUACUAUGAUAAGUUUGAUACUUGAUAAUUGUUUUGAGACAUGGAGAUGGUGAUAUCAAAGUCAUGCUAGUUGAGUAGUUGUGAAUUUGAGAAAUACUUGUGUUGAAGCUUGUGAUUCCCGUAGCAUGCACGUAUGGUGAACCAUUAUGUGAUGAAGUCGGAGCAUGAUUUAUUUAAUUAUUGUCUUCCUUAUGAGUGGCGGUCCGGGGCGAGUGAUGGUCUUUUCCUACCAAUCUAUCCCCCUAGGAGCAUGCGCGUAAUACUUUGCUUUGAUAACCUGUAGAUUUUUGCAAUAAGUAUAUGAGUUCUUUAUGACUAAUGUUGUGUCCAUGGAUUAUACGCACUCUCACCCUUCCACCUUUGCUAGCCUCUCCAAUACCGCGCACCUUUCGCCGGUAUCAUACACCUACCAUAUACCUUCCUCAAAACAGCCACCAUACCUACCUAUUAUGGCAUUUCCAUAGCCAUUCCGAGAUAUAUUGCCAUGCAACUUUCCACCGUUCCGUUUAUGACACAUUCCAUCAUUGUCAUAUUGCUUAGCAUGAUCAUGUAGUUGACAUAGUAUUCGUGGCAAAGCCACCGUUCAUAAUUCUUUCUUUUCACUCAUGCAUCAUUGCAUAUCCCGGUACACCGCCGAAGGCAUUCAUAUAGAGUCAUAUCUUGUUCUAAGUAUCGAGUUGUAAUUAUUGAGUUGUAAGAAAAAUAAAAGUGCGAUGAUCCUAAUUAUUAGAGCAUUGUCCCAAGUGAGGAAAGGAUGAUGUAGACUAUGAUUCCCCCACAAGUCGGGAUGAGACUCUGGACGAAAAGAAGAGAAAGAAAAGAGGCCAUAAAAAGAGAAAAGGCCCAAAUCAAAAAAAAUGAGAGAAAAAGAGAGAAGGGACAUUGUUACUAUCCUUUUACCACACUUGUGCUUCAAAGUAGCACCAUGAUCUUCAUAGUAGAGAGUCUCUCAUGUUAUCACUUUCAUAUACUAGUGGGGAUUUUUCAUUAUAGAACUUGGCUUGUAUAUUCCAAUGAUGGGCUUCUGAAAGUGCAACUAUCCCUAGGUGGUUUUGGUAAUUCAUAACAACAUAUAGCUCAUUGAGCUAAUGCUAUUCCAAGAUGACUAUUUCAGGAAAGCUCAAUGAUUGGCAUGGCAUGGAUGUGAAAGUGGAACCCUCAAAAUGCUAAGGACAAAGGAUUGGCUCAAUCUCAAAAGCUCAAGACUCUUCAUUUUAUAUUUUAGUGAUCCAAGAUCACAUUGAGUCCUUAGGAAAAGCCAAUACUAUCAAGGAGGGAUGAGGUGUUGCUUAAUGAGCCUCUUGCUUCAUGUGCUUAGUGAUAUGCUCCGUAACCCUCAACUACUUUCCCAUAUCCACAUAUGACCUAAACCCUAAGCCAAACUCGGUCCUUCCCGAUUCUUUCUAUCCGGCGCCACCGAGUUUCACUUGUCAUAAGCCACUGCCAAACCCUAGCAAUUCGGUUCUACCGAUAGGGAUCUCGGUCUCACCGAGAUGGGAUUGCAAACUCUCUGUUUCCCUUUCGUAACUUUUCGGUCUCACCGAAAGAGCGAAUCGGUCCCAUCGAGAUUGCAAUGUAAACUCUUUGUUUCCCUUUUGUAACUUUUCGGUCUCACCGAAAGAGCAAAUCGGUCCCACUGAGUUUGCCUGGCCAACUCUCUGUUUAGCUUAUUACCAAACUCGGUCUCACCGAGUUUGUGUAAUCGGUCUCACCGAGAUUACGUUAUGCCCAAACCCUAACCAUAUCGGUCCUACCGAGUUGCAUGUCAGUCCCACCGAAAAUCUCUAACGGUCACUAGGUUUACCUUUUUGGUCCGACCGAGUUUGUUGAUUCGGUCCCACCGAGAUUGGAAAAAUGUGUGUAACGGUUGGAUUUUGUGUGGAGGCUAUAUAUACCCCUCCACCCCCUCUUCAUUCGUGGAGAGAGCCAUCAGAACACAUACACAAUUCCAACUCAUAUGUUCUGAGAGAGAACCACCUACUCAUGUGUUGAGACCAAGAUAUUCCAUUCCUACCAUAUGAAUCUUGAUCUCUAGCCUUCCCCAAGUUGCUUUCCACUCAAAUCUUCUUUCCACAAAAUCCAAAUCCUAUGAGAGAGAGUUGAGUGUUGGGGAGACUAUCAUUUGAAGCACAAGAGCAAGGAGUUCAUCAUCAACACACCAUUUGUUACUUCUUGGAGAGUGGUGUCUCCUAGAUUGGCUAGGUGUCACUUGGGAGCCUCCGACAAGAUUGUGGAGUUGAACCAAGGAGUUUGUAAGGGCAAGGAGAUCGCCUACUUCGUGAAGAUCUACUAGUGAGGCAAGUCCUUCGUGGGCGAUGGCCAUGGUGGGAUAGACAAGGUUGCUUCUUCGUGGACCCUUCGUGGGUGGUUGCUUCUUCGUGGACCCUUCGUGGGUGGUUGCUUCUUCGUGGACCAUUCGUGGGUGGAGCCCUCCGUGGACUCGCGCAACCAUUACCCUUUGUGGGUGGAGCCCUCCGUGGACUCGCGCAACUGUUACCCUUCGUGGGUUGAAGUCUCCAUCAACGUGGAUGUAGGAUAGCACCACCUAUCCGAACCACGGGAAAAACAUCCGUGUCUCCAAUUGCGUUUGAAUUCUCCAAACCCUUCCCUUUACAUUCUUGCAAGUUGCAUGCUUUACUUUCCGCUGCCAAUAUACUCUUUGCAUGCUUGCUUGAAUUGUGUGAUGAUUGCUUGACUUGUCCUACAAUAGCUAAAAUCUGCCAAGAACUAAAAUUGGGAAAAUGUUAAGUUUUUAUUUGGUCAAGUAGUCUAAUCACCCCCUCUAGACAUACUUUCGAUCCUACAAGUGGUAUCAGAGCUUUGGUCUCCAUUUGCUUUGAUCUCCAUAGCUUUUGGUGGUCAUAGCCUUGGUUUCACAACCUAGGAGAGUAUGGCGUCUAGCGAGGGAAAUUAUCACCAUAGAGGUCCUUACUUUGAUGGUACUAAUUUUGCUAGUUGGAAGCAUAAAAUGAAAAUGCAUAUUCUUGGACAUAACCCCGCCAUUUGGGCUAUUGUGUGUGUUGGUUUGCAAGGUGACUUCUUUGAUGGGAAAGAACCAAACCGUGAAGCUACUGCGGAUGAGUUGAAGAUGUUGCAAUACAAUGCUCAAGCUUGUGAUAUUCUCUUCAACGGAUUGUGCCCCGAAGAAUUCAACAAAAUCAGCCGUCUUGAGAAUGCAAAGGAAAUUUGGGACACUUUGAUUGAUAUGCGCGAAGGUACCGACUCCGUCAAGGAAUCCAAGUUGGAUGUGCUUCAAAGUCAACUUGACAAGUUCAAAAUGAAGGAUGGUGAAGGUGUCGCUGAAAUGUACUCUAGGCUUGCUCUCAUCACAAAUGAGAUUGCCGGCUUAGGAAGUGAAGAGAUGACCGAUAGAUUCAUCAUCAAGAAGAUUCUAAGAGCCUUGGAUGGAAAAUAUGAUACCAUGUGCACAUUCAUCCAAAUGAUGCCCAAUUACAAAGAUCUCAAGCCAACGGAGGUGAUUGGAAGAAUUGUUGCUCAUGAGAUGUCACUUAAGGAUAAAGAGGAACUUCACAACAAAUCAAGUGGUGCCUACAAAGCCUCAUGUGAAGCCCCUACAUCAUCAAGUGAGAAACAAAACUUCAAUGAAGAAUUGAGCUUAAUGGUGAAGAACUUCAACAAGUUCUACAAGAGUAGAAGCAAAGAUAGAAGCUUCAAGUCAAGGUCCUACAAUGACAAAAGAUCUUCUAGUCGAGAGCGAAACUGCUACAGUUGUGGAAGACCUAGACACUAUUCCAAUGAGUGUACGGCUCCCUACAAGAGAAGAGAAGAUUCUCCAAAAAGAAGAAGCAAAGAAUCACCACCAAGAGAGAGGAGUAGAGAUGAUCGUUAUGAACGAAGAUACUCACGGAGAAGCAAGGAUUCGGAAAGGAAGGAAAAAUCAUCAAGGAGCUACACAAAACGAAGACAUCAAGCUCAUGUUGGUGAAUGGGUAUCCGGCUCCGACUCCGACAGCCACUCCGAGAGAAGUUAUCACUCCGACUCCGAAGAUACUCAAGAUGAAGGUGUUGCCGGUCUAGCACUUGUGUCAACCAACUCCUACGACAUAUUUGACUCACCAAAUGAAGGAAUUGGAAGAUGCUUCAUGGCCAAAGGUCCUAAGGUAACACACCCCGAGUAUGUUGAUUUCAAUAGUGAUGAAGAUGACUUGUUAGGUGAUGAUUUGCUUGUUGACAACUCUAGUGAUGAAUACUAUGAUGAAACAUCAAUUAAUCAUGCUAAUCAAGAUAAAACGAAUGACAAUGAUAAGGAGAAGAUUGAGGCUCUAACUAAAGAACUAAACACUCUUAAGUUAGAUCAUGAAACUAUCUUCGAAGAUCAUCGAGAACUUUUAAGAGCUCAUGAGAAAUUACGCUUUGAAAAGCUCAAUCUUGAGCAAGAGCAUGAGUUCUUAAAAGCAAUCAAUGAUGAUCUCCGCAAGAAAAGUUCUUCUUACAUUGCCAAGCGUUUACUCUUAUCCACUUACAUGCCUCAAGUCAAGUCUAGUAACAAGAACAAGAAAGAUUCUUCCUCUAGCAGUAACAAUGAUCAUGCUAAAUCCAAUAUUGUUGCUUCUAGUAGUUCUCUUGAUUCCACUAAUGAUUCUCUUAGCCAAGUUACACUUGAGCAAGAAAAUAGCUUAUUGAAGGGAAUUAAAUAGCUUAUUGAAGGGAAUUAUAGAGAAAGGAGUGUACAAAAGCCUUGCCGGGAGUAAGCAAUUCGAGGAAAUUGUGCGCAAGCAAGGAAUGCACUGGAAGAAUCAAGAUGUUGGUUUUGAACGAAAGUUCAAUGCCAAUGGAGUUGAGUGGGAAGAAGAUCAAUACCCCAAGACGAAGUUUGUUCCUCAACAAGAGAGGUAUGAUACUUCUUUCAAGGGGACACAAGCUCAAGAUGAUCUUCCACCACAAGACUACAAGCAAAAAGGCAAGGACAAGCUUCAAGAGGAAAUUGAUGCAUUUGAAGAAGCUCCUAAGACCUUAGUCAAGUGGAUUCCCAAGACUACUUCAAGUUCCACUUCAUCAAGUAUGACUACAACUCCAAGGAUUCCCAUCAAGAUGGUGUGGAUCCAAAAGAAGAAGAACUAGAGAGUUCUUGAGGGUGACUCCGCCAACAUACUUCACUCUUAUCAUUUUGGCAAGAACAAGUGCAAUCAACUUCCACAUCUUGCACUAGUUCAAGGAGUCACAAACCUUCUUGUUGGUAAGACAAGGGACAAGGUAACCUAAAAGUUUUCAUGGACAUCAUCUUGUGUGCGCAUCACUCUAUGUCUAUGGAUAUCCUUGUUUGUUCCUUGUGGGACUAACCCAUGUAGGUAUUGAAAGUGCAAUUCACUCAAAUGGAUAGCUCCAAGUGAUCUACAUCAACAUUGAGCAUCCACAUCUUCAACAUCUACAUGAAGUCAUCAUCGACAAAACCCGAGGUUAGUUCAUCCCUCUAAGGGGGGAUAUCACAUAUAGGGGGAGCUUUACUCUAAGACUUGAGCUAAAGCAACUCUAAAGAUGUGAACACAACAAUGCUUUAUGUAAAAGUGGUAACCCCACUUGAGCUUAAACGAUGAGUAUGACCUAUGAUCAAGUGUUCUCACUUGACUCCUAAGUCAAUAUACUCAUAUAUAGAUGACCUUGUCAUCGCAAAUUGCUUGAUAGAUGCUAGAAUUGGUUAUGCAUGCCUUGUCACAUAUUUCAUUUGCCAUCUUAUUGUGUGAGCAUGCUGGUUGCAUAUUUUACUCAUUCGAGGACAUCCACUUGUUGUUUUGAUUGUUUGGUUUUAUUUCCUUUUGCCAAGUGGAUGGACAAGAAUGCCUAAGAACCUCCUCUAGCUAUCUAUGCUUUUCUCGUCUCAAACUCUAUUCAUGCUACAUCACAAAAUUUGAUCAAGUCAGAUUCGAACCACUCUGUGUGAGGAGCGCUCGGAGUCCCCGAUUCGUCAUAGACUUAAACUUCCAAAACCUCUUUAUGAUUCUCGGUCUGAUCGAUACCGUACUUUCGGUCCUACCAAGAUCAUUAAGUUGAUCUAGGUUUUCGAUCUCGGUGCAACCGAUUUGAACCAUUCGGUUACACCGAGUUGCAACAACUGUAUACAGUUUUGCAUCUCGGUGCCACCGAGUUGUUCCACUCGGUCACACCGACAGGGUCGGGCUAUAUAUAGUCACGGGCAAAAAUUUGGAAAUUUCUCCGAACCCCUUCGCCCGUGUGAUAGCCUGCUCUGCCAACUUGGUCUCCGGAUCGUCUCCUUGCCGCCAGCCACCUCCAGUCGCUGGUCUCCGUCGUCGUCAACGGAAAUUCAACCCCGCCAUUGCCUCCGUAGCGAGUCUCCGCCGAACUAGGGUAUGGACUCGAUCUUUGUGCUAUUCCCCAAUCCGAUUCUUAGCACAUUGUGAUCAUCAUGAUUCUUGCCACGGUUGAAACACUCCUAUCCAGUCAAUGCGUUUGUAGAUUAGUUUUGAUUCAAAAAUUUUAGGGUUAGGUUUCCGCUGAAACCAUCUCGGACCCACCGAGUUGAAAAACUCGGUCCCACCGAUUUGGCUCAUGCCAUUGCACAAGUGAGACUCGCUCUGACCGAGAAUUACUUAUCGGUGUGACCGAUUUUGGAACUUUGUGAAACCCUAGCAGUCUCGGUGCCACCGAACUGUGACUCGGUCUGACCGAGUUCACUAGUUUAGGUUCCAAAACUACUUCGGUAUCACCGAGUUUAAAAAUCGGUAGAUCCGAGAUGAUUUCAGUGGGAAACUAAAACUAAGAUUUUGAAUCAUUCUUUUGCAAAAAUCUUUGCAUUUUGUGAUGCUCAUCCACUCUACCUCAUCUAUAAACUAUUCACAGGGUCAGCAGUCAGCUUGUUCAUCAUGUCAGACCAAAGUGAUAGCCAGAACAUGUCAGAACAGCCAGUGCAGAUGAGUGAGGGCACUAGUCCCUCAAGUUCUUCAGAUGAAGGCAGCAGGAGCACCCCUAGCAAUCUGCCUAAAGCUGCCACCAGAUAGAGGAAGAAGAGAACCUCAGAAUCAGAGGAUGAGGACUAUGUGGCAGAAGAGGAAGCAACUUCAAAGAGAGUAGUGCUCGAGAAGGAACAUGGCUCAGCUCAAGGCACAAAGCCAGGCUUGAAAGUCAAAAGGCCAGCAGGUAGGCAGCCUAUGCCAAAGGCCAGAGCUUCAACUCAGAUUCCUGAAAAGCCUACACCCAAAGAGCCAGUUGCUGCUGAAGGAAAGAAAAGGAAGGAAAGAGUCAAGAAGACCGUAGCCAGAGUGCUUGGAAAGGCUUCCAUCAUGGAAGAACAGGAAGAAGAAGACGUUGCUGCACCAGCACCUAAGGCACCCAAGCUAAUGGGUGAUGCUAUCAAAUCAGGGGCUACUGCAUCUAAGCCCAAGGAAGCACCCAAGGCUGCAUCAAAGGUCAAGACAGCUCCAAAGAGAAAUACGAGGAGCAUACCUGCAACUGAAAAGAACAAGGCCCCAGUGCCUGAAGCUGUUGAAGAAGAUGAUGAAGAGAAUGUUCUUAGAAAGCUCAAGCCCAAGAUCCCAGACCACAAUGAUGCUCAUCCUGUGGCUGAGGACAUGAAGCUCAGAAGAGACUCAGGGCUGAGGAAGUGGAGAGAAGCAGACCCGUAUGCUUCAAGGAGAAGAACUGCUAUUGACUACAGGUUCCACACUAAGGAACAACAAGACUUCUAUGAGACAGUUUUGCUUGAUAAGAAGCCCAUUGUUUGUGACAUGAGAUGGGUCGACCGGACCUACAUGAAGGAAAACAAAGAGCACUAUCCUGGAGUGCAAGACAGCUUCAAUGCUUGUGGAGUAGCAGACUUUGUUGGGCAGAAGCUCACAAAGUGGAACGAGGAACUUAUUAUGCAAUUCUACUCCACGGCACACUUCUAUCCAGAUGGUAGGAUAACUUGGAUGUCUGAAGGUACGAGGUACCAAUCAACUGUUGAGGAAUGGGCAAAGUUGAUCAAUGCCCCAGAGGAAAAUGAAGAUGACUUGGAUGUCUAUGCCAAGAAAAAGAUGGAUCAUAACUCAAUGGCAAAUAUGUACAAGGAGAUUCCAGUAGAUGAUCUUGACACUCACCAGCUUGGGUCCGUAAAACACUUGUUGUCAGGACUGCCUACGAUCAACUGGAUCCUUAGGCACACACUCUUGCCCAAGUCUGGAGAUCACAGAAUGAUCAGAGGUCAUGCCAUUAACUUGCUACAUAUAUUUGAUGUGCCUCAGAAAUUCAAGGUCAUGAGCCUCAUAGUAGAAACUAUCAAGAGGACUGCAGCAGAUCAGAAGAGGAGCUGUGGUUAUGCCCCUCAGAUUCAGGAGUUAAUCAACUCCAAGAUGGGCACAGGCAUAUACUUAUUGGACAAGGAACACCUGCCCAUCCGUCCAGAUUUUGAAGAUAAUCAAGUUGUCAUGAAUGAGAAUGAACCAUCAUCAGCUCAAGCUCAAGCAAAGAAGGAGAAGGCAAAGAAGGAGAAAGCUGCCAAGAUGCCAACUCAAGAGGAGGCAUCUGAGUAUUUCUUGAAAACCAAGCAAGAGCAGCUUAGUUACUUGAUUGCAUCCACACUGAGGAUUGAGAAAGGACUAGCCACCCUCACUUAGAAUCAGCAGAGCUUAGAGAGGAUCAUAGAACAAAAGUUCUGUGACAUGGAUGUCAAAGUAACAGAGAUUCAGUCUGCAGUGGAGCAACUUCAAGAUGACAUGCAGGAGAGGAAAGGGAAGACUAAAACUGAUGCAUUUGCCAGAGUGCCAAGAGCUCAAAGAUCACAUGCAGUGCCAGUUGCUGACACCAGAGCCACCACUUCUGCACCAGCUACAGCCUCAGUUCCACCAGCUCCAGCAUCUACUUCAGCCUUAACUCCAACCACGUCUACAGAAGGCUUCGUCCUUGGAGUGAUCCGGACUCCACCACCACCAGAAGAUCAAGCCUGAGCGUCGAUCUAGAACUAUGCAUUUUCUAGGAACUUUUUGGUAACUUGUUGCCAAAGGGGGAGAAAAAUGUAUAGAUCAUAGGCUUCGAGAGAGAGUGUGUUGCUUUUUUCUCUCUUGUUUUAUUUGGUGGUUUUUCGAACUUUGUUUGCUUUUGUGUGAGAUACUAUGUCAUUGCUCGUGAGACAUUGAUGAUCAUGUGUUUGAUCAUAAGCUACACUUAAUGUUUGCUUAAUGUUAUCAUCUUAUCUAUCUUAUGUGAUCAUUCACUAUUCUUGGUGAUGAGUGCAUGUAUUUCAUUCUUAUCAUUUUAAGCGCUCCACCAAGAUGUAUGUGACAUGGAAGAGUAACCCAUGACUCUAACUCUUUGUGCAUUUGCAGUCCAAAGCAAAUUUUAAAUAUGCACAAAUUUAGGGGGAGCUCUUACUUGUCACAUACUUCUCAAAGCGACGAUAUAUUUCAUGCUUAUUAUCAUUUGUCGAAGCUUUGAUCUAUAUGUUGUCAUCAAUUACCAAAAAGGGGGAGAUUGAAAGUGCAACUAUCCCUAGGUGGUUUUGGUAAUUCAUAACAACAUAUAGCUCAUUGAGCUAAUGCUAUUACAAGAUGACUAUUUCAGGAAAGCUCAAUGAUUGGCAUGGCAUGGAUGUGAAAGUGGAACCCUCAAAAUGCUAAGGACAAAGGAUUGACUCAAUCUCAAAAGCUCAAGACUCUUCAUUUUAUAUUUUAGUGAUCCAAGAUCACAUUGAGUCCUUAGGAAAAGCCAAUACUAUCAAGGAGGGAUGAGGUGUUGCUUAAUGAGCCUCUUGCUUCAUGUGCUUAGUGAUAUGCUCCAAAACCCUCAACUACUUUCCCAUAUCCACAUAUGACCUAAACCCUAAGCCAAACUCGGUCCUACCGAUUCUUUCUAUCCGGCGCCAUCGAGUUUCACUUGUCAUAAGCCACUGCCAAACCCUAGCAAUUUGGUUCUACCGAUAGGGAUCUCGGUCUCACCGAGAUGGGAUUGCAAACUCUCUGUUUCCCUUUUGCAACUUUUCGGUCUCACCGAAAGAGCGAAUCGGUCCCACCGAGAUUGCAAUGUAAACUCUUUGUUUCCCUUUUGUAACUUUUCGGUCUCACCGAAAGAGCAAAUCGGUCCCACCGAGUUUGCCUGACCAACUCUCUGGUUAGCUUAUUACCAAACUCGGUCUCACCGAGUUUGUGUAAUCGGUCUCACCGAGAUUACGUUAUGCCCAAACCCUAACCAUAUCGGUCCUACCGAGUUGCAUGUCAGUCCCACCGAAAAUCUCUAACGGUCACUAGGUUUACCUUUUUGGUCCGACCGAGUUUGUUGAUUCGGUCCCACCGAGAUUGGAAAACUGUGUGUAACGGUUGGAUUUUGUGUGGAGGCUAUAUAUACCCCUCCACCUCCUCUUCAUUCGUGGAGAGAGCCAUCAGAACACAUACACAAUUCCAACUCAUAUGUUCUGAGAGAGAACCACCUACUCAUGUGUUGAGACCAAGAUAUUCCAUUCCUACCAUAUGAAUCUUGAUCUCUAGCCUUCCCCAAGUUGCUUUCCACUCAAAUCUUCUUUCCACAAAAUCCAAAUCCUAUGAGAGAGAGUUGAGUGUUUGGGAGACUAUCAUUUGAAGCACAAGAGCAAGGAGUUCAUCAUCAACACACCAUUUGUUACUUCUUGGAGAGUGGUGUCUCCUAGAUUGGCUAGGUGUCACUUGGGAGCCUCUGACAAGAUUGUGGAGUUGAACCAAGGAGUUUGUAAGGGCAAGGAGAUUGCCUACUUCGUGAAGAUCUACCGCUAGUGAGGCAAGUCCUUCGUGGGCGAUGGCCAUGGUGGGAUAGACAAGGUUGCUUCUUUGUGGACCCUUCGUGGGUGGUUGCUUCUUCGUGGACCCUUCGUGGGUGGAGCCCUCCGUGGACUCGUGCAACCAUUACCCUUCGUGGGUGGAGCCCUCCGUGGACUCGCGCAACCGUUACCCUUCGUGGGUUGAAGUCUCCAUCAACGUGGAUGUAGGAUAGCACCACCUAUCCGAACCACGGGAAAAACAUCCGUGUCUCCAAUUGCGUUUGAAUUCUCCAAACCCUUCCCUUUACAUUCUUGCAAGUUGCAUGCUUUACUUUCCGCUGCCAAUAUACUCUUUGCAUGCUUGCUUGAAUUAUGUGAUGAUUGCUUGACUUGUCCUACAAUAGCUAAAAUCUGCCAAGAACUAAAAUUGGGAAAAGGUUAAGUUUUUAUUUGGUCAAGUAGUCUAAUCACCCCCCCUCUAGACAUACUUUCGAUCCUACAACUUCCUCAAAAUUGCCCUAGGUCUUCAUGAGCAAGCAAGUUGGAUGCACACGCACUUACUUUCUUUUUGAGCUUUCGUAUACUUAUAGGUCUAGGGCAUCCGUUGCAUGGCCCGUUGAUACGCCUAGUUGAUGUGGGACUACCCCUUUUUGUCUUCUCCAAAACCACCACUCUAUUCCACCUAUAGUGCUAUAUCCAUGGCUCACGCUCAUGUAUUGCGUGAAGAUUGAAAAAGUUUUGAGAAUUUCAAAAGUAUGAAACAAUUGCUUGGCUUGUCAUCGGAGUUGUGCAUGAUUUAAAUAUUUUGUGUGGUGAAGAUAGAGCAUAGCCAGACUAUAUGAUUUUGUAGAACUUUCUUUAGCCAUGUUAUUUUGAGAAGACAUAAUUGCUUUGUUAGUGUGCUUGAAGUAUUAUUAUUUUCUAUGUCAAUACGAACUUUUGUCUUGAAUCUUUUGGAUCUAAAUAUUCAUACCACAAUUAACAAGAAUUACAUUAAAAUUAUGCCAAGUAGCACUCUGCAUCAAAAAUUCUAUUUUUAUCAUUUACCUACUCGAGGACGAGCAGGAAUUAAGCUUGGGGAUGCUUGAUACGUCUCCAACGUAUCUAUAAUUUUUGAUUACUCCAUGCUAUAUUAUCUACUAUUUUGGACAUUAUUGGGCUUUAUUAUCCACUUUUAUAUUAUUUUUGGGACUAACCUAUUAACCGGAGGCCCAGCCCGGAAUUGCUGUUUUUUUGCCUGUUUUAGGGUUUCGAAGAAAAGGAAUAUCAAACUGAGUCCAAACGGAAUGAAACCUUCGGGAACGUGAUUUUCUCGCCGAAUACAACUCAGGAGACUUGGAUCCUACAUCAAGCCAACUAACAGGAGGCCACGAGGUAGGGGGCGCGCCCUCCACCCUCGUGGGCCCCCUGUUGCUCCAUCGCCGUACUUCUUCCUCCUAUAUAUACCCACGUACCCCCAAACGAUCAGACACAGAGCCAAAACCCUAAUUCCACCGCCGCAACUUUCUGUAUCCACGAGAUCCCAUCUUGGGGCCUGUUCCGGAGCUCCGCCGGAGGGGGCAUCGAUCACGGAGGGCUUCUACAUCAACACCAUAGCCUCUCCGAUGAAGUGUGAGUAGUUUACUUCAGACCUACGGGUCCAUAGUUAGUAGCUAGAUGGCUUCUUCUCUCUUUUUGGAUCUCAAUACAAUGUUCUCCCCCUCUCUUUUGGAGAUCUAUUCGAUGUAAUCUUCUUUUUGCGGUGUGUUUGUUGAGACCAAUGAAUUGUGGGUUUAUGGUUAAGUCUGUCUAUGAAUAAUAUUUGAAUCUUCUCUGAAUUCUUUUAUGUAUGAUUGGUUAUCUUUGCAAGUCUCUUCGAAUUAUCAGUUUGGUUUAGCCUACUUGAUUGAUCUUUCUUGCAAUGGGAGAAGUGCUUAGCUUUGGGUUCAAUCUUGCGGUGUCCUUUCCCGGUGACAGUAAGGGCAGCAAGGCACGUAUUGUAUUGUUGCCAUCGAGGAUAACAAGAUGGGGUUUUCUUCAUAUUGCAUGAGUCUAUCCCUCUACAUCAUGUCAUCUUGCUUAAGGCGUUACUCUGUUUUUAACUUAAUACUCUAGAUGCAUGCUGGAUAGCGGUCGACGAGUGGAGUAAUAGUAGUAGAUGCAGGCAGGAGUCGGUCUACUUGUCUCGGACGUGAUGCCUAUAUACAUGAUCAUACCUAGAUAUUCUCAUAACUAUGCUCAAUUCUGUCAAUUGCUCAACAGUAAUUUGUUCACCCACCGUAGAAUACUUAUGCUCUCGAGAGAAGCCACUAGUGAAACCUAUGGCCCCCGGGUCUAUCUUUAUCAUAUCAAUCUCCUGCGACUUAGUUAUUUACUUUGCUAUUUGCUUUGCAUUUAUUUUACUUUGCAUCUUUAUCAUAAAAAUACCAAAAAUAUUAUCUUUAUCAUAUCUAUCAGAUCUCACUCUCGUAAGUGGCCCUAUAGGGAUUGACAACCCCUAUUUGCGUUGGUUGCGAGGAUUUAUUUGUUUGUGCAGGUACGAGGGACCUGCGUGUAGCCUCCUACUGGAUUGAUACCUUGGUUCUCAAAAACUGAGGCAAAUACUUCCGCUACUUUGCUGCAUCAUCCCUUCCUCUUCGGGGAAAACCAACGCAGUGCUAAAAGAGGUAGCAUUAUCAGAGUAACCCGAAACAGCUGAAUAGCGGGCAAUACCACGUCUUCACCACAAGCUUGUGUAAGCGGGAUCAGAAGCUUCAUAAAAGGGCAGUAAACUCCGUUGAACCGGCAGUACCCCAUUACUUGCGCUGGUCUGAGCAGCCCAUUGUGUGGAGUCGAGAGGAUCAUCCGCCCUGGGUUGAUAAUCCGGGUCAUCUGGCAUUGGUGGUUGCACCUCAGGUUGGAGGGUAUAAGUUCACCAAGGUGCUCAUGGACGGAGGGAGCAUCAUCAAUAUCCUCUAUUAUGAAACCUUCCGUCGUAUGGGGUUGACGGAUAAAAAUCUUAAACCAUCAAACACUGUUUUCCAUGGUGUGGUGCCUGGUAAGUCAGCAUAUCCAGUUGGUAAAAUAGCUCUGGAAGUUGUGUUUGGGGAUGAGUAUGACUCUCGAUCAAAGACAUUGACCUUUGAGGUGGUGAAGAUCAAAAGCCCUUAUCACGCUCUGUCUGGACGGCCGGCUUAUGCUAAGUUUAUGGCAAGACCCUGUUAUGUUUAUCUACAGCUCAAGAUGCCAGGUCAUAAGGGGACCAUCACGGUACAUGGGAGCUGAAAGAUAGCCUUGGAAUGUGAGGAAGGUGAUGCGGCUUAUGCUAAGUCGGUUUGUGCAACAGAGGAGUUGAAAUUUUAUAAGGACAAUGUUGAUCCGGCAGAUAUGACUUCUUUGAAAAAGCCAACUACAAAGCAUGAUCCAACAUUGAAGUUUAAAUCGGCUGAGGAAACCAAGUUAGUUGAUAUUGUUCCUGGCGAUUCAUCCAAGCAGUUUAGCAUCAGUGCUAAUCUGGAUCCGAAAUAGGAAAGCGCGCUCAUCGAGUUCAUAUGUGAGAACCGGAACAUCUUUGCAUGGGAACAUUCUGACAUGCCAGGUGUACCGAGGGAACUCGCUGAGCACACUCUUAAUAUUGAUCCUAAGUUUAGAUUGGCCAGGCAGUUUCUCCGCCGCUUCAAUGAAGAAAGGCGUAAGGCUAUUGGUGAGGAGGUAGCCCGGCUCUUGGCAGCAGGGUUUAUUGUUGAGGUUGUUCAUCCUGAGUGGUUAGCUAACCCGGUGCUAGUACUUAAGAAGAACGGCACUUGGCGUAUGUGUGUGGAUUACACAGAUUUGAACAAGGCUUGUCCAGCUGAUCCCUUCGCUCUCCCUCGUAUUGAUCAAAUCAUUGAUGCUACGGUGGGUUGUGAGCAUCCGAGCUUUCUGGAUGCUUAUUUUGGUUAUCAUCAGAUCAAAAUGGCAGUUAAGGACCAGGAGAAGACAGCUUUUAUAACUCCCUUUGGAGCCUUCUGCUAUGUAUCUAUGCCUUUUGGGAUCAAGAGUGCCCAGGCGACUUAUCAGCAUUGUGUGCAAAAUUGUCUUCAUAAUCAGAUUGGGCGGAAUGUUCAUUCUUGCGUGGAUGAUAUUGUGGUGAAGUCCAUAAAGGAGGAGACAUUAAUAGAUGACUUAAAGGAAACUUUUGAUAAUCUCCGGGUCUAUAAGAUGAUGCUUAAUCCGGCCAAGUGUGUUUUUGGUGUACCGGCAAGCAAGCUCUUGGGCUUUCUGGUGUCUAACAGGGGUAUUGAGGCUAACCGAAAAAAUUAAGGCAAUUACUUCUCUGGCUAAACCGGUGUGCAUCAAUGAUGUUCAACGUCUGGCAGGUCGUAUUGCAGCAUUGAGCCGGUUUAUCAGCCGGUUGGGGGAGAAAGCUAUCCCUUUGUAUCAGAUGAUGAAAAAGACAGAUAAUUUUGUCUGGAGUGAUGCGGCUAAUGCGGCGUUUGAGGACUUGAAGAAACAAUUAGCCGAGCCUCCCGUCCUUGCUGCUCCCGUUGAUAAAGAGCCAUUGCUGUUAUAUGUGGCUGCUAAUGCCCGGGCUGUCAGUGUGGCUAUUGUGGUAGAGUGGAAGGAGGCAAGCAAAGAAUAUCCGGUUUAACGGCCGGUUUAUUAUAUCAAUGGGGUACUCAUUGAGUCCAAGCAAAGAUACCCACAUUGGCAGAAGCUGGUGUAUGGAGUUUUUAUGGCAAGCCGGAAGCUUAAACAGUAUUUUCAGGGUCACCCCAUCACUGUGGUCAGCUCUGCCCCUUUGGGGGAUAUAAUUCAAAACAGGGAGGCAACUGGCUGGGUUGCCAAGUGGGCCAUUGAGCUUGGACCUCAUGGGUUAAAGUAUAUGCCUCGGACGGCAAUCAAGUCCCAGACACUUGUGGAUUUCAUCAAUGAUUGGACAGAAUUGCAGACACCAGAGGAAAAGCCGGAUAACACAUAUUGGACUCUUCACUUUGAUGGGUCCAGGCAAUUGGAGGGCUCGGGGGCUGGAGUUGUGCUAGCUUCCCCUCGAGGUGAUAAAUUUUGUUAUGUCCUCCGUUUAUUGUUUCCUUGCACUAACAAUGCAGCUGAAUAUGAGGCUUUACUCCACGGUCUUCGAGUGGCUAAGGAGAUGAACUUGAGCCGGGUUAGGUGUUUUGGUGACUCAGAUUUGGUAGCUCAACAAGUAUUAGGUACUUGGAACUCUAAGGAUCCACUCAUGGCGGCUUAUCGAUAGGAGGUGGAUAUUAUCGAUGGUCAUUUCAAGGGUUACCAGGUUGAGCAUGUGGACCGGAGGAAGAAUGAAGCGGUAGACGCUUUAAGCCGGCUGGGUUCUCAACGUAAACCGGUGCCGCCCAACGUUGUUCUUGAUGUCCUUCAUAACCCGUCGGUCAAGUUACCCACAGAGGAGGAUUUGGCUAUUCCUGACCCAGAGGCUCAAUUGGUGGCAGCUCUUCAUGUUAUCCCGGAUUGGACGGUUCCCUAUUUGGCGUAUAUGACCCGGGGCGAGUUACCUGAGGAUGAGGUUUUGGCCAGACAGAUAAUCCAGCGGUCCAAGUCAAUGACUAUUGUCAAAGGAGAGUUGCAUCAUUGUAGUGUUACAGGGGCGUUUUAGCGUUGUGUGUCUCUGGAGAAGGCUGUGAGAUCCUCCAUGAGAUCCAUGAAGGGGACUGUGGACAUCAUGCCAGUUCAAAAUCUCUAGUAGCCAAAGCUUUUCGUCACGGUUUUUAUUGGCUGACGGCUCAUGCUGAUGCUAAGGACUUGGUCAUAAGGUGUGAUGGUUGUCAGAAAUUUGCACGCCGAGCUCAUGUUUCGGCUCAGGAGUUAAGGAUGAUUCCAAUUACUUGUCCAUUUGCAGUCUGGGGGCUUGAUAUGGUGGGGCCCUUUAAAAUAUCCAAGGAUAAGAAGACCCACCUCUUGGUGGCAGUUGACAAGUUUACUAAAUGGGUAGAGGCCGAGCCAGUGAGCAAAUAUGAUGCAACGACGGCGGUUCAAUUCAUGAAGAAGGUGAUCUUCCGCUUUGGCUUUCCACAUAGCAUUAUAACUGACAUUGGUACUAACCUUUCAAAGGGAGCUAUUGAAGAUUUUUGUCAACGUGAGCAUAUCCGGCUUGACAUAUCGUCAGUAGCUCACCCCCAGUCUAAUGGUCAAGCUGAGAGAGCCAAUCAAGAGAUCUUAAGAGGUUUCAAACCCCGGCUUAUGGUUCCUUUGCAGAGGAUGCCGGGUUGUUGGAUCGAGGAGUUACCUUCCAUGUUAUGGAGCAUUAAUACAACCCUAACAGGUCUACGGGUUAUACGCCCUUUUUCAUGGCUUAUGGAGCAGAGGCAGUUCUCCCUAGUGACAUCCGUCAUGACUCGCCCCGUGUGGCAGCUUAUGUUGAAGCUGACAAUGAAAAAACAUGUCAGUAAGCACUUGACUUGUUGGAUGAAGAGCGUGACAUUGCAGCGGCCCAUUCGGUGAUUUACCAGCAAGACCUGCGCCGUUACCACAGCCGCAGGUUAAAACCAGAACUUUUCAAGAAGGUGAUCUGGUGCUCCGGCUCAUCCAGGAUCAGACUGAUAUGCACAAGUUAUCCCCACCUUGGGAAGGACCCUUUGUGGUCAGCAAGAAUCUAAACAAUGGGUCAUAUUACCUUAUCGAUGUUCGAGACCACAAGGACUCACGCACAUCGGAGGAGGAGACCCACCGACCCUGGAAUAUUGCUCAGCUUAGGCCAUAUUACACCUGAGCCACAGGCUCUCCGUAUGUACAUAUUUAAACAAUCUAUAUAUUAUGAUUGAUAUAAUAAACCGUCAUCCUUGCUAAAGCGGGGCUUCUGUCGUUCCCAUACAUGAGUCUCUGUUACCUUGGUAAUCCGGCUAUCAAGCCCAUAUUAUAAGAGCACAGCUCUGUUACCUUGGUAAUCCGGCUAUCAAGCCCAUAUUAUAAGAGCACAGCUCUGUUACCUUGGUAAUUCGGCUAUCAAGCCCAUAUUAUAAGAGCACAACUCUGUUACCUUGGUAAUCCGGCUAUCAAGCCCAUAUUAUAAGAGCACAGCUCUGUUACCUUGGUAAUCUGGCUAUCAAGCCAAUAUCACAACUUCAUAUGAGCAGGGCUCUGAUCUACUUAAGGCUUAAUGCCCGGAUUAAAGGGACCAAAGAGAGUCUGAUGCAUAGCACAGCUCAAACAUAGGUAUCCCUUGGGCACAACCCACAUAAUCACUUGGGGGCUUGGUCGUAUUCGAACCAUAGCUACACCUCUUGAUAGACAUAAGGCCACCAGGGAAAUCACUUGGGGGCUUUGGUCGUAUUCGAACCAUCACUUCAACCCUCUUGAUCAUUGCAACACCACAAUUAUAACUAUUUCAAACUUUUUUUUGAUUUUUUGGUUUAUAAUGCUUUAUGAGUGUAAUUUAUCUAUUCUAUUUAAACCUGGUCUGGGCCUGUUCAUAAACAAGCAACAGCCGAGGAAUAUCAAUACUCAAGGUUUGGGUUAUCACCCUUACUACAAAAAGUUGGUAAACCAACGAUGUGAUUCAAUGUCAUAGGUAUGAUAUAUUUCAUAUUUGGUUAUUCUUAAGUACAACCUUGGUUAUAAACCCGAGUUAUAUGUUGGGCGUUAUGACCCGUCCGGCGGUAAACUGCCAGGACACUUUUUAUAUGCAGAAAUAGGUUGAAUAAAGGUGCUAAGGAUCAUAAGCAGACAUAGCAUAAUCAUGACGGAUUAACAGUGUCAUGCAAAGCGAACAUGCACAAUGCAUAGUAGACCAAGUAUUUAAACUAGCCUAUUACAAGGCACUUUGAUGCCCAAAAGGAUAAUUGUUUUCAACAAGUGUUGCAGUAUGCAGAAGGCUAAACCGGCCUUCGGAUCAUGAUUCUUCGCCGGGUUGACUUGACGGCUGUGGAUCAUCUUCCGCCGCUUCAUCAUCCUUCUCUCCACCCAGCGGCUGGAAGUCAAUGGUUGCCCAGUCGAUUCCAGUUAGGGCCUUGAAUACAACUUCGUCGCUUAUAAGUGUGGAGGGUUCAACAUCAGGGGAGUAGAUAUGCUUACGGAUUGGCGGGAUAAGAUUUUCCACAUCAUGAGUUGGCGCAUUAACCGGUUUGUUUUCGGCGUCAUAAAUCGACUGGUAAUGAGAAAGAUCUGUCUCUUCAGCCAAUUUGCUCACUAAUGGGCGCAUUUCCUUCGUCAAAGCUCGGAGAUCAUCAUUGUCAAAAUCUGACCCGUCCUCCUUUAUGCUUGGAUAGCCACUUCCUAUAUCAGCCGGGUCAAGAUCUGGUAUCCAUGCUUUAGCCCGCAUUAGCGCAGUUAGAGCACCUGCCCUUGCAGCUGAUCUUUUUAACUCCUCAAACCGGGCAGGAAUCAUUGACAGCUUCUCUAAUGUUUCCUUGAUCAAGGUUGGGGGUGGUUUGUUAUGAGAGGCAAUACAAAUGAUCCGUUGUGCGCCGGUAUAUAAUUGCUCUAUAAGAGUAUAGGCAGCCUUCAAUUUUUUCUACAUAUCAAAGCCCAGAUGGGUAAUGCGAGAUCCUGCAUCAUUACGCACAUCGAUAAACCGGCAGUUCAUAGGAUAAUACAUGUUAAACACUUAUAAUAAGGGUGCUUACCAAACACAGUAGUGGUCAUGGCAUUUAUUUGCCACUUCAGACCAGUCAGCUCUUCUACCACCGGAUUAAGGGCUGCUUCUGCAUCCUCAGCCCUCUUUUGUAGUUUGGUUUUCUCUAUGUCCCAGUCUGCCUGCUCCUUCUGGAAGUUUUCCUUCAAUUUCUCCAUGGCUACUAAGGCACUGGUUAGCUCCUCUUUGGCUUUGGAAGUUAGAGCACCUGCCCUUGCAGCUGAUCUUUUUAACUCCUCAAACCGGGCAGGAAUCAUUGACAGCUACUCUAAUGUUUCCUUGAUCAAGGUUGGGGGUGGUUUGUUAUGAGAGGCAGUACAAAUGAUCCGUUGUGCGCCGGUAUAUAAUUGCUCUAUAAGAGUAUAGGCAGCCUUCAAUUUUUUCUACAUAUCAGAGCCCAGAUGGGUAAUGCGAGAUCCUGCAUCAUUACGCACAUCGAUAAACCGGCAGUUCAUAGGAUAAUACAUGUUAAACACUUAUAAUAAGGGUGCUUACCAAACACAGCAGUGGUCAUGGCAUUUAUUUGCCAUUUCAGACCAGUCAGCUCUUCUACCACCGGAUUAAGGGCUGCUUCUGCAUCCUCAGCCCUCUUUUGUAGUUUGGUUUUCUCUAUGUCCCAGUCUGCCUGCUCCUUCUGGAAGUUUUCCUUCAAUUUCUCCAUGGCUACUAAGGCACUGGUUAGCUCCUCUUUGGCUUUGGAAGUUUCUGCUUGUUGGGACUUGAUAUUUUCUUGAAGAUCGGUGGUUUGAGAUUCCUUUUUGCUCAGCUUAGCCUAUAAGAGACAUACAUGUUAUGAGUUGGAAGCAUUUUGAAGUACCAAGCACAUAACAAGUUAUACACUUGGCACUUGGGGGCUAAUGCCUAUUGCUUCUUAUCAACUUUCUCUUAUAAGUCCCAAGAUCAAUUCAAGUAUUAUUCUUGGCACUUGGGGGCUACACAAACAAAAGUGACAAGAUUAAUAUUCUAAAAGUCCUGGUUCAUCCUGAAAUGAUAAACCGGUCCUUGGGGGCUACGCAGGCAAAGUUGAAGUAUUACAAAGUCCCGGUUUACAUUGAUAUCAUAAACCAGCCCUUGGGGGCUAUUGGAGUUGAUAUUAGAAAUCAGAUACAAGAGAGAAACAAUUAUGUGGAGUUAACAAUAUUUACCUCAUAUUGCUCUUUCAUAUGGUUCACUAAACCGGCUUUAUAGUCGCGGCUUGUGUACAGGCGGUUUAAAAACCCAGAGUGGAUAUCUUGGGCGUUAAGGUGGGCAUAGCUUUCCAAGUCUGUUUUCCACUUGCCUUUAUCCAUAGCAGCAAAUUCUUCCUUGGCACUAUGUUUUGAUAAAGCAAUGGGAUUACCAGGAGUUGUGUAGCCUAAACCAGUAACAAUGACAUCAUCCGAUUGGUCAUCAGCCGCUUUGACUGGGCUCGGCGGUUUAUCUGCAGUUUUAGCCAGGCUUAGCGGGUCAGUAGCAUGGCCUGUAGGAUCAUCUUCCAUCUGUUCAGCAAAGGUUUCAUGAUGUUGCAUUGGCGGAUCAUCAAGAAUAGCGUCAGCAUUUGGCUCAAACUGUUCUGGGAUCUUUUCCAGUUCAGUGUCCAGGUUAUCAUCAGCCAAUUUAUUCAAUUUGGCCUUUUUGCUGGGCCUAGCUUUAGCUCUGAAAUAAAUGUAAAUAAAGGUUAGUAUAUUAAACAGGUGCAAGGGAUAAAGAGUUAAGUGUAGUAUGCUUACCCAGGAACAGUCUUAAGGGGUGGAAGCUGUGUCCAUGUUGAUUCGCCAGAGGAUGAAUGGGAAGUUCCCCAGUAGUUUGAGUCAGAUGGAUUAAGAGGUUGCCGAAAAUAACCAGCCUUGGGAUAAGAUGUGUCAGGAAUAUGGAUGAAACCUCUGGUCGGCGUUUACGAACCGGUGUGUUCGGUAAACCGGAUGAAGUAACCACCUGGCCACUAUGCCGGGUUGUGCGGCGAGCUUCAUACUGUUGUUUCUUCAAAAGAAAGUUUGGAUCUAGAUAAGCUAGAGGGUGUGGAAAUUUUACUUUCCGGUUUGCUUGACAGGUUUUCUGUGCUGGCUGAGGAUCUGAACCGGAGGAAAGAAUAAUUACCUCUACAUCAUCAACCCGGCUAGCUUCGGCGUCAUCCUGAUAAUGGUCAUUUUCAAUGAGGUGUAUGAAAAAUGAACCAAGAGAAUCAAGUUCUACCUUUGAUUCCGGGUUGUCAAGAUCCUCGUCGAGGUUCAGCUCGGUGGACUCAGCUGUUUUCUUCUUGGCAGGCUUUUUGACGACCUUUGUCUUGGGUCGAGGGGUCUUGGCCGGUUUAUCCCAAGCGUUCUUCUUCCAAAAUGGGUCGUCACCCUGUUAAAAGAUUGAUAAAGGUUAUAAGGAAGAGUUAAGAAUAUCAGGUUCAAACAGGGGUUAGGCAAUUCUUACAGCUGGUGGUUUAUUUGAAACGUAGAAGAGACUUAGCCCUGUUUUGCUGCAGACAACCACCGAUUCAUCCAGUAUCUUUUUGACAGCUUCAGUGAUUUCAGCAUCAGUUAACUGAAUGUUAGUGUGCCAUUGAGGGUCUUUCAAGUCCCCUGUGUACUCGCACAUUAAACCUGGGCGACAACUUAAAGGCAAAAUACCCCAAGAUAUCCAGCAAUGAACAAAGUCAAUUCCUGUUAACCCAUUAGCCACAAAGGCUCUGAGCUUUGCAAGUUGUGGUGCAUAUUUGGCCUGUUCUUUUGCGGUCAACCUUUGGGGAAAUGGAUGUGUAUUGGUAAGUCGGUGAGCACGGUAACCCGACAGAGGGUUCUCGUCAUCUGGGGAAGUAUCUUUGCAAUAGAACCAAGUCUGGUUCCAAUCCUUAGGGUGACUAUGAUGCUUGGCGUGAGGGAAGCUCACGUCUUUCCUUUUCUGAAUUGAAACGCCGCCAAGUUCAGUAUUGGGCCCGUAUGUAAAUUCAGUACAGCGGUUUAAAUAGAAAAAGUCCCUGAACAGUUCAACGGUCCGUUCUUCUUGCAGAUAAGCCUCGCAAAACACUUGAAAAUUACAAAUAUUGGACACAGAAUUAGGUCCAAUAUCUUGAGGGUGGAUCUGGAAGCUAGCAAGCACAUCACGGAUUUUUUUUGAUCCGGGAGGUUUAAAACCACGGCUCAGAUGAUCAACAAACACAACUAUCUCGCCAUCCUUGGGCUCAGGAGGAUUUUCUGGACCGGUAGCUCACCAGUGGAUUUCACUCUGUUUCGGUAAAGCGCCAGUUAUAACGCAUUCGUUCAGAUCUUCUUCCGUAAUCCGGGAUGGAACCCAGUUACAAGCGUAAAAAGACUUGGCCAUUUCUUUGACAACUUGAAGGAAGAUUUGUGCCGGUUUAAGAUUCAUGGUGGAUAAGCAUGAAGCGUUGCAGGUUAAGGGACGAAAGGUAUUCAAGCAUGCAAAAUUAUUAAACCGGAGGAUGAUGAUAUCAGGACUACAAUGAUAAAGCGAUUGGCGGUUUACGAGGGACUAAUGGUACCUGACGGGUUAUCAUUUUCUAAAGUUAAACCGCCUACAUUGGUAUGGAAGGUACAGAUCUGAAAUAGCUAAGGGGAAAACAGGUUUCACAAGUUGGCAUUACAAAUUUGGAUCUAUCACGGGUCAGAAAAUGAAAAUAUAUUAAGACCUAAACAUGGAAACCGAAGCAGUGGAUUAAGGUUCAGAUUGAAGUUUUUACUUAAACACGAUGCGCUGAUGAAAAAAUGACUAUGGGCGUUGCUGUGCAUGCUGAAUAUGGAGGUUUCAAUCGAAGGAACUACAUCGCUGAUAUGAGCACCGACGAACAUCGACGAACACCGAGGAAUGUUCAAACCCUAAAACUGAAUCUAUGGUGGAGGAAAGAGAAGCUUACUGGUGCAGAAGGAACAACGGAGAGGCGCCGUGAUUCUUUGGUACGUUCAGGGUGAUGCAGCAGCCAAGGUUGAGGCAGAGGCAAAGUUCGACGGCGCUAACGGAGCUUGAGGUGCUGGGGCGAUGCGAGGAAGACGAUGAGGCUGAGAGGCACGAGGGGAAAAGUGAAAAUGAUCCCCGGCCCUAUUUAUAAGGUGAAGGGAUAAGCGGCAGACACAUGAAUCGAGGAGGUCGCAAAACGGAUCUAUAGACAUGCAGACGCCUUGAUUUUCGGAAAUUCAUUAAAGAAGAUACAUUUAAAGAUUUGGGAUCUGCACAAAGCUAAUGGCAGAUGACGUCACGAUGGAUUAUUAUGCUCUCAGAGAUGACGUCACAGCGGUUUACAAGGUUUUUCAGCUGGUGUUGAAGAAGGAAUUUUUCUAAGUACUGAAAAUUGACAUGAACCAGUUCAAAUCAAUUUGGGGCCUAAUAUUGGGGAUAUAACUAUUAAGUAUAAACCGCCCAGGAGGGGCCGGAUUAUACUUAUAGUAAGCUAUUCCUAUUUCAAGCCCACGAAGGCAAGGCGCUUUAUGAAGGAUGUUUAACAAGAAGGCCCAAGGCCCAAAGGCGGAUUAGGGACCGUAGAUGUAAACCUCCAUAAGAUGUAUAACUUGUAUUGUAAGAUAAGAAAGGGUAGAAACCGAGCCGGGCACGAAUAUGAGCCGGCCGGGAUUCUGUAAACCGCCGGGCGUCAACCUGUGUAUAUAAAGGGACGACCCGGCGGCGGUUUAAGGACAAGAAAACAACAGAUCAAGAGCCAGGCAAAGCGGAUUCGCUCCCUGGUCAUCGAAACCCUAGCAAUUCCAUCACAACUGGAUUAGGCUUUUACCUUCACCGUAAGGGGCCGAACCAGUAUAAACUCCUUGCGUCCUUUGUCCCGCUUUAACCCCUUUAAGCUAACUACGUUGCAAUGGCUCCACGACUAAGCCCUCACACUAGGACAUCUGCCGUGACAAAACCAUGACAAUAUGUGUAGGAUAAAAUUUGUUUGUUGCCUUCUCUAGAUCUUCUAACGAGAAAAUCUUUGUAUUCUCAUUAGCAGUUUCAUCAAACGAUAUCAACAUUUCUAGGAGAAGACCUUAUUUCUUUUGGAAAUAGUUCUUCUGUAGUUGCUUUUGAAUAUUUAUUUUCCAUCUAUGAUGGAUAAAUACUACGCUAAACCUCAGAAGAAGAGUGUCGGAACCACAUGCCAACCCAAUAAUUAUACAUGCAUGCAUUAAUUAAGCUCUUUUAAGUUUUGCUCUAUUUUUUCUAUCAUAAAUGUAACAAGAAUAUGGUCUUACCUAACUUUAGAGGUUCUUGCUUAUCUUGGUAUAGUGCAUUUUUAUUGGAUUAUACUUAGUCUUGUGAGGACAUCCAGUACAACUAAAGCUUCAUAUGGUAUUAUGGCAGAUCCCUUUACAAAGCUCCAUAAAAAACAACCCAGGGAAAAACAAAGUGGUGUUCAUCGGUGGCGGAAGGAGAACUGAACUUGUACUUUUCUCUUUGUGAAUUCAUGGUGCAAUUUUUGUGUUUGCAUCUUUUCCAAGCAGCCCAAUUGGUAUUUUUUAGAAAAGUUUGUUGAGGUAACUAGUCUUGAAGUGUUGGCAUGCUAUCGUGUGAGAAAAUGUAAUUUGGACAGAUGCCGCCUUUGAGAUAUCACAGGUCCAUCAAAGUGGACAUUAAGGAUGAGAAACAUAGUAGUAAUUUCCCAAAUAUGAUAUUUUAGUCAACACAUACAAAUUAAAUUAAGUUAGAAAAACUACGAAAUGGAUUUUAGAAUUAAUGAUAGUUUGACAAAGAUAAGUUUAAAAUGAAGGAAAAUCAUUGGAAAUCGAUGAAUUUUUUUUUGUCGUUCUUGAUAGCUUUCGAUUUUUUUCCCUUUUCAUAAAAAAAUUCUUGUUUUUUAUUAUAUAUUGAAAUUUUCUAUUAUAAACAAGAUCCAUUUUGGAAUCUAGGGAAAUCAAAAUAAAAUCAUGUUUUAUUUUCUAAUUUAUAUUGUUGUUAUUAAUAUAUAUUCAGGCUUUUAAGUGUCAUUCGUCUUCCACUUUUUAAUGAAUAUAGUGUGGGUGGGUUUGCCAUGAGUUGGAAACCACCACCAUGUUGUCGGUCAAACCACUCAGAGUUGGGUGAGGGGUCAAAUUUAUCUGGUUUUUGGUGUUAAGGAUGCUAAUGGCCACUCCCUCUAUUAUAAAAUAUUAGAAGUUCUAGGUUUAUCUUAAAUAACAUUUCAUUAAGUUUGACCAACUUUAUGAGAAAACUUACUAAUAAACACAACAUCAAAUGUAUAUAGUAUGACCAUAUAUUUUAGGACCUGAUAACCACAAAAUGUGUGGUGGUUAAGCUUAAACACCUCCAUCCUCCCCAUUUGUUACAUGCAUGCAUGCAUUAGAAUAAUCCUCUGCUCCUCCCACAUGCACUUCUCUCUCUAAUUAUAAUUUGAAAAUUCAAAAUGUUUUGUAGCACAAACUGUCAAUUCGAUUCAAAAUUGUUUUCACAUAAAGAAUUCAUCAUGAUGAGACCUUUGAUACUAUAUCUCAUGUUGAUAUGUUCCGACAACAUUUUUGGGGGGCUCAAAAGGUAUCACGCAUGGGCUACAUAAUUUACAACACAUAUGAUAUGUAAUUUAUCGUGCUAUUUUUAGAUAAGUUGUUGGGGUAUGUUUGUCAACAACUUUUCCCCCUUGGUCAAUGUUAUCGUGGUGUUUGCACGUAAGUCAACUGGUAUGUGGUUCGUAUAUUAACAUAUUAUUUUCACAUAAGUUGCUGGGGUACAUUUUUCAACAAUCCCCCCUUGUCAAUCUUACCACGGUGUUUGUAUGUAAGUUAUCACAUAUUCGGUUCAUAUAUUACCAUG